AACAGUGGAGCUCUCCCAAUCAGCAGAGUAGAUAUCCUAGGCGGGAGGAUCACCGAACUGCGCGUCUACACCUGCGGGCAUGAAACGCAGCCCCCCGAGGAAAGGGGGGUCAGUACGGACAAUGUACUAAGUAUGUAAAGCAUAAGGUAAAGAUGACAGGAUACCAAUGUGGCAAGUCGAAACAAAAUAUCGCUACACAUAUACUUUUUAAGUGAAAAUCAUGCAUAUAUUUAACAUUUAAGGUGCCCACCUUCCCUAGUAAGGGGCUCGGCAAAAUAAUCAUCACGCCAUCCCAUCAUCAUCAUCAUCAUAACCAUCCUCAUCACCAAUCAUAUAUAUAAUAUACAUACCCGGCCCUCUAGUGAGGAACUCGGUGACAUAUGCAAGAAACUCCGCACGAACAUUACCCGGCCCGGGACUCGGUGAAAUGAUAAAUGACUCUAUGCACGAGCAGAAUAUUAUGAGCAACCAUAUGCAAUUAAAAUCAUUUCUUAUAACUCAAUAGAACAAUCAACGUGAACCAGCAAGGAGUAUUACCAAAGAUUAAUGUUUUAUCAAGAUUAUGAACCUUUAAUACAAUAUGGAAACGUAAAAUUUCAAUGACUCUAAGAAGCAUUACCAUAGAUAUUAGAGAUCAUCAUAGCCUUAGACAUAACCGAAUAUAUAGAGGAAUAAUUGUGGAAGCAAGAAUAUACAUCACCUAGACGCUUUAGAGGUAAGUAUCAAAUCUGUCCGUUAUUCGCUUAUUUUUAAAAGUCAUGCCAAGCAAAGAAAGAAGGGACAGCGUUACAUACCGUAUAAUUGAGCCGCACGUCCAAUAUUUACUGCUCAAGCUAUUAAUCUAUAACAAGCAACAAUCGUGCCGCAAUUAGAUAAACAUCGUGCUUUACUUUCUUGUAAGCUAGCUAAUAAUCUAACGAAAAUUCAGCAGCACCUCCCCUAUUUUCCUUACUUCGUCCCAAUCCGACAACAAUCCAAAUUAUCCACAGCAAUACCAAUAACACAUAUAACCCAAAGAAUCAUAUAAACAGCCCAAGCACCAACAUGACACCACUAAUAAUCCGAUUAUGGUUUCCAUUCAUACUUAGCACAUUCAAUAACUAAAACAAACUUCCUAAGCUACUGGUCACGCCCCCUUCUUAAAAUUAAUGGAUAAUUAACAAGGGUAUUCUAAAGAAUUAACACACCAAACAAGGAGAUUACUAACCAAAUUAUUUGCAGCUGCUGGCCAAGAGUUGCAGGGUUGGUUUCUCCAUUUCCAUGGCUGCCUAAGACAAGUGGUGAAGAAGAAGAUGAUAUGCAGCAAUGCAUUUCACCACUUUAUAUAGCAUGGAGUGGAUUUCUCCACCUCAUUUAAUAGUAUGAAGUGGAGGCAGCCCCCCUCUACACCUGUCCACUAAGGCCAGCCCACAAUCUGAUCCCUUUUUAAUUUUUGCCUUGAGUGGUGGGGCCCAUUGGAUUAAAUCAAUCCAAAUUAGCCACUAAUUAAUCCCUCACUUAAAGUUAAUGGCACUUACAUUAACCAACUCAUACUUAAUAUCACAUUUGGAAAUAACAUCCUUGCCUAAUAUUUCUUUACGUCUUCUAGAUCACGAUGCGCACUACGUAUAAAAAAAAUACGAGGCAUAACAGAAGAGACCAGUCUCUAUGAACACUUUAAUGAAAGUAUAGAGAUUAACACACUUAAUACUAAUGAUGAGAUGAUAAAUUAUCUAUUGAGCUAUCAUAUCCUCAUACUAGAAGCCAACAUCCAUGAUGUAUGAGAAAUGUAAUGGAACUUUAUACUGAGCACCGAUAGACAAGUUAUGAGCGGUGAUACCUUCUUUCGGGAAGGGCGGAGGUUCACGUAACCCUCAUGAGAUGAGACUGUCCGGCAUGCCGGGUAUGGGUCUCCUUAUAUCUCCUAGUCUAUGAACCUAUACUGCCAAUAUAGGGAUCUGACGGGAUUCAACUCCAAUGUACGCUAGCAUGUUUUGGAUCACUUUGACCGGUGAUUCCACCUCUUUUCGCUGUGGGGGAGACACUGGAUUUCAUGAUGCUCAUAUGUUCUAUGUCGGUUAAAGUUAAAGUUCCCAAUAAAUGAAUGAGGCCAGCCCCAAGAUGAACAUAACGAAAUGAAUGAUAUCAAAGGUGUUAGGAUAGGAUGAUCAAGAGAUGAGCUAGACUUAAGUAAUGACACUAGUUUAUUCUUGAUCGUUGCAUAGUGAACUCGAUGAAAGUCUUAAACUACAUCCUAGGUAUAGCUGGUGUUUACACUAGCCUAUGAAAGAAAUGAAAUGAAGUACGUAAGAAUGAAUGAAGCAGACUCUGUGUUUGCUAAAGAAGGCUGCCUAGUUGAGGUCCCAUAUGUUGAGCCCUCAUUUUGGGAAGUCUUAAUGUCAAGUCCAUGAUUCCAAGGUCUCAUGGCAUAUGAAUGAAUGAUAUGAAAAAUGUUAUGUGAUGUAUGCAAUAUGUUAUGCGCUAUGUGUAAGAUGUUAUAUGUUGUGUGAAAUAUGAUAGGUAUGAUGAUGCAUGUUACUCUCAUGGCAUAACUUUCCUAAUCUAAAUUUGGAAAGCUCACUAACUUUUCUAUUCACAUUUUUGCAAGUCCACUGACUUGAGUUUCCAUAAUCAUGUUGAUAGGAAAGAGCUGUUGAACUCAUGCAUGUCCUUGGUGUGUGCUUGCAUAUACCAUACUUAGUACAAGUGUGUACUAAUUCCAUAAAAUUCUACAAUUUUAAGUGCAGGCACAGGUUAAAGCUAGAGCUUACAGGUUAACGUUGCAGCUAUCCGGACGUGGAGCUUUCAUCCAGAUUUGGUAGACCCUCAUUAUUUCGAGGAUGUCUACCAUUAUUAUCUAGCUUAGAUUUAGGCUAUAGCUAGUGGAGCAUGUUCAACUAGUGAUUUUUUCCACUUUUGUUCAGACUUUGUAUUGGUGCCUUUUUGGCAAGAAUACGUUUAAUGCAACUAUAAACUGUUUCUUUCAUUUGAUUAUCUCUAUAUUAGAUGGUUGUUUUGUGAAAGCCUAUGAUUUUAAGUUAAAAAUGUUUAGCAUGAAAUAACAAAACAAAAAUUUCAAAUUUUCCGCUAAAAUUAACCUAAAUGAAGUAAGAAUGACGUAUGUAGGUUUGUCUGCGACCUCUGAGAGGUCAACGAUGUCAGUCUCAUCUAGGGUCUAGAUUUGGUCGUGACAAGUUCAAAGGGAUGUUAGUGUCUCUUAACCUUUUUAGUAACUUUUAGGAGUAAAAAAUGUAUGGAAAUGGGUGGAAAGUUAGAUGAUGGGUGUUUGAGGGGUUUUAUGAUUGAAACGUUUGGGUACGACUCCCCAAGGACAAACCAAGGGCCCUUGAGGAGGACCCCUGCAGUUUUAUGCAUCACUGCCUGACAGUGUGCAUCGACGGGAUAGAUGACUGUCCGUACACAGCUCGAUGGGGCAUCGAGGCCAGCAUUGUCCCACACUUAGAAAGAUUUGUGAAGGCCCUUGUUUACCUAGCUACUACUACACGCGACGAAAUGGGUUGACAAGGCGUCAUUCACUAUCAUCCCAUACUUAUAACAAUUGGAGGAAGCCCUCGACUGCAAAGUCUGUGAACGAGAUGAGUGUAGGACGGAGGGGGGGGGGUCGUCCGUCGACUCACCGACGGACCGUAUAUCAAGGUCUCAUCGGUGAGGAUCGAAUUUCACUGGUAAAUUUUAAUUGAUUUCAUUUAAUUAAUUAAUUGGUUUAGGGGUUAGUUAGUGAUUAAUGGAAAACUAAUUAAGUUAAUUAAGCCCCUCUAUAAAUACCCUUAACCCUAAUUAACCUAAAGACAACUCUCAAAAUAAACUCUCUUCCUUCUCUCUUAUUUAUCUCUCUACAUGAACUCAUCAUUGAAGGCUAGCAAGAACUAGGGUUUGGGGGCUGGAAAAAGGGUGAAUUCUUCAUAAAAUUGUUGAGAAACAUUAAGCUAUGUCUUAUAUUCACCUUUGAGAUUUUUUCCUCAAAGGGUUCCUUCAAAAUAGACAUCAAAAAGUUGAGUACUCCUAUGGGUUUCAUUCAAUUACGAAAUUAAAGUUAUGGAUUGAGUUGCUAAUGAAUUUUUAGGGCUAUAUUGAGUAGAUUUACAUGUAAUUCAACUUGUUUAUGAUAAUUGUUGAUGGUUGAUCUAAUUGAAGAAUAUGAUCCUCUAUCCCUAACCCUAGGUAGUGAUCUUGACCUAUGUUGUAUUGUGAUCAUUCAAGUGAGUUGGUUGUUGAUUAGAUUACAAUACUAUGGUGCAAUGAUGGGUUAAAUUAAGAUGAAUUAUAGGCCUAUCAUGCUAGUUCUUGAGAUGUAAUUAAUGUUAUGAAUUAUAAUGUGAAAUUUGCCUUUAUACUUUGUUUCAAGUUGUGAUCUAAAGAUGAAUUGUGUUAUACAGAUGCAACUGGCCUUGUUAUUCUAUGAUGUUACUCCCCAAGUUGGAUUGAUUUAUUGGUUGAUGGUAAGAACUUGAUGAUAUACUAUGAGAAAGAAUUGGUAAGUCUUAGAAUCUCUAUCUUCACUUCCAAUUGUGAUUAAUUGUUGUUAAGCCAUGAUAUUACGUUGGAGUAUGCAUUAUAUUAGGGUUAUAGGGUGGCAUAAUGUUGAAUUGAAAUGUCUUGACUAUGUUCUGAGGUAGAUUAAGGUGUAAGUGCUAAAGAUGGUGAAAACUAUCAAUGUGCCUUAAUAUGUUAUGAAAUGCUAAAGUCUUAACCUUACUUAUAUGAAUUGUGAUGAAAGGACUUAUACUCAUACAAUUCUUUUUGAGCUAUUAAUGAUGAUGAUUAUACAAGGGGUAGACCCUAUGGCAUAAAUUAAGUUAUGAUUGAUAAUUAAAGGCUUAAAGACAUUUCAAAAAGGGACUCUAGCUUAGGACCGAGUGAACUAGAUAAAGAAGUGUCCUUUCCCACAUAGGGAAGGUAGGAACACUACAUUACUCUUGAGAUUGGAAACUAUAAUGCAUGGUGAAUAAUGAGGGUCCCAACUAAAUCUCCUAGUUCUUGAACUACUUGCCCCCAUAGGAAUACUAGCUAGUGGAUCCAUGUAGUUGCUAUGUUUUAUGUUUUGGUACUACCUUGGCAAGUAGUCCGCCUUCUUUCUGUGUAGGGUUUAUGACACCAAAUUCCACACUAGCUCAUGUGAUCUAAGUCGGUUAGGGAAAGAUGUUCCCACAAGGUAAAACGAAUUAAAGGACUUGGACUCAAACUAGGAUAACCUAAGGGGGCUAGCUUAGUCUAGGUAGGGGUACGGUACUCUACCUAGACAUUCCACUAGUUAGGCUUGAGGGGAGUCUUAGGAGGAGGUUCUUAUAUGUUUAUGUUAAGAUAAUAUAUGAUGUAUAUAUAUGAUGACCAUGUCAUAUUUUUCGUACUAUAUGUUGAUUAAAUUUGUGUAUGAAUAUGCCUUGGAUUAUAAUGAUAAUAUAAGAUGAAAUGCAAGCCUAAAUGCCAUAAUAUGUAAAGAUGGACAAUGGUCAUAUUUUCUUGUUGAGGAUACUUGAUUGAAUAAGGUUAUGGGGCUUUGCUUGGUCAUUGCACUUGUUGACUUGACAAGGACUUGUGAGUAAUUGUCUUUCUUAUUAUGAUAUGUGUAACUCUUAUUCAUUCUUGUGAUAUUAUUCCUUGAUGUUAGGGUUUUAGUAAAUCAUGAUUCUAAAUAAGUGUUACUUGUUAAAUUAGUAAGCAUGUUUGGUUGAUUAAUAUGACUUACUUGGCUUUACAUUAAGCCCCCAAAAGGGGUAGAAUGGCAUGUUUUGAUAAAAAGAAGUCCAUUUUUCAUGUUUUGCUUGUGUAUGUGGAUAAGAUAUCAUACUUAGUACAUGUGGAGUACUAACCCCAUUUUCUUCUCUUGUCCCAAACAUUUUAGGUUUCAGUCAUUGAAGAGUUUGAAAGGCGAUAUUGUUGAAGGUUUGGAUUCUUCCUUUCAUCAAAGUGGGGUAGGUCUUCAACUUUCGAGGGUAAUGCCAUCUUCUAGCUUUGGACUUUGUUAUGAGCUUAUUGACUCUAUCAUCUCUUUCCUUGUCAUUUGAAUAUUGUACUUUUGUAUGACCUAUACAUGGUCUUGUUGAAUUGAUGUAAGGGUUAUGCCCAUAUUGUGAUGUCCGUUUAGAUGGUAAGAGAUGAGACAAUCGUUGAGACUACUUCAAUAUUGUUAUAUAUAUGUGCAAUAAAAGUAGAAGGCUAUGGAACCUUCCUAUAUGAAGGGUCUAUGUAUACUCGAUAUGAAUAUAUAUUAUGUGUAUGUAGAGGUCUAUGUAAACCUCCAUGUAGAGAAAAUAAUUUUUUUUGCAUUUUUCAACUUAUGAAUGUAAUGAUAUGAAACUAAGAGGCUAGUCUUACUCCUUAGAAAGGACGAUGAUACCGGUUACGUCUAGGGGGUAAACUCGGAUGUGACAUCCCGUUAGUCGCAUCGAACCUUCUUGUCAUCUUUUGCAUCAUAUCCUCUAUAGGUGACAUAAUACCUCCAGCUUCCCUAGGACCAUAUUCCUAAUUUUGAAGUAGAACAUAAGGUCCAAACCGACCAUUUCUUUAGCCAUAGUGGUUCCGGUUGUAAUUGUUGUUGCGAUUGUAGCUCCCAUCUCAAAUAUAUUGACCAUCUAGGUUGUAAUUUCCAUAAUUCUGAUCUUGGUUUCCUUGACCUUGGAGAAACUUAUCAAUGUUGGGACCUUGGGAAUUUGGUCAGGAAACCCCCAUCUUACCAUCUACCGCAUAAGCAUCUUCUACAAAAUAACACAUCUCAACAGGUGGUGGAGUUCUUAUCAAAUCACACAGAACAUUUACUUUUCAGCACCUCCGCUCACAUCCUUAAUACCAACCCCAACUCCGUUUCCAUAUGUCCCAUCUCCUCAUGUAAAUUAUCUCUGGAUUGGUUACUUGUGGCUUGGACUGCAAAUGUGUAAUUGUUCCCUUGCAGAUAUUCUCUAAGGUUUAUUGUUUUGGGAGAUCUUCUUUGACAUCUCUGAGAUUUGCUCAAAUGUGAAAUCUCCAUACGAGCUCUAGAAAUAGUUUCGAGCACCGACUUACUUUUUUCAUCUUGCCCUUGGAGAAACACUUUUAGCGAGUCAUUGUCAAUGUGAUGGUUUAGAACACUUCUUAUGAAAGCAUUGAACCGAUCUCAAGAACUACUUAUAGACUCUCCUGGUAGUGACACGAAGUUGUUAGGCUUAUCCUUCUAGUUCAGCUUCUUGGAAGAUGGAAAGAACUUUGAUAAGAAUGCUUCAGUCAAUUGGUCCCAUGUAUAGAUAGAGUUAUAAGGGAGUUCAUUAAACCAAAUCACUGCAUCACCGGUCAAUGAUAGACGAAUCACUCGCAACUCGAUAGCAUCCAUAUCUAAAUCAGUCAUCCUAUUAAAAUUUUGCACACUACCCCAAGCGUGGCUAUGUGAGCAUAAGGGUCAUCCGAUUUCAACCCUGCAAAUAAGCCUCUCGUUGUGAGCAUCUACAUCAAUCUAAUAUUUACCACAAAAGUGUUGCCCGAUAGUAGAGGAUGUAAGACAAGCAUUCCAUCAGAGUCAGCAAUGUUAUAUUUUACCCAGUAUAUGUUUUGGGGUUGUGGUUCUGAUGGCUUUUGUAUCCUCACUGCAUCUCCUAGUCAAUUUUAUGCUAGAGCCUGAUUAUUUUCAUUAACCUUCUUCAUGAAUCAGGUUACCAAGAAUCAUAUAAGUUAUCAUUUAGCAUACAAGGUAAAACUUCCAUAACUUCAACAUUUAGACUCAUUUAUUAAGAAAUCCAUUAUUCAUUUAAUCAUUCCUAUACAAAGUUAUCUUAAGACUAAUAUAGGUAAGACUUGAAGAGACCGCCCAUACAAGCUCUUCAAUACACACCUAAGUGAUCCUUAAGACUACCAAAGAUAAGCAUGCUUCGUCUCAAUUUGACAAGUCAACAUUCAUUAUUAAAAUAAAUAUUAGAAGGAACACACAUGCAUUUAAGAGCUUCACAUAAAGAUCAUCCUCAAAGACAACCCCCAAGUUACACUUAGUGCAAUGUGAAAUUAUCAUGCCAUACUACUACUUCCACUUAGUGCUCCUUAGAAACCACCUUGGACUAGAAACAUCAUAUUUAUCAUUUACAUAACUUUAAUAUUACAAGACAUAAUAUCAACAGAUUCAUUAACAUUACACAUAAAGUCAACUUACUUCUUUUACAUCAUAAAGUGACUCAUUCAUACAUUCUCAUAUAAGGACACACCAAGACUCCCUCCAAAUGUAUACUUGUGCAAUGCAUAGAUAGUGUUCCAUUUCACCACCUACCUUAAGUAGUACACCCAUUAGAAGACUUAGUUCAUUUACAUUCAUUUGUGGGGGCUAGCUUUAACCGACAUAGAACAUGAGAUCUAGACAUGGAAUUCUGGUAUUAACCCCUACCGAAUGAGGGAUCCUUACUUACCUAAGGUAGGGUAAUUCUCUUAAACUUUACAUGGACGACCAAUUGCUAAACCUAUGAGGGCACAUAGAUAGUUAAGGGAUAAGGAUAUUGUUCUAACUAACUCAUCUCUACUCACGAAGAGCAUUCAUCUGAAGAGAUACAUUGGAUACAACAUCUCUACUCACAAAGAAUAUCUGCCCCUUCUUCAAAUCCUCUCAGUCCUAAGCAUAAGUCCCUAUAGAGUUCUAGACAUUCUUUACGAUCAUUAGCUAUAGGAUAAGACAUUCUACCAAGUAGUUCAUCUAAACUAACGAAGAGUACUAAUCUAUAGAGUUUACUUGCAAAUACUACACCUUAACUCAUGAAGAGUAUCCAACCUCCAAUCUUUCUUUAGAAGCUCUUGGGAAUAAUGAGGUUGCUACUAAACACUUCAUCUCAACUCACGGAGAGUGUUCACCCCAAAAUCCCCCUUUUCAUUACUAGAGUUCUUUAGGAAUAGUAGGGUUGGUCUAGACUCUUAAUCUUUACUCGCGAUUAGUGUCUAUUCUAAUAUCCACCAUUUUCAUUCACUGAAUUCACUCUUUCAUUCAUAGAGUAAGUGUGUGAGUACAAGUGGGAAUACUCUUCACAUAAUUACCAUAUUCAUAACAUUGACUUCUAAACAUGAUCAUUCUAAGUUCAUUCGAUUUCAUACACUAUCAUGCUUCACAUUCACAUUAUACCUCAUUUAGACAUAACAUCUUCAAGAUACACAUUUUCAACUUCCUAAGACAUGUCAUGCGUAUACAUUUUAACAUCUCUUUACUACACAUUAAAUACCUUCAAGGCCAUAAUCACAAUACACACACAUACUCUAUACUUCAAGUAAACACCGCCACCAAAGCUAGACCAUACAACUCAUAAACAAUUCAAUAAGAAAAAAACAAUAUACACCAACUUAUCCUUCAUCCAAUCCUUGGAAACCUUUCUAAAUUACUAACAAAAUCAUCAUAACAAAGCAGUUAGGUAGUAGUUACUCCACAAUACAACAUAAGAAACAAGACACUAACAUUAUCUAAUCAUAUACAUUAAACCUACUUCACAAGUCAAAAGUUGAGAUUUUGCAUGAGCAUGGGUUAAUUGAGUUUUUGAACUUAAAAAUCAUCAACUAACAUUAAAAAUACUUUAUUUCAUUCAUUAAAACAUUUUAAUGCAAAAUACCCAUGCUUAGAAUAAAAAUUAGAAGAAUUUAGAAAAUCUACAACCUUUUUUAAAAGUCUUCGAAUGACUCUUUAAAUGAAAGAAGAAUAAAAGAUGAACUAAAAUACCGUAAUAUGAAUAAACCCACGAGAUUUGGUGAAAAAAUCAUCAAAAACCUUCAAUCCUAUCUCUACCUUUUGUUCAAGCUUCAACGGGGUUUUGAGAUGUUUUUCUUGAGAGAGAGGUUUUGAUUUUGAAUAAUGAAGGCUAACUUAGGUUCUAGGAGUAUAAUCUAACUUUAAAUACCUAAAAAACUCUUCAAAAAUCAUCCAUAAACUUUAAACGUUUUGGGUUGAAUUUACCAAAACAACCCAAGCUUGGCCGAAAUGCACAAGCAGAUUGCAGGCUUCCAAACAAUGGACCCAUCUACUAGGCGUCCUUUGAAUGACGGCCCGUCCUUCUGGGAGUCAUUUGAUUUAGAGUGUAAGUUCUUGGGGGCUAAGCUCCCCCCACUAAGUGUGUACCUACGCUCCCAAAUGACAUGGCGUCAUUCAAUCUACUGCCAGUCGAAUAGGGGCGUUGUUUGGGCAGUGUUUGCAGACUUCUUGCCAAGUAUUAGGUCCUCUUCAGGGACCCUUGUGGUGGUCCUUGGGGAGUUGUACUCGGACGUUAAACCCUUAUUCAUGGUCAUAUAGUUCUUAGGGUCUUCAGCAACCAUUUUAGACACCAAACAACUCACGAAACUUAAGAAAGCACGAUAGAGCACACACAAGCACCUAGGUGACUAGUUGUUGAACGACUUGGUUGUCCCUUGACAUUUGACUUCCAAACAUACUAUACUGACCUCAAAUUCUAAAAUUAAUUAUUUUAAUACAUUAUUAACUCACCAAACACAUGUGAAGCUUUAUUUCAACCUACUUCAUUAUGAGGGUCCCUACAUUCUCCCAAAAACAUUCAUCUUCGAAUGACACUAAAAACUUUCAAGGACAUCAAGGACUCAACUAGAAACUCACAACAAAUAUCAUCAUGAACUAAACAUUCAUAGUCAAUGCACCAGACUUACAAGGAAUACCACUUUCAUAUCAUUGAGCACUCUACGUAACACAAGCAAAUUUGGAACUAUUUCCACAAUUCAAAGUGCACACUUACUUCGUCAUUCACUUUAUUAUGGAAUAUCUCCUGUACACAUUCUCAUCCAAAUCAUAUUAGGACACUUACCAAGCAUCUUUAAUAUUUCAUACUUCAUAGCCCACUAUGCUUCUCAUAAGGUGGGAACUCAUACAAAUAUAACUCAUGGACAUCAAAACUAACAACCAACGUUACUAGUCAAGCAUAAAACCCUCCUCUUAGUAUUCAAGUUUAGAUAAAACCUCUUAAUAUCUCCUCAUUCAACUCUUAGGCACCACAUAACUCAGACUCAUGGAAUAAAAUUUCCCUCUUUGUCUUUCCACUCAUCAAGGUAGACUCAUUUGGGAACCAAACAUCCAGCUAAAUGGAUUCUACCACUUGCAAGCAUAACCUCAUAAUUACCUUGCUAGGUAAUCACACUAUUUUCCCCACCUUAAGAGAAAGCCUACACAAGAACUUCAAUCCAACAUAAGGACAACUAUGAAACAUUACACACACAAAAGGGCAACCCUCAACUUUUACAAUUUACCACAUUCCUUUAAUACUCCUCGAAUCUACACCUUAAUUUUCUACUCAUUGCACAUAACCAUAAGAUAUCUCAUUUUCCCCAAAAGGACUUCAUUCCACCAUUAUAACUCUUCAUUCUAGAACUACAUCAUUAUAAAACUUCACAUCAUAAUAUCUCCCAUCUCAUAGAUCAUACAUAUCCAUAAAUGGCAUCACAUACAAUCUGCGAAAUCAACCUUCUCAUAUACUCAUCUAGUCACAAAACUACAAUAAGCAUCAAAACUCACCUUUUCUCCCUCAAGACUUGAGACAUAAUCCUUUCCAAGCAAUCAAAUCUGAAGACCACCGGACAAGGGAAAUAAGAGAGAGAUCAUAUAGAGUUAUGUUGUAUGGCACGACACAAGAGUAAUGUAAGAAAGUGAAACUUCUAUCGUCCUAUAGCCUCGCUCAUUGAUGUGUCACGACUCACACCCAUAAUAAAGACUCUACUACACUAUAACAUUCCAGAAAAUCAUAUGCUUAAUGAAAAGCCCAAUAGGUUCUUAAGAAUGUGUAUUACGGGUAAAUAGUCAUCCCAAUGCUUGAGCAUAUUAGAAAAUUAUGGGCAUAGUAGAAAAUGUUGGCUUAGAGAGUGUUAGCUAAAUUUUCAAGUAUCUAUGAGUUUGCCUAAUGAAUGUACCUGAAAUGAAGACCCUAAGCUAAUUAAAAAGUUGUCAUUACAAAUGACAUGAACUACUAGGCAUCCAAGUGUCAAGCCUAGUACCAUAACACAUGACCAUUUAAAAUUAUCAUAUAGAUAAACAGUGGCUAAGGAAAUAGUGAGGAUCCUUGGGAAAAUAAGUAAACAUUCCCAAAUAAACCAUAAAUAAUAGUUAUUUAGGAAAGUUCAACCAACAUAUGUGCAAGCAUAUGUGCAAGACAUAUUAAGAAGCUGCCAAAGGAGGGGACCACCCAAACCAAAUUUGGUUAGGGUAGUUAGGGGGGGAAACGUGCACAAGGGACAAAUCCAUGUGGAUACUAACCACCCUACAAAUUCUAGACUCUAACCUACUACCCUAAAAAACUAAAUAACCUAGGACUAACCGAAUUAGACCCAUUAUUGCACCCGACAACCUAGGACCAAAACUGGGUUGACACUAACCUAGUACUAGUUAAAGAGACAACCUAGUACCUAACCUUAUAAUUAAUUAAUUUAUAAGGGCUAAACCAAAAUAAAAAGGAAAUUUUUAUAUUUCAAUUAAGACAAGAAAGGAACAACCUAGUACCUAACUUAUCAUGGUCCAAAGAGUUAGUUAAGAUCCUAACGAUUUAAGGGUACUUUAGUAAUUGCCCUAGGAUACUUAAUUAAUUAAUUAGCAACUUAAAUUAAUUAAUUUAAAGGGGCAAAACCUAAAUCACAAAGCAGUAUGCAGAUUUCGGUUUAAACAAGGAAAAAACAAUCUAGUACCUAACCUAGGAUGGUUCAAAGGAUUAGUUAUGGUUAUAAUGACUUAAGGGUACUUUAGUAAUUAAUUACCCUAGGUCACUUAAUUAAUUAAAUUAUCCAUUUAAUUAAUUAAAUUAAAGUGUCAAACCAAAAUUCUUCCACUAACCUAAGUACAACUCAAGAUACAUCCUAGUACUUAACCUAGGAUGGUCCAAAAGGGUUAAUUUUUGUUCCAAUGAUUUAGGGGCACUUUAAUAGUUUAGGAACCUUAAUUAAUUAAAUUAGACAUUUAAAUAAUUAAUUUAAAGGGGAAAAACUAAAUUCUUAGGAAAAUUUUUAGAUUUGACCAAGUAUUGUGUUUUCCUUGUUCUAGUCAAUCUAGGAGGGGCUUUUCAGUAAUUAGUUAAUAAUUUAUUUAAUUAACUUAUUAAAACCUAAGUUGAAUGAGUAAAUAUCAGUUCUUAAGCCUAAAAAUCACGUCCAAACUCAUAGACAAAAAGGACGCAAAAACAGUAAGCAACGAACGCAAGAAAAAGGCAGAAAAUUUAUCGAUUUCUCUACGGCGAUUUCAUUCAAGGUGUUCUUCGUAGAUUAAGUUCUACAUAAGGUAUGGGUUUAUCUCCUGGACUUCUAUCUCCAAGAGAACUUUCUUUUGAAUGAUUUAAAGAUCUUGAAAACUAGGGUUGUUUCCCGUCAUUCUUGUCAAACUCCUUUCCCUAGUAUUCUUGUUACGAUUUCAAUGUUCAAUAGGUUAGAAAUCAUGUUGUUGGUAUGUGGUUCUGGAUGAUCUUAAUGUGUAUGGUUUUUGAUUAAAUAAUGAUUGAAUGAACCUAUUAAUUGGACUCGUUUGAUGCUAAGUGUUAUUAUGUGAAUUAAAAGAAUGAUACUUUGUUAAAGAUAUGUCCGAAAAUGUUAUGUAUGAAGAUUUUAAGGUCUGUUUUGCAUACUUGCUGUUAAAAUGACAUUAUAAAGAUGAUAUAUUCAUCAAAUGCUAAUAUGAUUCUAUCCAAGAUGUUAAAAAAAUGUUAUGCCUGAAGUUAUGUUAUAAGGUUAGCUAAAAAGAUCUCCGUGAAAUCAUAAUUUGAGUGAAUGUUUGUCUUAUAUCAAUAAAAUGGCUAACAAAAACAUUGUUCAAAAUUUAAAUGGGAAUUGGCUAUAAUGUUAUCUCUAAAUAAGUAAAAGAUUGGCUAAUGAAUAAUGUAUUCCAAAAAUGGAGCAUGAUUGAAUGAAACUUUUGCUUAUGCCAACAAAAUAGUUAUGAAAUCUAUAGCCAACUGCUUAUAUCAUUACUAAUAUUAUGCAAAUAAAUUGGCUAACACUACAUUGCCAAACAACUUGUAGGGAAUUGGCUAUAAUAUUUUGUUAAAUAACUAAAAGAUUCGCUAAUGUAUAAUCUAUAAAAACUUAAGCAUGUGGAACAUGAAAAUUUGCUUAUGCCAACAAAUAUGGUUACAAAAUCUAUGCCCAAUUGACUAUGCUAAUACUAAUUGUAUGCCAAUAAAUGGCUAACGAUGCAUUGUCUAAAGGUGAUGCAUGUAAAUGGCUAUAAUAUUAAUUUAAAAGAUUGGCUAAUGGUUCAUACAUAUUAAAUUUAAAUAUGAACACACGUAAAAUUUGCACAUGCCAACAAAAUUAGUUAUGUAGUUAAAUAUUCAAAGUUUGAGGCCAAUACUAAUCAUAUGAUCUUGUGUAGUUAGAGUAUCAAAUGAUAAUAUAAGCGCUUCUAAACUAAUUCAAUGAACCCAUAAUCAAGGGCAUGCCACUCAUUGGGACAACUCCAAACAUGCUCUAAAAGAAUGACAUAUGAACUCAUGAAACUCAUUGAAUGAAGUGCUCAUCGUCCAUAAUGAUGAUAUGAAUCUACUACACUAAAGUAAGUAAGUAACGUGAGUUAUAACAUAAAAAAGGGGCCUAAAGUAAGUAAGUUACCAGAAUGGGGUGUUAAUGGAAGUGAGACAAGUCUCACUUACACCUAAGCUACGAUGUUAAAAGAAUACUCAUGUAUGAAGGUGUUAGAAUGUAUCUGCCAGUCUAAUUAACACCAAAGGAUGAUAUGUAAGGAAAAUUUAUAUUUCAUCAAUGUAAAGUAAGGAUGACCGUCAUCAAUAGAGUUAGUAAAUCACAAUCUAGAAGCAAGCCUCCCUAAUGCUUGAGUCAACACUAGAAGAUAAAAAGAAAUGAAUAUUCACAUAAUGAGGUGAGUAAUUAUAUUAAUCCAUGAUUCUAAUGAAAAUGGUGACAACAUGAUAAGAGGCUAAGAUGAAUGGUGAGACAAGUCUCAACCAAGCCUAAGUAAAGGUCACUAAAAGUACUCACCUAAGAGAAUGUUGAAUAUCAAGAGACAAGUCUCAAUCAUACUAUAUAUGUACGUGUAAGGAAAAUUCACACUUAGUACUAUUGAUGAGAUGAGAAAUCAUCUAAUGAGCAAUGAUGCUCUCAUGAUAGAAGCCAGUUUCCAUGAUUUAUAAGUUGAAUGUAAUGGAACUUUAUACUGCACUGAUAGGCUAGCUAUAAGCGGUGACGCGUUCUUUCGGGAAGGGCAGAGGUUCACGUAACUCUCAUGAGAUGAGACAUUCUGGCAUUCCAUGUAUGAGUCUCCUUAUAUCUCUUAGUCUUUGAACCUAUACUGCUAAUAUAGGGAUCUAGCAGGGUUCGACUCCUUAUAUACGCUAUCAUGUUCGAGUCACUUUGGCCAGUGAUUCCACUUCUUUUUGGUAUUGGGCAGACACUGGAUUUCAUGAUUGCUCACAUGAUCUAUGUCGCAUAAGGUUAAAGUUCCCAAAGAAAGAAUGAGGCAAGCCUCAAAGUAUGAAAGAUAAUGAAAUGAACGAUACCGAAGGUUUUUUGCAAGACAAUCAGGAGAUGAAAUCAGAUUCAAGUAAUGACAUUAGGUCAUUCUUGGUCAUUGCACUUCAUGCUCCCGAUGAGAAUCUUAAACUUCAUCAUAGGUAUAGCUGGUGUUUACAUCAGCCUAUGAAUGAAUGAAAUGAAUAAUCUGAAGUACGAAUGAACAAAUGAAGCAGACUCUGUGUUUGCUAAAGAAGGCCCUCGAGUUGAGGUCCCAUAUGUUGGCCCUCAUUUGAGAUGUCUUAAUUCUACAUCAACGAUUCCAAAGUCUCGUGUAUAUGAAAUAUAUAAUAUAUAAAACAUGAAAGUAAUGAAAUCAAUGGCAUGAUCAAUAGAGAAUUGCUUACGAAAGGUAAUGAAUAUAUAGUGUAAAGAAUGACUCACUAUAAGAUAGGCAAAUAAUUCCUUAGUCUUUGAAUUACUUACAUUGAUUCAUUGUGGGUAUGCGACUACAAUGAACAUAGGUCAAAAAGAAUUAUUGAACUACACAACAACAAGAAGAAAAAGACUGAAAAAUAGUCUAAGUUUUCAAACAGGAUCAAAAAUCUCAAAUCUUUGCCUGAGUUGUACCAAAAUUAUGUUUAUGAUACUAAUGUUUUGUAAUCCUAUAGAAAAUGAGUUGUGUGCUUUGAGUGACUAGGAUUUCAAGAAAUAGCAUGUUGUUUAGGAUGAGCUUUCUUUGAUCAUGGAUAUCCUUAUUGUCACGACCGGAAUCUAGAGCCUAGAUGAGACCGGCGUCGUUGACCUCUCAGGGGUCGCAGACAAGCCUACAUACGUCAUUCAUACUUCAUCUAGGUUAAUUUUAGCAGAAAAUGUAAACUUUUUGUUUUCUUAUUUCAUGCUAAACAUUUUAAACUUAACAUCAUAGACGUUCAUAAACCAACCAUUUAAUAUAGAGAUAAUCAAAUGAAAGAAACAUUUCAUAGUUGCAUUAAACGUAUUCUUGCCUAAAAGACACCAAUACAAAGUCUGAACAAAAGUGGAAAAUAUUACUAGUGGAACAUGCUCCACUAGCUAUAGCCUAAAUCUAAGCUAGAUAAUAAUGGUAGACAUCCUCAAAAUCAUGAGGGCAUACCAAAUCUGAAUGAAAGCUCCACAUCUGGAUAGAUGCAAGUCAACCUGUAAGCUCUAGCUUCAACAUGUGCCUGAACUUAAAAUUAUAGAAUUGUAUGGGAAUAGUACACACUUGUACUAUAUAUGGGUAUAUGCAAGCACACACCAAGGACAUGCAUGAGUAAGAACAACUCUUUCCUAACAACAUGAUUAUAGAAAGUCAAGUCAGUGGACUUGCCAAAAUGGGAUUAGGAAAGUUAGUGAGCUUUCAAAAUUUUGAUUAGGAAAGUCAUGCCUUGAGAGUAACAUGCAUCAUCAUACUUAUCAUACUGCACACAACACAUAACAUCUUACACAUAUCACAUAUCGUUUUGCAUAUAGCACAUAACAUCUUAGACAUAGCACAUAUCAUUUUGCAUAUAACACAUAAAAUCUUUUAUAUCAUUUAUUCAUUUACCAUGAGACCUUGGAAUCAUGAACUUGACAUUAAGACUUCCCAUAAUGAGGGCUCAACGUAUGGGACCUCAACUAGGGAUUCUUCUUUAGCAAACAAAGAUUCUGCUUCAUUCAUUCCUACUUACUUUACUUCAUUUCGUUCAUAGGCUAGUGUGAACACCAGCUAUACCUAGGAUGUAGUUUAAGACUUUCAUCGGGUUGACUGUGCAAUGAUAAAUAUGACCUAGCGUCAUUACUUAGAUCUAGCUCACCUCUUGAUUAUCCUAUCCUAACACCUUUUGUAUCAUUCAUUUCAUUAUGUGCAUUAUUUGAGGUUGGCCGCAUUCAUUCAUUGGGAACUUUAACUUUAACAGACAUAGAUCAUGUGAGCAUCAUGAAAUCCAGUGUCUCCCCCACACCAAAAAAUUAUGGAAUCACCGGCCAAAGUGACCCAAAACAUGCUAGCGUAUAGGUUCGAAGACUAGGAUAUUUGAGGAGAACCAUACCCGACAUGUUGGACAGUCUCAUAUCAUGAGAGUUAUGUGAACCUCUGACCUUCCCAAAAGAAGGCAUCACCGCUCAUAGCUAGUCUAUCGGUGACCAGUAUAAAGUUCCAUUUCAUUAAACUCGUACGUCAUAGAAGCUGGCUUCUAGUAUGAGGAUAUCAUAGCUCAAUAGAUGAUUUCUCAUCUCAUCAUUAGUAUUAAGUAUACAUUAUUCUCAAUACUUUCAUUAGAAUGUUUAUAGAGACUGGUCUCUUUAUUAACUUUACACUCUCAUAGGUGAGUACGUUUUUGUAACAUUUACUUAGGCUCAUUUGAGAUUGCUCGCAUCUUUCACAUUUGCCUCUUAUCAUGUUGUCACCACAUUCAUUAACAUUAGCACAUUUGCUCUUCAUAAUUACUCACCCCUUUUUAUGUGAAUGUUCAUUUCAUCAUAUGACAAUGCACUUGGUCAUUUGUGUGUUGCACACCCUUACUUAACCCUUCUAGGGUUUCAUCAUUUCAAUACAUAAUAUUCAUUUCAUCGUAUGCCAAAGUACUUGGCCAUUAAGUGUAUUUACACUUGUACUUAACCCUUCUAGAGUUACUGAUACGCUCAAACUUACUUCUCAAAUAAGAAGUAAAGCGGUUGUGUCAAGUAAAUAACCGUACUAGUGAGGUUGGGAUCGUUCCUACGAGGAAAUUAGUCUAGACUUAACUUCAACCUAUUAUUAUUAUUGUUUGGUUAAUGACUUCCUUGGAAAGUAAAAACAAUAAAGGGGGGUUUCUAUUUCUAAAUGAGUGAAAAUAAAUAACGAACUUGAAAGAGGUACUUAACAGCUUUAAAUGUUGGGUUUUAAUCAAUUAAUCAAAGUAACUUGGGUUUACGUGUUCCCCACAGGUUCAUAGCUACUCCAACUAUAACAAUUAUUUCCUAGUAUCUUGCAUGCAAAGUGAUAAGUUAUGUAUUUCUAAAUCCUUGGUCCGACAUCUAGAAAAUCUCACUCCGCACCUUGGUCCGGCUACGUGUGUUGCUAUCCUAACCCUUAUUCUUACCUCAUAUUAAGCAUCGUAUUCAAUAUUUGACUAAGUUAUUACCUCAUACCAAUCAAUACUAGCCUAUUAGAUAGUAUACACUAAAUCUAUGUUAGUAAUUAUUUUACUAUUAUCUACCUCCUUGGUCCGGCAAGUAGCAUUAAGGCGAGUUCUAACGUUGGCCAUCUGUUAAAAAGACUUUUGAGCGAAAGAAUUAUUUAUACAUGCAAGACACUAAUCUAGAAUUGUUAUUUUAGUUAGGGUUUAUCUCAUUAUUUAAUUUGCCUAUGGUUCCCACAACCCUAGUUAUAGAGUUUAGUUACUCAUAUCCAUAAACACGAUAUUCAAAUAUAUUAAAUAUGAAUUCAUGUACUUACUUCAAUGAGAAAGAAUAAAAUCCAAAGUUUGCUUGAUUAAUCUCCAAAAAUCAAUUGCAAGAAUCUCAAAAUCCAACACUAAUACACAAAGACUAAUAAUACAGAGUCCAACUAUCUGGUGUCUAACCUCAAAAACGAGGUUUUUCAAACUAUUUAUAAAAAAAACCUAAUGAAACAAGGAUUCUAAUUGCUGGAAAUCUGCCAAAAUUUGACUGGUUCGACGGAUCUCGCGACGGACCGUCGUGGUCAUGACGGACCGUCGUGGUCAAGACGGACUGUCGUGGACUUCAUCGUCCCAUACUUGUGUAAUUUCAUCUGCUGCUCUCUUCAUUCCCCUCGACGGCAAGCAUGACGGACUGUCAUAGGCACAACGGUCCAUCGAGGGUCUUUGUUCUAAAACACUUCAACUCUUGGAAUCUGGGUACUGGGAUCACUUCUCUGAACUUCACGACGAACCUGCAGGACGGACCGUCAGAUCCACGACGGACCGUCACAAGCUUCGUAAUCCCACACUUAGUCAGACUUCCCUAUCUUCCUUCAGCAGCUGCACUACGCUGCCACCUACGGACCGUCACAAGCACGACGGACCGUCAUAAGCUCCGUAGGUGGUUUCUUCUGCAUUUCUUCGCUCAAAAUCUCCGCAUUUAGCUUUGGACAGAUUUCCUGCAAAACAAAGAGAAACUUAUAUAAAAAUUAGCACAAAAAGGCUUUUGGACACACUAAGCUUAAGGAAAAAGUAUUAAUAAUACCGUGAAACCACGGUAUAUCAACACCCUCAACUUAAAUUCGUUGUUUGUCCUCAAGCGACGCACUAUGACUCACUACACAAUCUUUGUACAGUAGUAUCCAUGUUUUAUCCUUUGCAAUCAUUUGGCUAUUAAUCCCGAUUAAUCUCAUCAAAUCUAUGCAUGCUAUCACUAUUAGGUUUAAAUUUUGUGGGAUCAGAAUAUGACAAAGACUUACCAUGCACUAACACCUAUCCUCUUCAAUUUCUCACCGAGGUGCUAACAAUUCUGGUAUUGCAACUAGUGUCCUCACUUUAAGACAAAAUCCUCCUUUUUCACACAAUGAUUUUAGUUUGAGUAUAAGGAUUACUUUUCAACACUCACUCUCAAAACAAAGUCAUACUUAUUCAUACGUUUUGCCAUAAGCUUGCCCUUAUUUUCACUGCCUUAAGUUCGCUAUACAACCCUUAGGAUCACGAUAGGACUUUUUUAACUAGUAACAUAGGAUUGGGGUCAGGUAAGGUAUAUUUUGGUAUACUUUAGUGACUUUUUGCCCUCCUUGACAUAUCGGCUAAACCUUCCAUUGUCUCUCAUUUUAUCUCACCCAGUUUCUCAUAUUCUUUCACCUUGCUAUUUUCUCUUCUUUCUUCAUUUGUGUAAGUGACUCUCUUCUUUUCUUGCUUGUAUUUCUCUUUUUCUUUACUUUUGUUUUCAUUUAAUUCUUGAGUCACUUUACUUUUGUUCUUUCUCUCUCUUUGUUCUUUCAACCCCACUUUCCAGAGCAUUCCUCAUAGUAGCCACCCUCAACUCAUGGCUUUGCCAUGAGUCAAGGUACACAAUACCCAAAGUUGGGUCAGGGCCAUAACGAAGGUUGUUUAUGCAUUAACCACCCUCAACUUAUGCUUUUGGCAUAAGCUGAGGUGCACAUGUCCAAGGAGGGACCAGGGCCAACACAUUGUUCCCAGAAAAGAUCAGUUGGGGUUAAAAAGAAAGGUCUAAUUUUAAGCUCAGAUUAUUUGGAUCAAAGAAGGAUAAAUUUCAUUUUGUUUCUUUUAUUUAGGCUAGAAAUGGGCUAUAUUGAAUAAGGUCCUAUGAUCAUUUCCUUAUUGUCUAUUAUAGAUUACUUUUAGCAGGAUUAACCAGGCAAGUUCUAGCUCAGUACCAAUAGUGGACUAUUCAAAUUUCCUCACACUCACUUGACAUCUCAUCACUAUACCAGAUUAUCAGACACCUAGUUUGAAUUAAAGACUUAGGGUAAUGCAAUGGUGUAACUCUAUUUCAUGCUUAGAGCCACACAAUUAUCAGUUACUUAGUCAUGCAUUAUUUUCCAGUUUAUCAGGAUAUCAAUUUAGCCAUCAUGCUUCAGACUUAAACUAUGUACAAAAGAUAUAAACAUGCCGGUUCAACAGAAAAAGUAAUCAAUCUUUUGGGGAAAAAGAACACAGGCAAGAAAACCCCAAAAGAGGAUAGUGAAUUGGGCUACUCAGACUUCACCCUAACACUCACUAUCCAUUUACCCCAGCCCCAACAAAAAGGCAUGCAAUUGUCCCCAAUGCAUAAAAAUCUAAAUACAAGAGUGGUAGGUGAAGCAAACAUGUGGCGCAAAGCGCCGUCGAUCAGUAAGAUGGUGGGUCCGGUUCCCUGGAACCCACGUCCACUGCAAUCUCGACACCCUCAGUAGUGUCCUCAACAGCAUCCGCACCAUCAGUAGUGCCUCCUGCUAUCUCCACAGUGUGGGAGCUAGACGCCCCAGCCGCUAACUCAGAUGCUCUCAUUCGGUGCGCCUCCUCCUCAACAAGGGAGGCUCUCCUCGCGGCCUCUAUAUCUCGGUACUCCUUCUUCCGUGCUCGCGCCUUGUCCUCUGUUCGACCCCUACGCCUCUUGGCACUCUCUCGAGGGGGAGGUGGUGGAAUGUCAAAAAUAGCAAAAAGGGCCGCCAACACGGUGUCCUCAGCAGGCUCGACAGAAGGGGCCUCAGACUCCGGCACCCUAUCCUCUAAGAUCGUGUCGAUGUCUGCCCGAAGACUGUCGACUGCAGCCUGAAGAGUCGACACAUCCACCGGAGGGGCUGGUUGGGCUAGCACUCUCAACUCAAAGGCGUCCAGACGCUGGUUAACCUCAGCGAUCUUACGCUCUGUAAACUGCAUCAUCUUCCUCUCUAGACGCUCUUCAGACUCAGUAAUCGACUUUUGCAUCCACAGCUGGAUAUGUUGCAUAAGAGUGGCCAUUUGUGCCUUUAGUUUUUGGACCCUUGCAAGCGGGACCAGUGCCGGUAGAGGGGCUGUGCGAGAGGAGCUAGAGGUUUUGCUACUACCCGAGAUAGACUCAACCGGGGUAGUGUCAGUGGACGCCUAUGUAGUUGUGCGGGCCUGGGCUACCGUAUCAGCAAGAUCAUCAACAAGUGGGGGCAGCUCUGGACGGGGCCCUCUGCGUAGAUCCAACUCAUUGGCCUCGUCCCUGAUGAGGCCGACGUCUAUAGUGCCCUGCGGGUCUUAAGCUGAUCUAUGCGCCAUAUGGGCACACCUGUGGACCUUCAAAGGGCAAAGAUCAUGCACGGGAAAGGCUAGGUAGUAGUGACCUUGAAUGCCUCUCGUGCAUGACUGCCUGGAGAAGCCAUGCGAAGUCCACCUCGAAUUCGGCUAUCAUCGCCGCCAUCAACACUGCUCGAUCCCAGGUAACGAUGUUAUCAACAGCUGUGGGGGAAAGGCAGUGACGGACAAGCAGCCACAAGAACUUUGCUGUGAACGUGAGGUUGGCCUUCUUGAUGGCCCCAUUCGGUUCAGUCACCCAAUCGGCACCCUCUCAAUCUACUGACAGGUGCAGGGCCAUCCACCUUUUGGUGGUCUCUCUCAGUGCUGGCUCGCGCAAGAACUGGCCAUCCUUGAUUAUCUUCUAGCGGUAGUCAAACUCAGCAGUCGGGGGGGUCCGAGUAGCAUCAAUACUCUCACCGUAUAGAAACAAGCGGAUGGCUGGCAGGGAAAUGUCAACCUGCAAACCCUGGACUCGGACCUGCUCCAGUGGGGCCUGUUUAGCGGGGGCAGCCCGCCUAUCGAUCUUUGAUCGGAGAGUCGCUACGUAGGAUGCGUAGAACUCUCGGACCAUUUCCUCGCUAUAUCAUCCCAACGGACGUGCUAUCCACUCCAAGCGAUGCCUGGUGAAGAGGUUGUGGAUCUCUGGCAUCGUUGGGAGUCUCCCUGUAAGUACCUAAUUGAGUGUUCGAGUCAUCACUCCUUUAUUAGUCAGGAACUUAGCGUCGGAGUAGACUUGAAACUGCCCGUCGACACACCACCGGUUGGGCUGGUCAGUGGCUGGAGUGGGGACCUGAGCUGGUGAGCCGGAUGUAGAGUUUGAACUGUCACCCUCAUCAGACGAGGCCGACGCUGCAGCAGUGGCGGGUGCGGGAACCUCAGCAGAGCCAGAGGCUUCCUCGGACCAGGAUACUCCUAAGGAGCCAGACGCUCCUUCCUCAUUUGUGGCUAACCCAGAAGGUGUGCCGGUUAGUCUGCGCUCCUCAUCAGACUAGGAGGUAGUGACUACGCCGGACGCCACCUUUUUGUGUGUGGCUCUAGGAGCAAGUGCAUCACGGGAAGGUGUGGAAGUGCCUGGGGGCACAUACUCAGGGUCCCGCUCAUCAUCAGAGCUGAUGAUCAUCCGUGCAGAUGGGGCGCCAGACUUUGAUCACCCGCGUGCGUAGAUUCGGUCUUGCUUGGGUGCCAUAGUAGAUAGUACCUGCAAAGGAUCAAUAUUAGUACGAGUAGUGGCAAACAAGACAAGCGAAACCAUACGAAAUAAAACAUUAAAAAUAGUAUGUCAUUGUUGUAGAAGCAGUGACACACGACGGGCCUGGUGACGGCUCGUCGGGACUAUGAUGGACCGUCGUAUUUUACUUAGACUAUGUAUAUAUAGAGAACCCUGAAGGAGAGUCUCUAACUAGCAUGACGGUAUGUGUAGGACGGACCGUCACAGGUACAAUAGUCCGUUGUAGAUGGCCUUCGUAGGACACUUGAGAAAAAAAUGGAGACCCUUAGGAGAGGGGUCUCUGACCGUCAUGACGGUCAUGCUGGACGGACCGUCGUGGGUACGACGGUCCGUCACAUGUGUCCGUUGAAGGACACUAGGAAAAAAACAAGAGACCCUUAGAAGCAGGGUCUCUAACAACCAGAACGGUUGUGCAGGACGGACCAUUGUGAAGAUGACGGUCCGUCACAUGUGUCCGUUGGGGAACACUUGGGGAAAAAAAUGAGAGACCCUUAGAAACAGGGUCUCUGUCUAGCAUGACGGUUGUGCAGGACUGACCGUCGUGACUACAACGAUUUGUCACAUGUGUCCGUUGGGAUAGGGGUGCUAGGGAUUUUGCAACGGACCCUAUGACAGUCCGUCGUGGGUACGAUGGUCCAUCAUCAGGGUCUCGUUCUGAAUGACAGUGACAGAACUAAGGGUACCCUAAGCAUCCCCGAUGAACCCACAUCAACCUUGUAGUGUUUUGGACCUACAUAUGUCUAACCCAACUACCUAGGAAACUAGCAAUGCAAAAGCACCUAUGUCUAGGGUGGUAAACAUGGCAAUUUCGAACAUUUGUAACCUAGGUUAGAGAGAAUCGUCUAAAGUAAACAACAUACGAAGAGGAACUAAGCAUAUACUAACUAGUAAACAAAAAGGCAAGAUAAAUGAGUAUAAAUUUAGAGACACAUACCUUAGAAAUGGAGAAAAACAAAUGCACAAGUACUCGGUGGCAAGGUUGACACUCACAGCAGCAGUUUCCACUAGUAAAUAAUACUUUAGAGCUUUAGUGAAUUGUGAGAGGGCAAUGAUCGGUGGUUGAUAGAGGAAUAGAUUGUGGAAGUUGAGAAGGGAAGAGUAAUGGGAGAAAUAAUGAAGUAAUGGGGGUGAAAUGAGGGGUUGGGGAGUUUAAACGUUCUGAUUUUGAAAAAGGGUCCAGCCGGGUCGGGUCGGGUAUACCUCAUUAAUCACGCGACGGUUCCCCGACGACGGUCCGUCGCAGUUGUGACGACCCGUCGUUUGUUAAGUCACGUGUGCCCUAGUUUCAAAAUAACAGAAAAACGUACCUGGUAUGACGGAUGCAUACGACGGUAUGUCGCAGGCGCAACGGUCUGUCGAUGUGUCCGUGAGUAACUGCUGUAGAGUAAUUUUCUACAGAAUUUCGUGGUGAUGUGCCUACAAAUUUAAAACUCAUUAGUAGAAAAAUGCUACCAUUACUAAAAAGAUGAUAAGUAUUGGGUUGCCUCCCAACAAGCGCCUGAUUUAAUGUCGCGGCACGACUGGGGACCCUUGAUUACUCAGACUUCAUCAAGAUGGUAUGCCUCUAUCACUUCAUUUGCCGAUUCAGCAUGCCCGAAAUAGAUUUUUAUGCGCUGUCCAUUCACCUUGAACCGCACACCCUCCUUAGUUUGCAACUCAACUGCUCCAUGAGGGAAUAGUUGGGUAACCAAGUAAGGACCAGUCCAUUUGGACUUGAGCUUGCCCGGAAACAAGCGCAACCUGGAAUUGAAUAACAACACCAAAUCCCCGACCAUAAACUCUCGCUUUUCAAUUUUGUUGUCAUGGUACUUCUUCAUCUUUUCUUUGUAUAGUGCUGAGCUUUCAUAGGCUUUUAGGCGAAAUUCAUCGAGUUCAUUCAACCCAUUUAACCAUUGCACUGCAGCUUCGCUCCAAUCCAUUUUUAACUUCUUCAUAGCCCACAUGGCUUUAUGCUCUAACUCAACCGGAAGAUGACAAGACUUCACAUAUACAAGUUGGUAUGGAGACAUACCUAUGGGAGUCUUAUAUGCUGUCUGGUAGGCCCAAAGAGAAUCAUCAAGCCUCCUUGACCAAUCCGUUCUACUGGCAUUCACUGUUUUUGACAAUAUCUGUUUUAUUUCCCGAUUAGACACUUCAACUUGCCCACUAGUUUGAGGUGGUAAGGAGUGGCCACAUUAUGGCGAACCCCGUAUUUCUCCAAUAACCCCUUGAACAAUCUGUUCUAGAAGUGGGAGCCCCAUCACUAAUAAUGGCCCUUGGGGUGCCAAAACGAGAGAAUAUAUUCUUUUUCAAGAAUGCAGUAACACUCUUCCCUUCAUUGUUUGCGAGGGCUAUGGCUUCGACCCAUUUAGAUACAUAAUCGACUGCUACUAAAAUGUACUUCAUGCCAUGAGAACUCACAAAAGGGCCCAUAAAGUCAAUACCCCAAACAUCAAAUAACUCAAUCACAAGAAUGGGGUUUAGAGGGAGCUCUUGCUUUCUUGAAAUACCACCAUCUCGUUGACAUCUGUCACAUGCUUUAGCAAACCCAUGAGCAUCUUGAUGAAGAGUUGGCCAAUAGUAACCACAUUGUAAUAUCUUAUGCGCGGUUCGGAUACCACUGUGAUGUCCACCAACGGGUGAGGAAUGGCAUGCCUCUAACACACUCAACAUUUCACAUUCUGGCACACAACGCCAAAUAAGCCCGUCGGCACAACUCUUAUACAAGUAUGGUUCAUGCCAAAAGAACUUCUUCACAUCGUACAUGAACUUUUUCCUUUGAUGAAAGGACAAGUCUGAUGGAACAAUAACAAUUGCCAGAUAGUUCGCAAAAUCUGUGAACCAUGGAAUCAAGUCUUGUGAAGCAGCCAAUACAUGUUCAUCAAGGAAAGUAUCAUCAAUGUCAGUCUUAUCCCCUAAUUCUCUCAUAGCUUCAUCCUCUAGACGAGACAAGUGAUCAACAACUUGAUUUUCAGUACCUUUUCUAUCCAACACUUCAAAGUCAAAUUCUUGUAGCAGUAAUACCCAAUGCAUCAGCCUAGGUUUCGCAUCCUUCUUCGCCAUCAAAUAUCUAUGCUGAGUGGUCAGUAUGCACUAUGACUCUAGUACCUAGCAAAUAGGAGUGAAAUUUCUCAAAAGCAAAGACUACUGCAAGGAGUUCUUGCUCAGUCACUGUGUAGUUCUUCUGAGCUUCAUUUAGGGCUUUACUAGCAUAGUAAAUGGGGUGAAGUAUUUUGUUUUUUCUCUGUCCCAAUACUACACCAAGAGCCACCCCACUAGCAUCACACAUUACCUCAAAUGGACUGUUCCAAUCCGGAGAAAUAAUGAUAGGCGCAGACACUAACUUUUUUUUGGCUCACUGAAUGCUUUAAGACAGGAUUCAUCAAAACUAAAUUUACAAUCUUUCUCCAGCAGUUUGCACAAUGGGUGUGCAAUCUUUUAAAAGUCUUUGAUGAAUCUCUGGUAAAAACCUGCAUGCCCAAGAAAGCUUCUCAUACCUUUCACAGAGAUCGGUGGGGGAAGUCUCUCUAUUACCUCGACUUUAGCUCAUCAACCUCUAUGCCCUUUUCUGAAAUGCGAUAACCCAACACAAUACCCUCUUUCACCAUGAAAUGACACUUUUUCCAGUUUAGUACUAAAUUGCAGUCUUCACAUCUCUUAAGGAGCUCAGAUAAAUUAGUCAAACACCGCUCAAAAGAAUCACCAACCACAGAAAAAUCAUCCAUAAAAACUUCUAUAGUGUCCUCCACCACGUCAGAAAAUAUUGACGUCAUACAUCUCUGAAAUGUUGCGGGUGCAUUGCACAACCCAAACGGCAUUCUUCUGAAUGCAAAGGUCCCAUAUGGACAAGUGAAAGUGGUUUUAUCUUGAUCUUCUGGUGCAAUAGAAAUCUGAUUAUACUCCGAAUACCCAUCAAGAAAACAAUACCACCCUUUUCCGGCAAGUCUAUCCAACAUAUGAUCCAUGAAGGGCAUAGGAAAAUUGUCUUUUUCAGUCCAUGAGUUCAUUUUACGAUAAUCCAUCCACACCCUCCAUCCAGUAACCGGUCUCAUUGGAACAAGUUCAUUUUUUUCGUUGGGGACCACAGUCAUUCCCCCUUUCUUAGGUACACACUGAAUCGGGCAUACCCAACUACUAUCGGUGAUUGGAUAGAUUACUCCGGCAUCCAACCACUUAAUGAUUUCCUUCUUCACAACCUCUUGCAUAGGAGGAUUCAAGCGUCUCUGGUGCUCAAUAUUCGGCUUAUGAUCAGGCAUGAGUUGGAUUUUAUGAGAGAAAAUACCAGGAGGGAUCCCAAUAAUGUCCGCAAUAGUCCACCCAAUAGCUCUUUUGAAUCUUUGUAAUACCUUUACUAAACUCUGAACUUGUUGUUCAUCCAGGUCUGAUGCAAUGAUUACCGGCAAAGUGUCACCAUUUCCUAAGAAUUCAUACCUGAGAUGAGGUGGGAGAGCUUUUAGUUCUAAUUUUGGAGCCUCCUUUAUAGAUGGUUUCGCGGGUGGGGACUCGCGAUUCUUCAUAUCAAGCUCAAAUUUCUUCGGUUUAAACCGAACAUCACCUCGGUCAAGAGCCGCGACUAAUGACUCAUACUCUUCAAUGCAAUCGCUAUCAAAGUUCAUUAUCAUUGCCGCUAAUGCUUCUACACCUAGACGUUCUUCUAUUUGUGUCUCAGAUGUCUCACCAUGUUGUGGGAUAUAGCAGAUGCCGAUUGGAGCUCACCACUCUGCCUCAUGGACCUACAAAUAUUAAAGGCCACUUCCUCAUUGUUCAACCAAAAUUUCAACUGCCCCUUUUCCAUGUCUACUAAGGCUCUACCUGUAGCUAGGAAUGGUCUCCCAAGGUAAUAGGCACUUCAAAAAUCAACCUCACAAUCAAGAAUAACAAAUCAGCCGGAAAGAUGAAUGACUCCACUUUUACUAGCAUAUCAUGAAGUAUCCCUAUGGGCCGUUUUACUCUUCGAUCAACCAUCAGUAGCCGCAUCGCAGUGGGCUUUGGUCAUAAAAACCCAACUUCUUGUAAAUCGAGAGGGGCAUGAGAUUUAUGCUUGCCCCCAGAUCACAUAAUGCUUUUGCAAAAUGUAAUAGCCCGAUUGUACAAGGAAUAGUGAACGCACCCGGAUCUUCUUUCUUUUGGACCAGAGAUCUUGUAGCAAUAGCACUACAAUGCUGCAUUCUAUCAUCAUCCUCAAAAGUAACCGAUCUUUUCUUUGUGACCAGAUCUUUCAUAAACUUGGCGUAACCGGGCAUUUGUUCUAAAGCUUCUACCAAAGGGACAUUGAUAGAAAGUUGCUUCAACAUUGUUAUAAAACGCCAAUAUUUGCCAUCCUCAGUCUUUUUCAAUAAUCUUUGAGGAAAUGGGGGUGGUGGCGUAGGCAUAGGAGUUACCUUUUUAGGCACUUCAGCAUAUUUUGCAAUGUUAUCCUUUAAAUCAGCAUCAACAUUUACCACUUUAUCAGUAUCUUUUGUCACCUUAUUCUCAUUAGAUAGCAUAGGUUGGUCAAUGGUUUGCUUGCCACCGCGAGUAGUAAUUGCCAUACAAUGUCCAUCAUUUUUUGGAUUUUGGACAGUGUUUCUAGGAAGAGUGCCCAGUUGUCGUGUGUUCACAGUUGUAGAUAAUUGGGCCAAUUGUAACUCAAGUUGCUUAAUCGAUAUUGCAUGUGUAUCAACUUUUUGCCCAAUACCCGCUAAAUCAUUCCUCAACUCUUUAUUGUGCUCAUCACUAGCAUCGAACCUCCUCAUAAUUUUAUGCAACAUAUCCUCAACUCGCGACAUAAUACCUCCACCAUCCCUAGGAGUAACUUCACGAUUCUUAGGAGGAACAUAGGGUCCAUUCCUGUUGUUUCUAUUACCAUAGUUACCCCUGUUGAAGUAAUUGUAGCGAUUGUAGUUUCCAUCUCAGACAUAAUGACCCUCACGAUUGUAGUUACCAUAGUUCCGACCUUGGUUCCCUUGACCUUGGUGCCAAUUCUCCUGAUUAUAGCCUUGGGCACUUGGUCGGAAACCCCCCAUCUGUUCAUUUACUGCAUAGGAAUCCUCCUCAUAAUAACACUCAUCGUUUGGAGGUGGUGGUUUAGCCAAGUAGGUGAGUGCAUUUAUCUUUUCUGCACCCCAGUGACAUGUUUUAGUACCAACCCAAGCGCAGUUCUCAUCUGAGCCAUUUCUUUACGAAUCUCAUAUGUGGCUGGGUUGUGAGUGGACUGCACUGCGAAGGUGUUUCUUCCUAUAUCAGACUUCCUAGUACUCCAAGCUUUUGUUAUUUCGGGAGAUUUUCUCUAAUUUUUCAGCAAUCUCAACAUAAGGGCAUUCUCCAUAAGAUCCACCCUCUAUAGUGUCCAACACCACUUUGUUGUUAUCAUCCUGUCCCCGAUAGAAGUAUUCUUCAGUAACUCAUCAUCUAUACGGUGAUUUGGAACACUUCUCAAGAAUGAGGUGAAUCUAUCCCAAGAACUACUAACUGACUCUCCUGGUAGUGCCACAAAGUUAUUUACUCUGUCUUUGUGGUAUAGUUUCUUGGAGACCGGAUAGUAGCGUGCUAAGAAAACAUCUCUUAAUUGGUUCCAACUGAAGAUUGAGUUGUAUGGGAGCUCAGUGAACCAUAUAGCAGCCUCUCCCGUCAGUGAGAGAGGAAACACUCUGAGACCUAUCACAUCUAGAUCCAAAUCAGGCCUCCCCACACAACUUUUACACACUGCCCUUACCUUAGCUAUAUGGGCAUGUGGAUCCUCAGAAGGUAGCCCUAAAAACAAACCUCUGGCAGUGAGCAUUUGCAUCAGGCUACUAGUUACCACAAAAGUGUGGCCUGUGGGUCUCGGCAAGACAAGUGGCCCAUCCGAGUCUGCUAUGUUAUCAUACCCUCUAUAGUAUGCUUGGGGACAUGGAGCGGGGUGCUGUCCCCUCUGUUGAUGUUCACCUGGAGCAUCAGGUAACAUCUGACCAUGAACAUCAACCGGAGCUGGGAUGUUCUGGUUCGGAUCCUUAUCAUUUGUUCCCAAGUUUUGAUUCAUAUUGCGUAGUGUACACUCUAGCUCUUGAUCAUAGGGAAACAAGGGUUCUCUUCCUCUCCGUGUAUUUGGCAUACAAGGAGGAUAGUUCUGAAAAUAAAUAAAAAAUAAUAAAACAAAGUAAAAUCAAGAAAAUAUCAACUAAACUAUAGUAAUAAGUUUAAGUUAAUCUAAAAGCUAAAAUCCCCGGCAGCGGCGCCAAAAUUUGAUACGCUCAAACUUACUUCUCAAAUAAGAAGUAAAACGGUCGUGCAAGUAAAUAACCCAACUAGUGAGGUUGGGAUCGUUCCCACGAGGAAAUUAGUCUAGACUUAACUUCAACCUAUUAUAACUAUUGUUUGGUUAAUGACUUCCUUGGAAAGUAAAAACAAUAAAGGGGGGUUUCUAUUUCUAAAUGAGUGAAAAUAAAUAACGAACUUGAAAGAGACACUUAACAGCUUUGAAUGUUGGGUUUUAAUCAAUUAAUCAAAGUAACUAGGGUUACGUGUUCCCAGGUUCAUAGCUUGAUAACUCCAACUAUAACAAUUCUUUCUUAGUAUCUUGCAUGCAAAGUGAUAAGUUAUGUAUUUCUAAAUCCUUGGUCCGGCAUCUAGAAAAUCUCACUCCGCACCUUGGUCCGGCUACGUGUGUUGCUAUCCUAACCCUUAUCCUUACCUCAUAUUAAGUAUCGUAUUCGAUAUUUGACUAAGUUAUUACCUCGUACCAAUCAAUACUAGCCUAUUAGAUAGUAUACACUAAAUCUAUGUUAAGAAUUAUUUUCCUAUUAUCUACCUCCUUGGUCCGGCAAGUAGCAUUAAGGCGAGUUCUAACGUUGGCCAUCUGUUACAAAGACUUUUGAGGAAAGAAUUAUUAAUUCAUGCAAGACACUAAUCUAGAAUUGUUAUUUGAGUUAGGGUUUAUCUCAUUAUUUGCCUAUGGUUCCCACAACCCUUGUUAUAGAGUUUAGUUAUCAUAGCCAUAAACACAAUAUUCAAAUAUAUUAAAUACGAAUUCAUGUACUUACUUCAAUGAGAAAGAAUAAAAUCCAAAGUUUGCUUGAUUAAUCUCCAAAAAUCAAUUGCAAGAAUCUCAAAAUCCAACACUAAUACACAAAGUCUAAUAAUACGGAGUCCAACUAUCUGGUGUAUAACCUCAAAAACGAGGUUUUUUGAACUAUUUAUAAAAAAACAAAACCUAAUUAAACAAGGAUUCUAAUUGCUGGAAAUCUGCCAAAAUGCGGCUGGUUCGACGGAUCUCGCGACGGACCAUCGUGGACUUCGUCAUCCCAUACUUGUGCAAUUUCUUCUGCCGCUCUCUUCAUUCCCCUCGACGGCAAGUAUGACGGACCGUCAUAGGCACAACGGUCCGUCAAGGGUCUUCAUUCUAAAACACUUCAACUCUUGGAAUUUGGGUACUGGGAUCACUUCUCUGAACUUCACGACGAACCUGCAGGACGGACCGUCAGAUCCAUGACGGACCGUCACAAGCUUCGUAAUCCCACACUUAGUCAGACUUCCCCAUCUUCCUUCAGCAGCUGCACUACGCUGCCACUACGGAUCGUCACAAGCACGACGGACCGUCAUAAGCUCCGUAGUUGGUCUCUUCUGCAUUUCUUCGCUCAAAAUCUCCGCAUUCAGCUUUGGACAGAUUUCCUGCAAAACAAAGAGAAACUUAUAUAAAAAUUAGCACAAAAAGGCUUUUGGGCACACUAAACUUAAGGAAAAAGUAUGAAUAAUACCGUGAAACCAUGGUUUAUCAGUUACAUCAUUUUAUUAUAUACAUCUUAGGUUCACUUAUUUUUAAACGUAUGCUAGACUUAUGGGUAUAUACAUACAAAUCAUGAGGCUUCAUUUAUAGUUCGUUUAAGUGAUUCAUAUCUUCCUAAUAUAAUAUGGUACAAGACUUAUAUUCAUCUUGUAUGUAUGCCAAGAUCUCGAUUUCAAUCUAAGUAGGCAGCAUUAUUCUUGUACAUUUAAUUCACGUAUGAAACUAGGUGACGUAUAUUCUUGCUUCCACAAUUAUUCCUCUAUAUAUCGGCUACGUCUAAGGAUAUGAUGAUUUCUCAUAUCUAUGGUAGUGCUUCUUAGAGCCAUUGAGAUUUUAUGUUUCCAUAUCGUAUUAAAGGUUCAUAAUUUUGAUAAAAUGUUAAUCUUUGGUAAUAGUCCUCGCUGGUUCACGUUGAUUGUUCUAUUGAGUUAUAAGGAAUGAUUUUAAUUGCAUAUGGUUGCAUAUAAUGUUCUACUCGUGCACAGAGUCAUUUACCAUUUCACCAAGUCCCGGGCCGGGUAAUGUUCGUGCGGAGUUUCUUGCAUAUGUCACCAAGUCCCUCACUAGAGGGCCGGGUAUGUAUAUUAUAUAAAUGUAUUGGUGAUGAGGAUGGUUAUGAUGAUGAUGAUGACGGAGAUGACGUGAUGAUUAUUUUUCCGAGCCCCUUAAUAGGGAAGCUUGGCACCUUAUCUGUUAAAGAUAUGCAUGAUUUUCACUUAAAAGGGUAUAUGUGUCGCGAUAUUUGUUUCGACUUGCCAUAUUGGUAUCCUGUCAUCUUUACCUUAUGCUUUACAUACUCAGUACAUUGUCCGUGCUGACCCCCCUUUUCCCGGGGGCUGCAUUUCAUGCCCGCAGGUCUACGCACAGUUCGGUGAUCCUCCCGCCUAGGAUAUCUACUCUGCUUAAUGGGAGAUCUCCACUGUUCUAGAGCCCAGCCGCUUUGGUACAUAACUUUUUGUGUAGUCUUUUGCUCGUCUAUGGGUAUGGCGGGGCCCUGUCCCAUUGAGUUUCACUACUGUACUCUUAGAGGUCUGUGGACAUUAUGUGGGUUGUAUAUAUAUGUUUUGGAUAAUGGUCUGGACAUGGUUUGUUUGGGAUGUCCGCUUGUACAGGGGCAGCCUUGUCGGCUGCGUACAUCAUUGUGUAUUGUGUAGUGGCAGCCUUGUCGGCUUACGUAUGUUAUUAUUCUUUGGAUAGUGGCGGCCUUGUCGGCUCGCGUAUGUUGUUACGGUAGAAUGGUUAUGACUCCUUAUGAGACAUGUCCUCUUUAUAUAUAUAUGACGUUGGGGUCGGCUUGAUUUGAUUAAAUUCCAUAUUGUCUUAGUUUCAGUUGGUUAUACUUAGCAGGUUUGUAUGUGGGUGUCCAAAACGGGCACUAGUCAUGGCCCAUAGGGUUGGGUCGUGACAAUUCAAUAGUUAUGUCGAAAUGUAACAACCAAUCUAUAGUUAUGCCAAAAUUUUGCAAGUGAACCAAGUUAAUUAUGCCAGAAUGUGGAAACCGAUCUAAGUUAGUUAUGACGAAAUGUGGAAACCGAUCAAUUCAUCAAACCAUUAUCACAAUAACUAAAUAUCCUUAGAGUCAUAUAACAAAAUUCAUGAUUCAUAGUGUUCGUCAUUCAUAUAUCAUUAUUACAACAAGUGUGUCAACAAUGCAACAUUUGUAUAGCUACAAAAACCACAAUGGAGCAAGAACAACAAACAUCAUUAAAUUAUAAAUCAGCCUCAUCACAAUGGUUAUUCAUCAAUGCACAUCAUGCAACCUUUAUUCGACCAUACUCAACCUUAAUAAUACUCCUCUAACGCUUCUUCUGAUUGUUUAAAGCAUAAAACAUUCGGUGCAUCUCCUUUGCAUAAUUCCUACCAUUAACUUGUAUAUAUUACAUAGGGAACAUAAAUUUGAACUACGAUUCAUAAAUAGCUAGCCUACGUGGGUGCCAAGUAGUUGCAUUCAGCUUCUGACCUCGAUUCCUAUUUUUUGGGCUUCAUGAUGGUGAAUUUGGCCAAUAAUCCGCAAGAUAUCACCGUUCUCUUGCUAUAAAUGUUAUUCUCCUUCCUUCCCAAGAUAAGAGCAUCUUUUUUGAAGUUCCUACGGUGUUUUACAACUUAUUUAGGUAUUUCAUGAAGAUGGAGAAAAUAGGACUUCCUUGCCUAUCACUCCCUUGCAUCAGCUCGGCGCUAGCGGCAUUUGGACCACUAUGGCAGGAUUAUGGCCCACAUUUCCUAGAUUUUUGUUUCUCCCUAAUAACGAAUGUCCCAGUUGUUACAAGACAUUCAAGAUAAUUAUCUCUUAAUGGUUAUUAGUUGAUUAUUUAUCGUAAGUAGGUUGUUGAUGUCAUGCUGAAAUCAUCAUUGACAUAAUAAUAUACUUCUUAAAUAUUUGAAAAUGUAUACAUCCUCGUUUCAAUUCGUCACACAUACUUUCCUUUUAAAUCCAUUUAAAACAUAAUUACUAGUUUACUUUUUAUGUAUUUGAAAACUAGCUACAUCAGAUGCAUGCAUCUAAUGACCAAAAUUUUGCAUAGUAUAAUUUUGAAAUCUCAUGAGAAUCCAUGUAUUAGGCCCUAAACAAAUAAAAUUUUAUUAUUUACCUUAUUAAAUUCAAUAAUGUUGAAACUUAAAUUCAUGGGAUAAUAUAAAAUUCAACAAAAUUUGACCAAUAAAUACUGUAAAAAAAUGCAUUAAACCUUUUCCUCUUUUUAAGGUAGUUAAAAAAUUACAAUGUUAUGUCUGUCACUAUGAAACAAUUUUCUUUUGGGUUAAUUUUUGAAGUCCUUGUGAAACCACGUGGUCGGGCUAUUCCAAGAACAACUAUGUGUUGCUUUGCAAGUGCUAUUUUUUCAUUUUACUAAACCCAUGGAAAUGAAAUACCUCUUCACGUUUUUUCAACCUUCCCACCAUGAAAUCCUUUCCUUCAUAAAUUCCCAAAUUCCUAAGGUUUAUCCGUUGUAAAACUUUCGUUGAGUUUUUAUUUUUUCAUUUUAUAUUUUUUAGUUAAAAUUUAAUAGCUUUCUCAUAUGUUAGAUUUUUCUAACAUUGAGAAACAUGAGGAAAACAUAGGAACUUCAACUAUAGAGAAUGAAAAUGUGGAACCGAAUUGAGGGCUUUCAGUGAAUGUUAAUUUUGAUGCUAAAGUCAAAAAAGUGAAUCGUUGUUUUGUGAAUAACUAAUGAAAAUUCUUUGAUUUUUUAGGUAGAUCAAAAUGAAGUGUUGCUUCAAUUGUCGCUGAGGUUGAAACCCACCACCUACUAAAGGUAUGAAGUUUUUGCGAAUUGAUUCAUAUAACAAGUAAAUUUGAAUUUGUAUCAAAAUCAAAGUAUGAAAUAUUUUUUUCCAUAAGUUCUUGAAGUUAAAUCAUCUUUUGUUAACAGAAACUGCAUGUGUAUUCAUUCGGGGAAUUAUAAUGUUAAAGGAAAGAUCAAAAACUUCAUGCUCAAUCAUAUGACUAUUGUUUUCUGAAGAGGUGAAGGACCAAAUGUAAAGAAGAUUGAAGGACUUUUACUCAUGUACGAACAAAUAUGAAGUCGAUUGAGUUUCUCUUUGUCAUGAUGAUCUUCAAAAUGCAACUUAGUUUGUCGAACAGGCUGGUGGGGGUUAUGUAGAAAACCCUUUAAAUUAUAUAUUUAUCGAUGAGAAAUAGAUUAAAAAGCAUUAUUAUUGAUAUUAUUUGAUAUUUCCCUUUUUUUCUAUAUCGAAUAAAUUAAAUGGUUAUUUCCCAAAGAGGCAUUAGCUUUUGUAUCGUUAUUAUUUCAUUUUUCCUUUUUGUCGUUGUGUUAACUUAAGUUUCUCCCGAUAAUGUAAUAUUAUCAUGACCCAGACCAUCCUAUAGACACCCACAUUAACCCUUCUGUCUAAGAACCAUUAAUACUAAUUAUCUAACCAAAGAACUAAAUAUAUAAAGGUACGUAAGUUUGUUUAAAUACAUGAAUCAGAUAGAGUUCGCAUACUAAUGCGGAAGAACAACCCCUAGCCUGAAAGUCACUGUACCAAAACAUCUAAACUUCAACAAGUCUAAUGAAUUGGGUGAAACCAGAAUUAACAUGUGACAAUAAAGCCUGAGUUUGAAAGAGUGAACUAAAACAUAAAGAACUCGGAAUCCUAGAAGAACUGGCUUACCGUUGAUUUCGAUUGAUCACUGAUCUCUUAGAUAAAGUCUGUGAGUAGCCCUCUGAAGAUGACAUGUACACAACCACAAUAUACUGGUAGGAUCACACAACUAUCCUAGUAUAAAACAUAUACAAACAGUCACAACACAGGAAACAUGCAAAUACCGAACAUAUACAAUAUUAAUUGUCAUUCAAAAACAAUGUACCAUUCGGCAUUUUUAAUAUCAAAUAAUUAGGUAUAUAUGACAAUUGAAUGGUACUAUCAUUGAACCCAGAUCCAAACUAUCAUGGUACCCGAUCACAAUUAGUUUGUCACAGGUGAUACCCAAUCUUAUAUAUACGCUGAAACGUGGAACCCGAUCCAAGUAAGUGAUUUGGAACGUAACACUCGAUCAAUACAACAAGCCACAAUCACAAUCAUAAUCAUACAAUCAAAUGUUGAUUCAUUACAUACAAUCAUUUGUUUAUACUCAUUAACAUUUGAUGAUCGUAGUGCAACAUUCGCAUACAUACAUGAAUUAUAAUGAAGAAAAUACUCACAUACAUUACACAAACAUGAAAUCAAACCAUUACCUACCUCGAAAACAUGCUUCAAUCUUCAUAAUAUGCUUUAUUCUUCCAUUUCCAUAUUCUUUCGGCUUGUUCUAGGUCUACAAACAAACAAUUAAAUAUAGCGAUCAAUACUUAUGUUCUAAUUUACUCAAAUUAUGACAAACUCAAUAACCCAACCCCUAAAUUAUGACCCUAAGGUGUAACUAAGGGUUUUUGAACAUCUAAAUCAGUUCAAAACCCUCCCCAAAUGAUAGAUGAUCAAGUUUCUAAGUUUUACAUAUCAAAAAUAGAUUAGGGGAAGCAGAAUCCUUAACUUUUUGACCAAAAAAACUGAAAAAUUGUCAAGAAAUCGCCUGGUUCAUCUCUUAUCUCUUAAGAAUGAAUAUUGCAGAAUAAUGACAAUUUAGGGGUUUAUUUUCAACUUAAAUUGUGAUUGUCCCACUAUGGUAGCCCCCAUCCCGCCAAAUAUCCCUGCCUUAAUGGAUUUCAUGUAAACAAAGAGCAUAAUUUAGAGUUCCAAUCCCCCAUUUCACAAAAUGCCUUCAAACCAUGACACCCAAAAGCUACCCGUCCACACUAAGAGAUGUUCAGGAGUUCGACUCGCACAAAUUAAAUUACGUAAAGUCGUUCGGGUUUCGUAACAUCUUUACUAUCCACUCGUGCAAUCAAAUUCAUUAUUAGAUCUCUAAUUUUUACCAGAUUUCCUUAGGCCUCACUAACUCCGAUUUCAUACAAAUCUGGACUAGGCAAAGAAAUCCUAAGUAACUCCUAAAAAAGUUUUCUGGCCCAAACAUUUUCCUUGAUGUUUUUUCUAUAACAACGGGAAUAGGUCAUUACAAUACAUAUCAAUUUACACAUCACUCAUCCCUGAGUGAAAAACUUAGAAAAUCCAGGCCAAUGUAAGGGUGGAGUAGUACCUAAAUUGCCGAACAAUUGAGGAUACCUGUAUCGCAUGUCCUCCUCGGUAUCCCAAGUUGCUUUUUAAACUGGACGAUGCUUUAGUUGAACUUCAUGGGCUUAAUAUCCUUGGUCCUAAGCUUUUGCAAAUCACGAUAAGUAUUUGCAACCAAUUCCUCCUCAUACUGGAUGUGUUUGUCUAAAAACACUUAGUCCUAUUUAUGAUGUAAUCCGUUCACCUUGAAAUCUCUUCAACAUUGACACAUGAAACACUGGAUGAACUCCCUAUAGGUUAGGAGUUAAAGUUAAGUUAUACUGUAUUUGUCCUACAUAUUCAAGAAUCUCAACUGAAACCAAUGUAUCGAGGACAAAGCUUGACCGUCUUGCUUAAUCUCAUCAACCUUUAAUAGGUGAUACUUAAGAAGAACUUUCUCACCAGUCUGAAAUGACAUGUCUCUUACAUAAUGUUUGAUAUGCAUUUUCUGUCUACUCUAGGCAGCUUAAAGCUUAGCUUGAAUAUUCCUCACUUUAUCUUGAGCACCCUUCACUAAAUCAACACCUAAAUGUUUCACAUCACCAACCUAAAAAUAUUCUAGAUGUAAUUUCAAUACUAUCCCAUAAAUGCCCUGAACGGUGCCAUAUUGUUAUGCCUCGUAUUUUUUUUAUACGUAGUGCGCAUCAUGAUCUAGUAGACGUAAGUCCGGGGAAUGAGAUUUUAUUUUAAGUUCCAAGUGAUUAAAGAAAUAUUAGGCAAGGAUGUUAAUUCCAAAUGUGAUAUUAAGUAUGAUUUGGCUAAUGUGAGUGCCAUUAACUUUAAGUGAGGGAUUAAUUAGUGGCUGAUUAGGAUUAAUUUAAUCCAGUGGGUCCCAUCACUCAUAAUUGGUGGCUGAUUAAUAUUUAAUCCAGUGGGCCCCACCACUCAAGGCAAAAAUUAAAAAGAUCAGAUUAUGAGCUGGCCUUAGUGGACAGGUGUAGAGGGGGGCUGCCUCCACUUCAUACUAUUAAAUGAGGUGGAGAAAUCCACUCUAUGCUAAAUAAAGUGGUGAAAUGCAUUGCUGCAUAUCAUCUUCUUCUUCACCACUUGUUUUAGGCAGCCAUGGAAAUGGAGAAACCAACCCUGCAAGUCUUGGCCAGCAGCUGCAAAUAAUUUGGUUAGUAAUCUCCUUGUUUGGUGUGUUAAUUAUUUAGAAUACCUUUGUUAAUUAUCCAUUAAUUUUAAGAAGGGGGCUUUACCAGUAGCUUAGGAAGUUUGUUUUAGUUAUUGAAUGGACUAAUUAUGAACGGAAACCAUAAUCGGAUUAUUAGUGGUGUCGUGUUGGUGCUUGGGCUGUUUUGAUUAAAGCAAACUGCGGGAAAAUUCUGUUUUGGCAUUAUGUAUAUGUAAAAUGUGAUUAUGAGUAUAUACUCCAAAGGAUGAAUACGAUAAGGUAGAUGUGUUGUGUUAUGCCUCGUAUUUUUUUAUACGUAGUGCGCAUCGUGAUCUAGUGGACGUAAGUCCGAGGAAUGAGAUUUUAUUUUAAGUUCCAAGUGAUUAAAGAAAUAUUAGGAAAGGAUGUUAUUUCCAAAUGUGAUAUUAAGUAUGAGUUGGCUAAUGUAAGUGCCAUUAUCUUUAAGUGAGGGAUUAAUUAGUGGCUAAUUUGGAUUAAUUUAAUCCAAUGGGCCCCACCACUCAUAAUUGGUGGCUGAUUAAUAUUUAAUCCAGUGGGCCCCACCACUCAAGGCAAAAAUUAAAAAGGAAUCAGAUUGUGGGCUGGCCUUAGUGGACAGGUGUAGAGGGGGGCUGCCUCCACUUCAUACUAUUAAAUGAGGUGGAGAAAUCCACUCCAUGCUAAAUAAAGUGGUGAAAUGCAUUGCUGCAUAUCAUCUUCUUCUUCACCACUUGUCUUAGGCAGCCAUGGAAAUGGAGAAACCAACCCUGCAACUCUUGGCCAGCAGCUGCAAAUAAUUUGGUUAGUAAUCUCCUUGUUUGGUGUGUUAAUUCUUUAGAAUACCCUUGUUAAUUAUCCAUUAAUUUUAAGAAGGGGGCAUGACCAGUAGCUUAGGAAGUUUGUUUUAGUUAUUGAAUGUGCUAAGUAUGAAUGGAAACCAUAAUCGGAUUAUUAGUGGUGUCGUGUUGCUGCUUGGGCUGUUUUGAUUAAAACAAACUGCAGGAAAAUUCUGUUUUGGCAUUAUGUAUAUGUUGAAUGUGAUUAUGUGUAUAUAAUCCAUAGGAUGAAUACAAUAAGGUAGAUGUGUUGCGAAUUAUAAAACGAAUUAUCGCUCGGUGUGUCAUUGCUUCGCUGCUAUGGUUGCCGAGACGGAACUGUUUUGGGGAGGGGGCUGUUUAAUAUGAUUCUUUGGGUUAUAUGUGUUAUUGGUAUUGCUGUGGAUAAUUUGGAUUGUUGUCGGAUUGGGACGAACUAAGGAAAAUAGGGGAGGUGUUGCCGAAUUUUCGUUAGAUUAUUAGCUAGCUUACAAGAAAGUAAAGCACGAUGUUUAUCUAAUUGCGGCACGAUUGUUGCUUGUUAUAGAUUAAUAGCUUGAGCAGUAAAUAUUGGACGUGCGGCUCGAUUAUACGGUAUGUAACGCUGUCCCUUCUUUCUUUGUUUGGCAUGACUUUUAAAAAUAAGCGAAUAAAGGACAGGUUUGAUACUUACCUCUAAAGCGUCUAGGUGACGUAUAUUCUUGCUUCCACAAUUAUUCCUCUAUAUAUUGACUAUGUCUAAGGCUAUGAUGAUCUCUAAUAUCUAUGGUAGUGCUUCUUAGAGUCAUUGAGAUUUUAUGUUUCCAUAUCGUAUUAAAGGUUCAUAAUCUUGAUAAAACAUUAAUCUUUGGUAAUACUCCUUGCUGGUUCACGUUGAUUGUUCUAUUGAGUUAUAAGAAAUGAUUUUAAUUGCAUAUGGUUGCUCAUAAUAUUCUGCUCGUGCAUAGAGUCAUUUAUCAUUUCACCGAGUCCCGGGCCGGGUAAUGUUCGUGCGGAGUUUCUUGCAUAUGUCACCGAGUUCCUCACUAGAGGGCCGGGUAUGUAUAUUAUAUAUAUGAUUGGUGAUGAGGAUGGUUAUGAUGAUGAUGAUGACGGAGAUGACGUGAUGAUUAUUUUGCUGAGCCUCUUACUAGGGAAGCUGGGCACCUUAAAUGUUAAAUAUAUGCAUGAUUUUCACUUAAAAGGGUAUAUGUGUAGCGAUAUUUUGUUUCGACUUGCUAUAUUGGUAUCCUGUCAUCUUUACCUUAUGCUUUACAUACUCAGUACAUUGUCCGUACUGACCCCCCUUUCCUCGGGGGGCUGCGUUUCAUGCCCGCAGGUGUAGACGCACAGUUCGGUGAUCCUCCCGCCUAGGAUAUCUACUCUGCUGAUUGGGAGAGCUCCACUGUUCGGGAGCCCAGUCGUUUUGGUACAUAACUUUUUGUGUAGUCUUUUGCUCAUCGAUGGGUACGGCGGGGCCCUGUCCCGUCGAGUUUCACUACUGUACUCUUAGAGGUCUGUGGACAUUAUGUUGGUUGUAUAUAUAUGUUUUGAAUAAUGGUCUGGACAUGGUUUGUUUGGGAUGUCCGCUUGUACAGGGGCAGCCUUGUCGGCUGCGUACAUCAUUGUGUAUUGUGUAGUGGCAGCCUUGUCGGCAUACGUAUGUUAUUAUGCUUUGAAUAGUGGCGGCCUUGUCGGCUCGUGUAUGCUGUUAUGGUUGAAUGGUUAUAGACUCCUUAUGAGACAGGUCCUCUUAUAUAUAUAUGACGUUGGGGUUGGCUUGAUUUGAUUAAAUUCCAUAUUGUCUUAGUUUCAGUUGGUUAUACUUAGCAGGUUUGUAUGUGGGUGUCCAAAACAGGCGCUAGUCACGGCCCAUCGGGUUGGGUCGUGACAAAGAGUGGUAUCAGAGCGGUUCUUCCUCGGAAGUGUCUACAGACUGUGUCUAGUAGAGUCUUGUUUAUCGGUGUGUUGUGCACCACAUCUAUAAAUAGGAAGCUACAGGACAUUUAGGAUGUCAUUCUUUCUUCUUAUUCUAGAUCGUGCGAUAGAGCUAUAUUAACAGGAUAAUCCCUCUCUAACGAAUCCGUGUGUUUUCAUCUAUGCCUCCAAAGAAAGUGACAGCCGCCCAGAAGGGAAAAUCGGUAGCAGAAGGUACUAUUCAGACCCGGAGAGUUACUAGGGCCCGUGCCCAGUCUAUGCCUGGUAUUAUGCUCCAAUCGGAGAGCUUUGCUACACCCCCACCGCUAGAAGAGCUUAGAGCAACAGAAGCUCCAGUUCGGGGGACACCACCAGCCCCCGAGGCCCCAACAUCUGAACCUCCAGCUCCUCAGUCAGGGGCGGAGGAUAGGGCCAUGAGAGAUGCGGUUCAAUUGCUGACUAGAUUAGUGGCAGAUCAGGCUCGUAGGCAUGGACUAGGAGUUGAUCAUGCGGACAGAUCUGAUAGCUUAAGGGCUCGUGACUUCUUAAGUUGUAAUCCUCCAGAGUUCUUUGGGUCAAGGCCCCAGGAUGAUCCGCAAGAGUUUAUUCGUCAGAUGCAGCGUACAUUGAGGAUAAUCAGGGCUUCGGAGACCGAGUCUGUUGAGUUGGCUACGUAUCGUUUGUGGGAUGUAGCUAUUAAUUGGUAUGAGUCUUGGGAGUUAUCUAGGGGUGAGGGUGCUCCUCCAGCGGUAUGGGAUGAAUUUGUGGAGGCUUUCCAGGGCCACUUCCUGCCUCCAGAGAUGAAGCGAGCUAGAGUCGAUAGAUUCUUGCGUUUGAAGCAAAAUGGCAGGAGCGUUCGAGAGUAUAGCCUCGAGUUUGAUUCAUUGGCUAGGCAUGCGCCUACUAUUGUGGCUGAUAUGGCAGACAGGGUACAUCGUUAUGUGAUGGGAUUGGAUCGUUAUCUGAUUGAUGGUUGUAUGGCAGUGACUCUUCAGCCAGGUAUGGACAUUGCUCGGGUGCAGGCAUAUGCACAAGGGGUAGAGGAUCGGCACCGGGGACGUCAGCCAGAUAGAGAUUAUAAUAGAGGCCAGCAUAAGAGGGCUAGAUCAGCAGGUUAUCCUGACGAGUUUCGAAGCGGGCAGUCUCAGCAGCAUGUUAGAUUUUCUUCCCAGCCAGCACAGAGUGCACCCCCACGUUUCAUGGGUAGGGGAUUCGAUCGUAUGGGAUAUUCGGAAGCUGGUCAGAGCUCUAGGGCGUCAGGGUCACAGAUGGGAAGGAGUUUGAGCAAGUCGAGGCCACCUUUGUGUUCUCGUUGUGGUAAGUCCCAUCCUGGGGAAUGUCGUUAGGCUACAUGUGCGUGUUUUUCUUGCGGCCGUCAGGGCCAUACUAUGAGGGAGUGUCACCUUAGAGGUAGUGCAGGUGGUAUGGCACAACUUACAGGGUCCGUUGCUGGUUCAUCUUCUUCUGUGGCUAUGCACCCUAUGGGGCAGGGUAUUCAGGCGCCAGCAGGCCGUGGUAGAGGACGUGGUGGAGCUUCCAGUUCUAGCGGUCCCUCAAACCGUAUAUAUGCUUUGACUAAUAGGCAAGAUCAGGAGGCGUCACCUAAUGUGAUCACAGGUAUAUUAUCACUAUUCUCCCGAAGUGUGUAUGCAUUGAUAGAUCCAGGUUCCACCUUAUCAUAUAUAUCUCCCUUUGUUGCUAGUAGGAUCGGAAUAGAGUCUGAGUUGAUAGAACCAUUUGAGGUAGCUACACCUGUAGGAGAUUUUGUCAUAGCUACGCGAGUAUAUAGGAAUUGUUCAGUAGUUAUAUAUAGUCGUCGUACCGUAGCAGAUCUAAUAGAGUUAAAUAUGAUUGAGUUUGAUAUUAUCAUGGGCAUGGAUUGGUUGGCUGCUUGUUAUGCUAAUGUUGACUGCAGAGGAAAGAUAGUUCGAUUUCAAUUUCCAGGGGAACCGAUUAUAGAGUAGAAGGGAAGUACAGUAUCGCCGAAAGGUAAGUUCAUUUCAUACCUCAAGGCCGGGAAGAUGGUUAGAAAAGGCUAUAUUUACCAUCUGAUUCGGGUGCAUGACAUAAAGGCAGAGGCACCGACUCUUCAAUCAGUCCUGGUAGUUAAUGAAUUUCCCGAUGUAUUCCCUAAGGAACUUCCAGGCCUUCGUCCAGAAUGGGAGAUAGAGUUUACUAUAGAUGUACUGCCGGAUACCCAGCCUAUAUCUAUACCUUCUUAUAGAAUGGCACCUGCUGAGUUGAAAGAAUUGAAAGAGCAAUUGAGGGAUUUGCUAGAAAAGGGCUUCAUCAGCCUAGUACGUCACCUUGGGGAGCACCGGUACUGUUUGUGAGGAAGAAGGAUGGGUCGUUGCGGAUGUGCAUUGAUUAUAGGCAGCUGAACAAAGUAACAAUAAAGAACAGGUAUCCCCUCCCAAGGAUUGACGAUCUAUUUGACCAGUUGCAGGGUGCAAAGUGUUUUUCAAAGAUAGACUUGCGGUCAGGUUAUCAUCAGGUGUGGGUAAGGGAGGCAGAUAUUCCAAAGACGGCAUUCCGGACCCGAUAUGGAAAUUAUGAGUUUAGAGUGCUGUCUUUUGGGCUGACUAAUGCUCCAGCGGUGUUCAUGGAUUUAAUGAAUCGAGUAUUUAAACCAUUCCUUGAUAUGUUUGUUAUUGUAUUUAUAGAUGAUAUUCUGGUCUAUUCACGUUCAAAAGAAGAGCAUGCAGACCAUUUAAGGACGGUACUUAGGGUGCUUCAGCACCAGAAGUUGUAUGCUAAAUUUUCUAAGAGCGAGUUCUGGUUGACUUCAAUGACAUUCUUGGGGCAUAUUAUUGGAGCUGAUGGUAUUCGGGUAGACACGCAGAAGAUUGAGGCAGUAAAGACUUGGCCCAGACCUACGACACCUACUGAGGUACGCAGCUUUUUGGGGUUAGUAGGAUAUUACAGGAGAUUCGUAGAAAAGUUUGCCUCAAUUUCAGUGCCUUUGACAAGGCUAACUCAAAAGGAAGCCAAGUUCCAGUGGACAGAUGCUUAUGAGCGAAGUUUCCAGCUAUUGAAAGACAAAUUGACUACAGCUCCAGUCCUAACUCUUCCGGAGGGACCAGAUGGCUAUGUUAUUUAUUGUGAUGCUUCGGGUGUUAGGCUAGGAUGUGUAUUGAUGCAGCAUGGCAAAGUUAUAGCCUAUGCCUCCCGACAACUUAGGAAGCAUGAAAAGAACUAUCCUACUCACGAUCUGGAGUUAGCGGUCGUGGUUCAUGCCUUGAAGAUAUGGAGACAUUAUUUAUAUGGUGUCCAUGUGGACAUCUAUAUAGAUCUUAAGAGUCUCCAAUAUAUCUUUAAACAGAAGGAGCUGAACUUACGACAAAGGCGGUGGUUAGAGUUGCUAAAGGAUUAUGAUAUUGAUAUUUUAUAUCAUCCAGGGAAAGCGAAUGUUGUAGCAGAUGCCCUUAGCCGUAAAUCCAUGGGUAGCUUGACAGAUGUACAACUAGAAAUGAGGAAUAUGGUUCGGGAGAUUCAGCGGCUAUCCAGCCUUGGAGUCCGUCUAGCUAAUUCGGAAGAUAGUGGAGUUUCUAUUCGAGAGGUUGCUGAGUCCUCAAUCAUAGAUGAGGUAAAGAGACACCAAUACAAGGACCCUAUUCUGGCACAGUAUAGAGAUGCAGCUCUUCAAAAGGAAAAGACCCCAUUUAAGGUUACACCUGACGGAGUAUUACGAUAUGAAGGCAGAUUGUGUGUACCCGAUACUGUGGGGCUACGACGGCAGGUUAUGAGAGAGGCACACUCUGCCCGUUAUUCUAUUCACCCAGGGUCAACAAAAAUGUAUCAUGACCUCAGAUGCUUAUAUUGGUGGGAUGGCAUGAAAAAGGACAUAGCGGAGUUUGUUGCUCAGUGCCCAAAUUCUCAACAAGUCAAGAUCGAACAUCAAAAGCCUGGUGGAUUAUUACAGGAGAUAGAGAUCCCGACUUGGAAAUGGGAGAUGAUUAAUAUGGACUUCAUUACAGGCUUACCUCGCACUCAACGGAAGUAUGACUCUAUAUGGGUUAUUGUAGAUAGGCUGACGAAAUCGGCCCAUUUUCUUCCAGUCAGGACUACUUAUUCGGCUGAAGAUUAUGCGAGGUUAUAUGUCAGGGAGAUAGUGAGACUUCAUGGGGUUCCCACGUCCAUUAUAUCAGAUAGAGGAGCUCAAUUUACAGCCAACUUUUGGAGAUCCUUUCAGAAGGGAUUGGGGACACAGGUGAACCUUAGCACAACAUUUCACCCUCAGACGGAUGGGCAGGCUGAGCGUACUAUUCAGACACUAGAAGAUAUGUUGGGGGCCUGUAUUAUUGACUUCAAAGGUAGCUGGGAUGACCACUUGCCGCUCAUUGAGUUUGCCUAUAAUAAUAGCUACCAUUCUAGUAUCCAGAUGGCACCGUACGAGGCCUUAUAUGGGAGGAAGUGCAGAUCACCUAUUGGUUGGUUUGAUGUUGGCGAGACUAAGUUAAUAGGCCCGAAUGUGAUUCAGCAAGCUGUUGACAAGGUGAAGCUUAUUCAAGAAAGAUUAUUAGCAGCCCAGAGUCGACAAAAGUCAUAUGCAGAUAGUCGGCAUCGAGAUUUGGAGUUUCAGAUUGGUGACUAGGUAUUCCUGAAGGUAUCACCCAUGAGGGGUGUGAUGAGAUUCGGCAGGAAGGGGAAGCUCAGUCCGAGAUACAUUGGGCCUUAUCAGAUUGUUCGUAGGAUAGGCAAGGUUGCCUAUGAGUUGGAUCUACCAUAUGAUUUGGAGGCGGUUCAUCCAGUCUUCCAUGUAUCGAUGCUACGUAAAUGUAUUGUGAUCCUUCUAGAGUAUUCCCCGUAGAUGAUGUUCAGGUAACAGAGGAGUUGUCAUAUGAGGAGAAACCCGUAGCUAUACUUGAUCGCCAGGUUAGAAGGUUACGUACUAAGGAUGUGGCUUCCAUCAAAGUGUUGUGGCAAAAUAACAAUAGGGAGGAGAUGACUUGGGAAGCGGAAGAUGAAAUGAAGAAUAAGUAUCCUUACUUGUUCCCCGUACCUGCAGGUAAUUCAAUUCCUAGCUUGACUAUAUUGAUAGAUAAUGAGAUUAUGUAGCUGUGAGGCAUCUGUAAGUUACAGAAUGCAGGUUAAUAGGUAUAACUUUUAGAGAGACCUCGCUGGAAUUUGUUUUUGCAAGACGCUAACUUAACAUUCGAAGAUGAAUGUUCCUAAGGGGGGAGGAUGUUAUGCCUCGUAUUUUUUUAUAUGUGCUGCGCAUCGUGAUCUAGUAGACGUAAGUCCGGGGAAUGAGAUUUUAUUUUAAGUUCCAAGUGAUUAAAGAAAUAUUAGGCAAGGAUGUUAUUUCCAAAUGUGAUAUUAAGUAUGAGUUGGCUAAUGUAAGUGCCAUUAACUUUAAGUGAGGGAUUAAUUAGUUGAUAAUUUGGAUUAUUUUAAUCCAAUGGGCCCCACCACUCAUAAUUAAUGGCUGAUUAAUAUUUAAUCCAGUGGGCCCCACCACUCAAGGCAAAAAUUAAAAAGGGAUCAGAUUGUGGGCUGGCCUUAGUGGACAGGUGUAGAGGGGGGCUGCCUCCACUUCAUACUAUUAAAUGAGGUGGAGAAAUCCACUCCAUGCUAAAUAAAGUGGCGAAAUGCAUUGCUGCAUAUCAUCUUCUUCUUCACCACUUCUCUUAGGCAGCCAUGGAAAUGGAGAAACCAACCCUGCAACUCUUGGCCAACAGCUGCAAAUAAUUUGGUUAGUAAUCUCCUUGUUUGGUGUGUUAAUUCUUUAGAAUACACUUGUUAAUUAUCCAUUAAUUUUAAGAAGGGGCGUGACCAGUAGCUUAGGAAGUUUGUUUUAGUUAUUGAAUGUGCUAAGUAUGAAUGGAAACCAUAAUCGGAUUAUUAGUGGUGUCGUGUUGGUGCUUGGGCUGUUUUGAUUAAAGCAAACUGCAGGAAAAUUCUGUUUUGGCAUUAUGUAUAUGUUGAAUGUGAUUAUGAGUAUAUAAUCCAUAGGAUGAGUACAAUAAGGUAGAUGUGUUGCGAAUUAUAAAACGAAUUAUCACUCGAUGUGUCGUUGCUUCGCUGCUAUGGUUGCCGAGACGGAACUGUUUUAAGGAGGGGGCUGUUUAAUAUGAUUCUUUGGGUUAUAUGUGUUAUUGGUAUUGUUGUGGAUAAUUUGGAUUGUUGUCGGAUUGGGACGAAGUAAGGAAAAUAGGGGAGGUGCUGCCAAAUUUUCGUUAGAUUAUUAGCUAUCUUACAAGAAAGUAAAGCACGAUGUUUAUCUAAUUGCGGCACGAUUGUUGCUUGUUAUAGAUUAAUAGCUUGAGCAGUAAAUAUUGGACGUGCGGCUCGAUUAUACGGUAUGUAACGCUGUCCCUUCUUUCUUUGUUUAGCAUGACUUUUAAAAAUAAGUGAAUAAAGGACAGGUUUGAUACUUACCUCUAGAGCGUCUAGGUGACGUAUAUUCUUGCUUCCACAAUCAUUCCUCUAUAUAUCGGCUAUGUCUAAGGCUAUGAUGAUCUCUAAUAUCUAUGGUAGUGCUUGAGAUUUUAUGUUUCCAUAUCGUAUUAAAGGUUCAUAAUCUUGAUAAAACAUUAAUCUUUGGUAAUACUCCUUGCUGGUUCACGUUGAUUGUUCUAUUGAGUUAUAAGAAAUGAUUUUAAUUGCAUAUGGUUGCUCAUAAUAUUCUGCUCGUGCAUAGAGUCAUUUAUCAUUUCACCGAGUCCCGGGCCGGGUAAUGUUCGUGCGGAGUUUCUUGCAUAUGUCACCGAGUUCCUCACUAGAGGGUCGGGUAUGUAUAUUAUAUAUAUAUGAUUGGUGAUGAGGAUGGUUAUGAUGAUGAUGAUGACGGAGAUGACGUGAUGAUUAUUUUGUCGAGCCCCUUACUAGGGAAGCUGGGCACCUUAAAUGUUAAAUAUAUGCAUGAUUUUCACUUAAAAGGGUAUAUGUGUAGCGAUAUUUUGUUUUGACUUGCCAUAUUGGUAUCCUGUCAUCUUUACCUUAUGCUUUACAUACUCAGUACAUUGUCCGUACUGACCCCCCUUUCCUUGGGGGGCUGCGUUUCAUGCCCGCAGCUGUAGACGCACAGUUCGGUGAUCCUCCCGCCUAGGAUAUCUACUCUGCUGAUUGGGAGAGCUCCACUGUUCCGGAGCCCAGUCAUUUUGGUACAUAACUUUUUGUGUAGUCUUUUGCUCGUCUUUGGGUACGGCGGGGCCCUGUCCCGUCGAGUUUCACUAUUGUACUCUUAGAGGUCUGUGGACAUUAUGUUGGUUGUAUAUAUAUUUUUUGUAUAAUAGUCUGGACAUGGUUUGUUUUGGGAUGUCCGCUUGUACAGUGGUAGCCUUGUCGGCUGCUUACAUCAUUGUGUAUUGUGUAGUGGCAGCCUUGUCGGCAUACGUAUGUUAUUAUGCUUUGAAUAGUGGCGGCCUUGUCGGCUCGCGUAUGCUGUUAUGGUUGAAUGGUUAUGACUCCUUAUGAGAUAGGUCCUCUUAUAUAUAUGAUGUUGGGGUUGGCUUGAUUUGAUUAAAUUCCAUAUUGUCUUAGUUUCAGUUGGUUAUACUUAGCAGGUUUGUAUGUGGGUGUCCAAAACAGGCACUAGUCACGGCCCAUCGGGUUGGGUCGUGACAUGUUGCGAAUUAUAAAACGAGUUAUCGCUCGGUGUGUCAUUGCUUCGCUGCUAUGGUUGCCGAGACGGAACUGUUUUGGGGAGGGGGCUGUUUAAUAUGAUUCGUUGGGUUAUAUGUGUUAUUGGUGUUGCUGUGGAUAAUUUGGGUUGUUGUCAGAUUGGGACGAAGUAAGGAAAAUAGGGGAAGUGCUGCCGAAUUUUCGUUAGAUUAUUAUCUAGCUUACAAGAAAGUAAAGCGCGAUGUUUAUCUAAUUGCAGCACGAUUGUUGCUUGUUAUAGAUUAAUAGCUUGAGCAGUAAAUAUUGGACGUGCGGCUCGAUUAUACGGUAUGUAACCUUGUCCCUUCUUUCUUUGUUUGGCAUGACUUUUAAAAAUAAGCAAAUAACGGACAGGUUUGAUACUUACCUCUAGAGCAUCUAGGUGACGUAUAUUUUUGCUUCCACAAUUAUUUCUCUAUAUGUCGGCUAUGUCUAAGGCUAUGAUGAUCUCUAAUAUCUAUGGUAGUGCUUCUUAGAGUCAUUGAGAUUUUACGUUUCCAUAUCGUAUUAAAGGUUCAUAAUCUUGAUAAAACAUUAAUCUUUGGUAAUACUCCGUGCUGGUUCACGUUGAUUGUUCUAUUGAGUUAUAAGAAAUGAUUUUAAUUGUAUAUGGUUGCUCAUAAUAUUCUGCUCGUGCAUAGAGUCAUUUAUCAUUUCACCGAGUCCCGGGCCGGGUAAUGUUCGUGCGGAGUUUCUUGCAUAUGUCACCGAGUUCCUCACUAGAGGGACGGGUAUGUAUAUUAUAUAUAUGUUUAGUGAUGAGGAUGGUCAUGAUGAUGAUGAUGACGGAGAUGACGUGAUGAUUAUUUUGCCGAGCCCUUACUAGGGAAGCUGGGCACCUUAUAUGUUAAAUAUAUGCAUGAUUUUCACUUAAAAGGGUAUAUGUGUAGCGAUAUUUUGUUUCGACUUUUCAUAUUGGUAUCCUGUCAUCUUUACCUUAUGCUUUACAUACUCAGUACAUUGUCCAUACUGACCCCCCUUUCCUCGGGGGGCUGCCUUUCAUGCCCGCUAGUGUAGAUGCACAGUUCGGUGAUCCUCCCGCCUAGGAUAUCUACUCUGCUGAUUAGGAGAGCUCCACUGUUCCGGAGCCCAGUAGUUUUGGUACAUAACUUUUUGUGUAGUCUUUUGCUCGUCUAUGAGUAUGGUGGGGCCCUGUCCCGUCGAGUUUCACUACUGUACUCUUAGAGGUCUGUGGACAUUAUGUGGGUUGUAUAUAUAUGUUUUGGGUAAUGGUCUGGACAUGGUUUGUUUGGGAUGUCCGCUUGUACAUCAUUGUGUAUUGUGUAGUGGCAGCCUUGUCGGCUUAUGUAUGUUAUUAUACUUUGAAUAGUGGCGGCCUUGUCGGGUCGCGUAUGUUGUUACGGUUGAAUGUUUAUGACUCCUUAUGAGACAGGUCCUCUUUAUCUAUAUAUGACGUUGGGGUUGGCUUGAUUUUAUUAAAUUCCAUAUUGUCUUAGUUUCAGUUGGUUAUACUUAGCAGGUUUGUAUGUGGGUGUCCAAAACGGGCACUAGUCACGGCCCAUCGGGUUGGGUCGUGACACAUAUGAAUGCUGGAGUGGUAACUAUUAUGAUAUGAGAACUAACACAAAGGUUGCAACCUAUCCCAAUGUCCUCCAAAGUCAAUCACACGUGUCCUAAACAUGUCCUCUAACACUUGGAUAGUUUUAUCUGACUGCUCGUCAAUCAUUGGAUGAAAAGAUUUACUAAAAGUAAAUAAUUCUCCCAAUUAAUCAUGUAAUAUUCUCCAAAACAUUGAUUAGAACUCCGUACCACAUUCAGAUAAUAGAAAGAGCCACCCCGUGCAACCUCACUAUCUCUUAUAUGUAAACCUUAUCCAACUGUUGAACAUUAUAAACUACUACCAAAAUAGAAUCAAAGAUCCAAAAGUAUUGCGGGGACCAACCACAAACCCAUAGCUGUACUUAUCCACUUAUGUUCCUGCAUUAGCAUAAUUUGAAGCAAACCUGCAGGACUUUGAUGUUCAUACCGCACUUUUUGAUAGUUUUGGCACUUCGCCAGAAACUCAGAUAUGUCUUUCUUCAUGAUAGGCUACAAAUAGAGUCACUUCAAAUUUUGGUACAUUUUGUUCACACCCGAAAGAAUAAAAUAGUGCAAUUCAUGAUAUUGUGUCAACAACUUCUAUUAUAAGUCAUCUAUGUAAGACACCCAAAAUGAGUUAGGGUGUUUGAAACCUCACAUAUGCCUAUAAUAUUGUUAAAAUGUUAAUUAAGUGUUUUAAAGUAUGCAUGAUUAAUUUGAAGUCAUUUGGGAUUCUAACUUUCAAGAACAUCCAAGACAUUCGAAAGUUAGCCCUGAGAAGUGCAUGUGGUACUUGAGUGUGCCUAGCAUGUCUGGAUGUGUUGCGAGUAAUUAUAUUGGGUGAAACUGGUAUGGAACGUCCUUUACAUGCAAAGGUGUGUAUUUACUUUGGAGACAUCCGGGUAUGACUCCCCAAGGGCCCCGUAAAAUACCCUCAAGGAGGACCCAAAGUCUGCAGAGACACUGCCUUGGUAGUGUCUACCACGACCCUCAAUCGACGUCCAGUAGGUUCACCUACGCCCGGUCGAUGGUGAGGCAUCAAUUGGUACUUAGCCUGUAGAUGGAUCAUCCAAAUGAGAGCCUCAUAUUUAAACAAUGGUCGCCACCAACGGCCCGUCGAUAGUCCUAAAGGGCGUCGUUUGGUAGUCGUCGAUGCAGGAUGUGUCAACUGCCAUGCACAUUGUUUCAUUUAUGGGGUGAAUAGGAUAUUCACCAUACGUCCAAACCUGAUCCUAGAUGGUUUGUUUACCUAUUUUUGGAUAUAUUAAGUUAGUUAAAAUUAUUAAAACCCCAUGCUCAAUUCAUUCUUCAAAUUAGACUCGUCCUUCUAAAAAAGAAACCUCUCUAGAAAUCUCCAUUGGAGAUGAAGCUCCAGAACAUCUUGGAGCUUGGAUUCCUAUGGGUUAUUCAUGAAGUUCCAGUGGUGUUCUUCUAUAAUGAGGUAUGAUGAUCCUUCAUCUAUAGAUAAACUUUCACUUCGAGAGUUCCUUGCAAUGCUUUCAAAGAGAUUUCAUGAUCAAACUACUUCUUCAAUCUAGCCAUGGUUUCUUUCUCAAAUUUAUUUAAAAGCAUAAUGUUAAUGAAAUUGAUGAUUAGAUACUAAUUUGAAUUUUGAACCCAUUAUCUCUCUCAAACUUGAUUUAGCCUAUGUAUGGGCUUUGUGAUCUUGAUCUUAUGUUAAUUGAAUUGUGAUUCAAUCAUGUUAAAAUUCUUAUAUAUACUGCCUAGUAUGUGUAUUUACGGUUAAUUGCUUAUGAGUGAUCCGUGUGGAUCAAGGUUUGAGGGUUUGAAUAAGAUUAGCCUAUAACGUUGUAUCUUCUGAUCUUGAUGCUAGAAUGAUUGUUAUGAGAUUCAAUUAUGAUGAAUUGUCUUUGCUACUGCCUACAAUGUAAUGUGAUGAUAACUUUGCUGCAAUUGAUCCAAUGUAAAUAGAUACAAUCAAAUUGGCAAGGAUUGAUCUAGGUUCUUCUGGCUUAUAGAUUGAUAAUGUCAUGUACAUGAUAUGAUCUAAAUUCUAGGGUAGAUGAAGCAUGAUUUAGUUUAGGUUGUUAUCUCUAUAGCUACUGCCCUACAUGUAUAUUUUUGAUGAAUUAUGAUUGAUGAUCAAGGCAAGGUAAAUUGGUGAGUGAUCUAUGUCUCUCUACUUUCUAGUGAAUUGGUAAGUAGUGUACUUCUUAGUAGCAUGAUCUUGUAGUUGCUAUUGCAUGAUUUCGUUUCUGCUGAAGUACAUUUAGCUACUUCUAUAUACUUGAAUGUUGAUGAAAAAGGAGUAUUGAUCAAUAAUGAUCAAAGUUUGAGGAAUUGGUAAUAUUGCCUAUUUGCUUUACUUUUCUAUAGUGUGGUGGAGAGAAUUGGCCUUGGAUGGAAUUGUGUGGUAUGGUGCACUUAUGGUGGCAUUUUUUACUUCUUUUUAAUAUAUAUAAAUAUAUAUAUAUAUGUGUGUGUGUGUGUGUGUGUUGAUUAUGGCCUUGAAUUCAACGUGAUGUUAUAUGAGUGUGUGAUUAUGAAGAUCACACUAUGUGAAGUCUAUGCCUAGUUUCCUAUUCUAGCUAUGAUCUAGGUUUUAUUGCUAAUAUUAUGUGCAUGUUAAUGGUUAUGAUAGGUUUAUUUAUAGGUGCUGCCUUUGAUGAAGUAAUAAUGAUCGGUGACCCUUACCUAUGUACCCCUUUAUGAAUGUGUGAAUAGCUAAGGUUAGGAGUCCGAAGUUUAAUGUGAAGUUAGCGUGUCUCCUAUGCUAUUAUGUGUUGUGUGGUCUAUGCUUGGUUGUGUAUUGUGGUUAUAAGAGGGUGGCUGCCUCAAUGUGUUGUUGAUAGCCAUCAGGUGAUCAUGUUGACCAAUGUACACACACUCACACUUCAUGCAUGCUUACAAGUAGAAUAGGUUCAUGGUAUUAAAUGAAAGGGUACUCUCAUAUAAACUAAUGUCCACUACUAUGCAUGUAAAGUAUAUAUAUCUAUGAAGUAUGUGAUGUAUCAUUAACUAGGACGACUUGAUAGGUGUACUAGCAUGGGCAAGGGUAUGGGACUUUGUCUAUGCAUUGCACAUGUGUGCCUUGAUAGGAAAGUUCCUAAAUGGUUUUCUAUGUAAAUGAAUGUGAAUACAUGAUUAUUUAAUUGUAUGAACAUGUGUGGUCUUAAUGUGUUAUGUGAGAGGAUUUUUCACUUAUAUGUAUACACACACACACAUGUAUGAUGAUCUAUUCAAUAGAGGGUCAUUGAAAGGUGUUCUCAAGUGUAGCCUAAACUAGAUGGUGCUUGGAUAUUCUAUGUCUAUGUGAAAGGGUUUCUCACAUGAUAUAGGUUGAUAAACUCUCAUCUAUGACCUAUGAACUAAGUAUAUGAGGAGUCAAUCUCUUAAAUCCUAAUUUUAUAAAGUAAUGUUAAUAAAGUUUUUUCAAUAAAGGGAACUUAGCUUAGCACCAAGUGAACUUAGAUGAGGGGUGUCCCUUUCCAAUGUGGAAAGGCUUGUUCACCAUAGUCCUCACGAGUUGGAUAACUACAAUGCCUCAAUAGGGAUAAAGAGGGUUUCUAUAAGUGGAUAAUAUUAUGCCCCAUUUGGCAUAAAGAGGGUUUUGUAACACCCCAAAAAAUCAAGACCUAAUCUAGAUCCUCACAAGUUUGUUUAAUUUUGGUUAUAAUGUUUUAAGACCUAAAGUAGUGUUUAUAAGUCAUCCAAGAAGUUUUAAAGACAAGAGGUCAAGGAAUGUCCAUGAUGUACGGAAACUAGCUAAAUUGAAAUUAGUUGACGUCGCUACGUUUGGUGAAGGAUUUGGAGGGUAAAAUGAAUUCUAAAAGUUGUAAAAAGAAUUUUUUUAGGUAUUAUGUGGUAUAGAGGUUCUAAACGUCCAAUAACAAUGCCCCAAGGACCACCCGAAGGUUCCUUGAGGAGACCCCAACAUGGGUGGGCAGGCUGCGUGAGUCAAGAUUCAAGGAGUUGCUGCGCCACGUGCAGCCCACACAAACUCUUAUUCCUCAGAUAAAUUUUUCAAAAAUAAAAAUGGGAAUUAGCCUCACGAUACGGAGCCAUUUUACAGAUUUGGUAAAAUCGUAUUUUUGGCAUUUUGACUUCAUGAAAAGACCAAUUUAAGUGAGGGGUGUUUUGGGUAAUCUAGGGGGUGAUUAUGUACAGCCUAAGGGUCCAUAUUAAGUCAUUUUUCACUCACCUAAACCUAAUUCCUAAAACAAAACUCAAAAGCUCUCAUCUCUCUCUACUUUCUCUCUCCCCAAUUCCUCUAUUUAAGGAGGAAGAAAGCUUGAAGAAAAAGGUAAUUUCUCUAUUGUUUCACUCCAAUUUAGUGGAUUAAUCUUCAUUUAGGUAUGUGUUCUUCACUCUUGGGAUUCCUUUCCCCAAGAGUUCCUUUCAAAGUUGAUUUCUAAAUUACCCAAUUCGUUGGUUUCCAAUUCUAAUGGGUUUUCUUCUAAACAUUGAAUUAAGUGUAGAUUGUUGGUAAAUUGAUGCAAUUUCAUAUAGAUCAUGUCCCUUUCCCUAAAUUCCCUAAAUUUUGGAUCUUGGUUAUGAAUUGAUGGGAAUUGAAGAAUGUAUUGAUUUUAGAUUGGUUUUUAUCUAUUCUAGUGCAUUUAUGGAUUGACUAGGGUAAUGUAUUUUUGGGAUUGGAUCUAUUUCUUGAGGAAUUUAUGAUGAAACCUAUUUUCCCUUACCCUAUGUUAUGAAUUAAAGUUAAUUGGGAUGGUGAUGAUCUAAUUCACCUAGUUCUUGUAUUAAUUGCUAUUGAUUGAUGUUACUACACCUAUUAUUGGAUGUAAUUGGUUGAUGGAUGGUAAGACCAUGAUGAUGGCUUUUGAAGGAGAUUUGGUAAGUCUUCAUGAUCCUAACCUUUACUUCAAUUAUGAGAUUUUGUGAUUGAUGAUGUAAUUCAAUUGAAGUAUGUCUUGUGAAUAGCCUAAGUAGGUGUUGGUAUGAUGUUGAAUUUAAAUGUCUUGAUUAUUUGAUUGUUAGAUUAUGCUUAAGAUGUAAUGAUAUAAGGUUGAUAAUAAAGUACCUAUGUGCCUUACUAUGAUAUUGUAAUGUUAAUGUGCUAAUCUCACAUAUGAGGGUUGUAAUGAAAGGUAUUCUCAUGCAAUUCUUAUUGAGUUAAUGACUAUGGCUAUACAAAGAGUUAUUCUCCUAUGACCUAAACUAAGUUAUGAUUAUUAAUGAAAGACAUUUCAAAAGGGACUCUGACUUAGCACCGAGUGAGAUAGUAGUGAGAAGUGUCCCUUCCCACAUACAGAAGGUAGGUUCACUAUUGUACUCAUGCUAUUGGAGACUCUAUUUCAUGUAGCAUAAAGAGGGUCCUAACUACAUCUCUUAGUUCUUGAACUAUGUUUUCCCAUAAGAAUACUAGCUAGUGGAUCCACAUAGAUGCUAUGUUCGUGUUAUGGUACUACCUUAGCAAGUAGUACGCCUUCUUUCGGUGUAGGGUUUCACGACUGCGGUUUCUAAAUUAGAUCAUGUGGUCUAUGUCGGUUAAGGUAAGAUUUUCCCAAAAGUAAAAUUAAGUGAUAAAUAAACACUAACUAGGGUGACUUAAGAGGUGUGACUAAGCCUAGGUAGGGGUAUGGGCCUCUACCUAUGCCUUGGACUAGUUUUCCUUGAGGGAAGCCUUAGGAGAUUGUUCUUAUGUUCUAUAAUGUAUAUGCUAUGUAUAUGUUUACUCUACACAUUGAUGAUCCUAUAUGAUGUUAGUUUCAUUUAUGAAUAUGUUAUUGGUCUAUAUUUCUAAACAUGAUGAUCACUACUCCUGAUGUUAUAUUAUGUGAUAUUACGCUUUGCUUAUGAUCCCUAAUUUGGUUUACUUGGUUGAGUAAGGUUAUGGGGCUUUACUUGGUCAUUGCACUUGUGGACUUGAUGUGGGGUUAUGAGUAAGAGUCUUGCGUAUGUGAUGUCGUUAUUGCGUAUGUGAUGUAGUUAUGAACUUUUGCACAUGUUUACUCGACUAUUACUUGUUAAUGUUGGUCUUGUGUUGUAUAUGGGUUGACUUAUGGAUUAUGUGAACAUUGUCUUAUAUGAGUUCUUGGAUGUGCAUAAGGCUUUUCAAAGUAAAUUAACAUGGUUUUGAACAAAUGUCCUCUUUAACAUGAUUUCAAAUGUUUUAUGUGCAUAUACUCAUACUUAGUACAAGUGUGCACUAACCCAUCUUUUAUCUUUACUACAAAUGUAGGUUCUAGCCGUUGAUCUUUAGAGUGACAUUGAAGAAGGCUUGGAAUCCUAUUCUCCAAGUUCAGUAGGUCCUUACUUUCCGAGGACGAUGCCACUAUCUUUCUAUUGAAUAUUUUUUAGUCUUAAUGAUGAUUUAGCUCAUUCUGUUUCUUUGUUGAAUUUGUAUAUUUCUACAUGAGGCCUUUAUUGUAAUGAAGUAUGAGUUGAACCCAAGAUGUUGUAUUCGACUUACAUGGUUUAAUAUGAGACAUAUUCUAGACUUCUUAUAUAUCUAUAUGGUUAUAUUAUGUAUGUGAAAUAAAAGUAGAAUCCUAUGCAUUGCUUCGUAUAUGAGGAGUCUAUGUAUACUCGCUAAUUAUAUAUUAUGUGUAAGCGAGAGGUCUAAGUAAACCUCAAUGUAGGAGUAGCUAAAAAGUUUUAAAUUUUUAGCUAAUUUAACCUAUGAAAUGUAAUGACGAAUUCAAAGAGGCUAGUCUUAGUCCUCUUCAAUGACAACGACGAUGUCGGAUACGUCUAGGGGGUGCUCCCCGGAUGUUCACAUAUACCUCCAAGUUCCAUAAAUUAUGUUUGCCCCAUAGGAUCUAGCAAGUGAUAUCACUUAGUAUGCUAGCAUGUGUUAAUGUUCUACUUUGUUAAGUAGAGCACUUUCCAUUGGUGUAAGGCCGUACAAAACCAAUUUCAUGUUUAGCACCCACGGUCAUAGUGUCGGUUAAGGCUUCAGUUUCCCUAAAGUCUUACGGACAAUGGAAGUAAAUGACUAGGACCCUAACUAGGAUAAGCUAAGGGUAGUUGCUUAGUGUAAGUGGAGGUAUGGGACUUAACCUAUGCAUUGCACAAGUAGCUCUUAAAGGAACUCCUAGGAAGGUUAACUAAUGUAUAUGAUUAUUUUCAUGUUCCUUAUGCAUGACAUUGUAGUGUUGUCUACUUGUUGUGCUAAAAUGCAUGGUAUGAGUCUAUAUAAUGUUCUUCUUAAUGACUAUAGUAUGAAGGUCUUGCUUGGCAUGAAUGAAGUUGUCUAUGCUUUCCAUGUUAAUGUAUGAAGUAAAUUUUAAGGUUUGUGGUCUCAUAAUAGGGUUACUAAGUAUGUGUGAGAUUAUGGGAUUUCACAUGUGCAUUGCACUAGUUGAAUUAGAUUGGGAUUGUGAUUAAGUUCUUAUAAUGUCCUGUGUGAAGUAAAGUUAGUAUAUGUGCAUAAUGACUAGGGCUAAUUGUAAAUCUUGACAAAUGUGUCUCAUUGUAUGUUAUUCCUCUAUGAUGGUAUGUGUUAGCUUAUAUAGAUUGUAAGAAUGAAUACCUUGGGUCCUUAAGGUGAUGCAUUGCGCCAAGUAUCACUAGAGGGUUACUUGUGAGGUUAAGGAAAUAAAGAAAAGAAGUUCACUGUAAAAGAUAGGAGUUCAAUGUAAAAGAAUUAUGCUUACUGUAAAGUGGUGACUAAAAUGCCUAAAAUGCAAUGUGUGAUUUUUUAUAUGAUGUUUGACCAUUAAAUAUGACUAUAUGUAGUAUGUAAAUGGCAUAAUUCUUAUUGUAUUUAAGUUUUAUGAAGUUUUCAGAAAAAGGCAUGAUGCAUGGUUUCAAGUUAGAUGUCCCUUUUAAAUGUAUGUUUUUGCAUGAUUGAUAUACUUAGUACAUUCUUAUACUAACUCCAUUAUUCUAUACUUUUUUACAUGAAAAUGUAGGUUAUAGAUGCUUAAAAGAUGUAUUAAUGGUGAGGACCUUAAAACUAUGUAUUAUGAUAUUUUAUAUAUAUAUUCGAAGUGAUGUUCUAGCAUAUGAUGUGCUAUUAAAGUUAUAAAUUUUCUGCUAAAUUUACCUAUGACAAUGCCAUAAAUGAUAACUAUGAGCUUGUAUAAGAUCUCCAAAAGGUCAAAUAUGUCAUGUUACUUCUAGGGGUGAUCCCCUAUUGUGACAUACGAGGUAUCAGAACAUGAGGUUUAUGUAAGUGGUUUUAGGUUCCAAAAGUCUCAUUUGCCACGUCUAGUAGAGUCUCGAUCAUCACUGGUGAGUCGCGACACAUCUAUAAUCGAUAGGCUAUCACACAAUAGAGUUUCCCUUUUUCAUCAUUCUUAUAUCGUGUCAUAGAACUUAACUCUACAAGAUCUCUCUUUUAUGUUUUUUUGUCCGGUGAUCUUUUAGAUGUGAUUGUUUGGAUCUCUAUGCUUGAGGGAGAAAAGGUGAGUUUGAUGUUUAUCUUGGUUUUAUGGAUUCAUGAGUAUGUGUGAAAGUGAAUUUGGUAUGCUUUGAUGAUGUGAUGCUAAUUGUUCCUACAUAUGUGAUUUAGGUGAGAGGACAUGUUAUGUGAUGAUUUAUGCUAUGACAUGCUUAAAGCCAAUUAAAAAAGUUGCUAUAGUUGAAUUGAGCUUCCUUUUUGGAUUAUAAGUUGCUUGAUGAUUUUGCAUGAUGAUAGUCUUAUGUUAUGGUUUGGACUUGAAAUACUUCAAGAGUGUGAAUGGCCAAAACUGCAUGUUGCCUAUAUAUUUAUAUUUAAUAGUUCAAAUGUUUCCUUUUUUUAUAUGUGUGGUUCUUCAUAGUUGCCUUAUUUGGAUUGGAGUCUUUUGUAUGGGCUUCAUUGUGAGGGUAGCAUGCUUGUCCUUGUAGUGUGAUAAUGUGCGUUGGAUUGACUUAGAAGUUACCUUACUCUCUAGUAUUGAAAGAAAAAAAAAGAGGCCUUAUGGCUAUGUCUCCUCUAUUGUUUUCCCCAAAUGUACUAUGGCCUUUGAUGUUCAUCAUAUAGUUGAGACCUUAUGCGGUUGGGUAGUAUGACCUAUAUUGAUUGUUAUGGAGUUCCUUUGGGUGUUAGUACUAGAGGAAUGAUGAUGGUUGAGUUAAGUUGCUCUUAAGUCGGUUUACCCUAAGUGGGGGAUGAUGAGUUGAGUAGUAAGGUUGUACAUUUCUAAACUUUUCCUUCUAUUCCUACUUGAUCUUGAACCUAAAGAGUUCCUAAUAGCUUGUUCAUGAUAGGAGUCUUGAAUAAGAGCAUCAGUUACAUGUUCUCUAUAUGUUGUGUAUGUAUUAUUUGACACUAUGUUAAGCAUGUUUUGAAGAUUCUAAAUUGCAUGAAAAGGAUUUUUUUAUCAAAUUAUGAUUUUAUCAUGAUGAUUAUGCAUCUUGAUAUAUUAGUUGUGCAUUUCACUUCAUGAGAUAAUGUAAGUUAGAUGUUUGAAGUCACUCUUAAUGUGUAGUAUUAGCCUCAUAAUGAAAAAAAUUGAGUCUCUUGAAAAUUAUGUCACUUUUAUGAUUUGGUAACUAUGAAUUUAGGCUCACUCUUGAGAAGUGGAGAUAUGUUUAGCCAUUGUCCUUGUGAGUGCCUAUAAAUUCAAAGAUUUUCCCUAAAUGAUGCAUGUUUUUGAAAGCUAGUGUUAUGCUAGAGAUUGAAAUUUUGUAAUAUGAGUUCCUAUUAAUGUAAUGUCUGUGGUGUAAUUUACCAUUUUGACUUCACUAGGAAGAAUUUUUGAGCAUGAUUUGGUUUAAAAGUUGAAUAAUUCUCAUUUAAAAGUGAAUUGACUUUUGUACAUUGCUUGCCUAUGAACUCAUGAGACAUGUAAAGGACAUUCCUCCUUAAACAUAAGCAUGGUAUGUUUGAGUAUGGACUUUAUGAAAUUAUGACUAAAUAAUAAGAAUCCAUUAUCAACCUAUUUGACUCAAAUCUAUGUGCAUUGAAGUAUGAGUGCCUAAUUGAUUCUUGAGUGAUGUUGAAUCCGCGACUUAGAUGUUGUUGCAUAAUGAGCUAUUAAUUUAACUGAUCAUGUCAUGAUUAGGAGAAUGAUGUUCCUUUUAUGAACAAAUCCAAAGUGUUUGAUGCAUUUUGACAGUGAGUGAAUAAAAAUUUGUGCUUGCUUGUGUUGUAUUGAGUGUUAUGUCGCUUGGAGGUUGGUGUUCCUUGUAAUGUGGUGCAUUGAAUUCUACGUGAUGAUGUUAUAACUAUUUUGAGCUGCUCAAUGAUUCAUUGAAGUCCUUGCUGUGAUUAAAGUGUCCCAAGUGUCAUUCCAAGACAAAUGUUCCCAAGAGGGGAUAUUGUAAGACACCCAAAAUGAGUUAGAGUGUCUAGAGCCUCACAUGUACCUAUAAUAUUUAUAAAAUGUUAAUUAAGUGUUAAGGUGUGUAUUUACGUUGGAAACAUACAGUUAUGACUCCCCAAGGCCCCGCAAAGGCCCUCAAGGAGGAACUAAAGUCUGUCAAGACAGUGCCUUGGCAGUGUCUAACUACGACCCAAAUUGAUGGCCAUUAGGUUCACAUAUGCCCCGUCGAUGGUGAGGUUUUGAUCAUAAAUUAGCCUUGAGAAGGUUAUGUCGAAUGAUAGCCUCCGACCCAAACGAAGGUGGACACUAAUGGCCCGUCGAUUGUUCUUAAGGGGCGUUGUUUGGUGGUCGUCGAUGCAGGCUGUGUCAACUGCCAUGCACGCUGUUUUAUAUAUGGGGUGAAUGGGACAUUCACUUCACGUCAUAACCUGACCCUAUAUGGUUUUUUACCUAUUUUUGGGUCUAUUAAGUCAGUUAAAAACAUUAAAAUCCCAUGCCCAAUUAAUUCUUCAAAUUAGACUCUUCCCUCUCAAAAAUAAAUCUCUCAAGAAACCUCCAUUGGAGAUGAAGCUCAAGAACAACUUAGAUCUUGGAUUCCCAUGAGUUAUUCAUCGCGUUUCAGUGAUUUUCUUAUACAUUGAGGUAUGGUGAUCCUUCAUAUCUAGAUAACCUUUCACCUAGAGAGUUCCUUUCAAUGUUUUCAAAGAGAAUUCAUGAUCAAACUUUUUUUUCUUCAAUCUAGCCAUAGGUUCUUUCUCAAAUUGAUUUCAAAAGAAUAAUGUUAAUGAAUUGAUGAUUAGAUACUGAUUUGAAUGUGAUUUUCAAUCCGAUUACAUGUUGAACCCAUGAUCUCUCUCAAACUCGACUUAGCCUAUGUAUGGGAGCUUGACUUAAAGUAAAUUGAAUUGUGAUUCAAUUAUGUUAAAAUUCUUAUAUCUACUGCCUAGUAUGUGUAUUGAUGGUAAAUUGUUGAUUAAUGAUCCAUGUGGAUCAAGGUUUGAAGGUUUGGAUAAGAUUAUCCUAUAAUGUAGUAUCUUGUGAUCUUGAUGCUAGAAUGAUUGUUAUGAAGUUCAAAUUAUGAUGGAUUGUCUUAGCUACUACCUACAAUGUAAUGUGAUUAUAAAUUAAGUUUAAUUGAUCCAAUGUGAAUAGAUACAAUAGAAUCGGUAAGGAUUUAUCUAGGUUCUUCUAGCCUGUUGAUUUAUAAUGUACAUGAUGUGAUCUAAAUUCUAGGGUAAAUGAAGCAUCAUUUAGUUUAGGUUGUUAUCUAUGUAGCUACUUUCAUACAUGUAUAUUGUUGAUGAAUUAUGAUUGAUGAUCAAGGCAAGGGAAAUUGGUGAGUGAUCUAUGUCUCUCUACUUUCUAGUGAAUUGGAGAUGUAGUAUACUUGUUAGUGGCAUGAUCUUGUAGUGGCUUAUGCAUGAUUUCGUUUAUGUUAAAGUACAUUUGGCUACUGCCAUAUAGUUGAAUUGUUGAUGAAAAAGGAAUAUUGAUCAACGAUGAUCGAAGGUUGAGGAAUUGGUAAGUAUGCCUAUUUUCUUUACUUUUCUAUAGUAUUAGAAUUGGCCUUGUAUGUCAUUGUGUGGUAUGGUCCACUUAUUGUGGAGGAGUUAACUUCUUUUCAAUAUAUAUAUGUGUUGAUUAUGUCCUUGAAGUCAACUUAAUGUUAUAUGAGUGUGUGGUUAUGAUGAUCACACUAUGUGAAGCCUUGCCUAGUUUCCUAUUCUAGCUAUGAUUAAGGUUUUGCUAAUAUUACGAGCAUGUGAAUGGCUAUGUUAGGGUUAUGUAUAGGUGCUGCCUUUGAUAUAGUAAUAAUGAUUGGUGACCCUUAAAUAUGUACCCCUAUAUGAAUGUGUCAAUAGCUAAGGUUAGGAGUCUUAAGUGUAAUGUGAAGUCACAGUAUAUCCUAUGCUAUUAUGUGCAUUGUGUUCCUAAGAGAGUGGCUGCCUCAAUGUGUUGCUGAUAGCCAUUAGGUGAUCAUGUUGACCAAUGUACACACUCACACUUCAUGCAUGCUUACAAGUAGUACAGGUUCAUGGUAUGAAAUGAAAGGGUAUUCUCAUAUGGACUAAUUUCUACUACUAUGCAUGUAAAGUAUAUGUAUAUAUGAAGUAUGUGAUGUAUCAUUAACUAGUUAGACCUUAUAGGUGUACUAGCAUGGGAAAAGGAAUUGGACCUUGGAUGUGUUUGGUAUGGAGGAAAAUAUUUUUCAUGAAAAAUGUUUACCUAGAAAAUAUUUUCCUGGAUAACAAGUAGAUUUUGGACUUAUUUUCUCAUGUUUGGUUGGUAUCUAGAAAAAUAUUUUUUGGAAAUGAUUUUUAAUGUUUAAUUUAUGAAUGAAAAUAUUUUUGAGAGACAUCCUUUAUUUUUACUAGAAUAAAAAAUAAUUUAUGAAAUUAAAAAUAUUUUUUUUAAAAAAAAUAUUAUUUUUUGGGGUGGUGGUGGUGGUGGUGGGGUGGGGUGGGGUGGGGGUACUGGAUGGGGGGCAGGGGGAGGGGGUAGGAGUGAAAAAAAUAAAAAUUUGAGGUUGAUGGUAUUUUUAAAAAACAAAAUUAAUUUUUAGGGGGGUGGAGGUGGGGGGAGGGAUGGCUGGGGGGAGCGAGGGUAUGAGUUUAAAAAUAAAAAUUUGAAGUUGAAAAUAUUUGAAAAAUAAAAUUAAUUUUUUGGGGAGGGGGUGGGGUUGGGGGGCUGGCCAGUGGUGUGUGGGUUGGUAGGGCUGUCAAGGAUCGAAUGAAAAAUAAAAAUUUGAAAUUGAAAAUAUUUUUUUCAAAUUAAUGAUUUUCCCAAAUAAAAGAUAAUUUGAAAUUGGAGGAGAGUUUUGAAAAGUGUUUUCCUUAAUUUUUGAAGGGAAGUCAUUUUCCUUAAUUUUGAGGAAAAUGAGUUGAUUUGGAAAAUAUUUUCCAAGAUUUUGUCCCAACCAAACAUGAGAAAAUUGGAAAAUAUUUUCUGGAAAAUGUUUUCCUUCAUACCAAACACACUCCUUGUCUUUGCAUUAAACAUGUAUGCCUUGAUAGGAUACUUCCUAGGUGUGGUUUUAUAUGUACAUGAAUGUGAAUGCAUGAUUAUGUUAAUGAAUGAGCAUGUGUGGUCUUAAUGUGUUAUGUGAAAGGAUUUCUCACUUAUAUGUGUAACACACACAAGUAUGAUGAUCUAGUCAAUAGAGGGGCCCUGAAAGGUGUUCUCAAGUUUACCCUAAACUUGAUGGUUCUUGGACAUGCUAUGUCCAUGUGAAAGGGUUUCUCACAUGAUAUAGAUUGAUUAACUCUCAUCUAUGACCUAUGAGAAACGCAUAUGAGGAGUAAAUCUCCUAAAACCCAAUUUUAUAAAGUAAUUGUAAUAAAUGUUUUUCAAUAAAGGUAACUUAGCUUAGCACGAAUAAACUUAGAUGAGGGGUGCUCUUUCCCAAUGUGGGAAGGCUUGUUCACCAUAGUCCUCACGAGUUGGAUAACUGCAAUGCCUCAAUAGGCAUAAAGAGGGUUUUCCUAAGUGGAUAACUACAAUGCCCCAUUUUUCAUAAAGAGGGUUUCCACAUAUACCUUCAAGUUCCAUAAACUAUGUCUUCCCCAUAGGAUCUACAAAGUGAUAAAACUUAGUAUGCUAGCAUGUAUUAAUGUUCUACUUUGUCUCAGUAGAGCACCUUCCGUUGGUGUAAGGCCCUACAACACCAAAUUUCCAUGUUUAUCACCGAUGGUGUUAGUGUCUAUUAAGGCUAUAGUUUCCCUAAAGUAAAUUUGUCAAUAGAAGUAAAUGACUAGGAACAUAACUACGAUAACCUAAGGGUAGUUGCUUAGUGUAGGUGGCUUAUAUUGUUUGUAUGAAUGAAUACCUUGUGGACUUAAGGUGAUGCAUUUCACCAAGCAUCACUAGAGUGUAACUUGGGAGGUUAAAGAAACAAAGAAAAGAAGUUCACUAUAAAGGAUAUGACUUCACUGUAAAAGAAUUAUGCUUAUUGUAAAGUGGUGACUAAAAUACCUUAAAUGCAAUUUGAGAUUUUGUAUGACCUUUGACCAUUAAAUAUGCCUAUGUAAAGUAUGUAAAUGUUAUAAUUCUUAUUGUAUCAAAGUUUUAUGAAGUAUUCACAAAAAGGCAUGAUGCAUAGUUUACGUAAAAUGUCCCUUUUAAAUGCAUGUUUUUGCAUGGUAGCAAUACUAAGUGCAUUCUUGUACGAACUCCAUUCUUCUCUACCUUUUUAUACAAAGUGUAGUUUAUGGAUGCUUAAUGGAUGUCUUUAAUGGUGAGAAUCUUGAUAUGUGAUUCCCAAGCUCAAGGAAUGUGUCACGACCCAACCCGCUGGGCCGUGAUUAGUGCCCGUUUUGGACACCCACAUACAAACCUGCUAAGUAUAACCAACUGAAACAAGACAAUAUGGAAUAUAAUCAAAUCAAGCCAUCCCCAACGUCAUAUAUAUAAAGAGGACCUGUCUCAUAAGGAGUCAUAACCAUUCAACCGUAACAACAUACGAUAGCCGACAAGGCCGCCACUAUCCAAAUCAUAAUAACAUACAUAAGCCGACAAGGCUACCACUACACAAUACACAAUGAUGUACACAACCGACAAGGCUGCCCCUGUUCAAGCGGACAUCCCAAAUAAACCAUGUCAAGACCAUUAUCCAAAACAUAUAUAUAUAUACAACCCACAUAAUGUCCCAGACCUCUAAGAGUACAGUAGUGAAACUCGAUGGGACAGGGCCACGCCAUACCCAUAGACGAGCAAAAGACUACACAAAGAGUUAUGUACCAAAACAACUGGGCUCCGGAACAGUGGAGCUCUCCCAAUCAGCAGAGUAGAUAUCCUAGGCAGGAGGAUCAUCGAACUGUGCAUCUACACCUGCGGGCAUGAAACGCAGUCCCCCGAGGAAAGGGGGUCAGUACGGACAAUGUACUGAGUAUGUAAAGCAUAAGGUAAAGAUGACAGGAUACCAAUAUGGCAAGUCGAAACAAAAUAUCACUACACAUGUACCCUUUUAAGUGUAAAUAAUGCAUAUCUUUAACAUAUAAGGUGCCCAGCUUCCCUAGUAAGGGGCUCGGAAAAAUAAUCAUCACGUCAUCUCCGUCAUUAUCAUCAUCAUAACCAUCCUCAUCACCAAUCAUAUAUAAUAUAUAUACCCGGCCCUCUAGUGAGGGACUCGGUGACAUAUGCAAGAAACUCCGCACGAAUAUUGACCGGCCCGGGACUCGGUGAAAUGAUAAAUGACUCUAUGCACGAGCAGAAUAUUAUGAGCAACCAUAUGCAAUUAAAAUCAUUUCUUAUAACUCAAUAGCACAAUCCACGUGAACCAGCAAGGAGUAUUACCAAAGAUUAACGUUUUAUCAAGAUUAUGAACCUUUAAUACGAUAUGGAAAUGUAAAAUCUCAAUGACUCUAAGAAGCACUACCAUAGAUAUGAGAAAUUAUCAUAGUCUUUGACAUAGCAGCUAUAUAGAGGAAUAAUUGUGGAAGCAAGAAUAUACGUCACCUAGAUGCUCUAGAGGGAAGUAUCAAACCUAUUCGUUAUUCGCUUAUUUUUACAAGUCAAGCCAAACAAAGAAAGAAGGGACAACGUUACAUACCGUAUAGUCGAGCCGCACGUCCAAUAUUUACUGCUCAAGCUAUUUAUCUAUAAGAAGAAACAAUCGUGCCGCAAUUAGAUAAACGUCGCGCUUUACUAUCUUGUAAGCUAGCUAAUAAUCUAACAAAAAUUCGGCAGCACUUCCCCUAUUUUCCUUACUUCGUCCCAAUCCGAUAACAACCCAAAUUAUCCACAGCAAUACCAAUAACACAUAUAACCCAACGAAUCAUAUUAAACAGCCCCCUCCCCAAAACAGUUCCGUCUCGGCAACCAUAGCAGCGAAGCAACGACACACCGAGCGAUAACUCGUUUUAUAAUUCGCAACACAUGUACCUUAUCGUAUUCAUCCUUUGGAGUAUAUACUCAUAAUCACAUUUAACAUAUCCAUAACGCCAAAACAGAAUUUUCCCGCAGUUUGCUUUAAUCAAAACAGCCCAAGCACCAACACGACACCACUAAUAAUCCGAUUAUGGUUUCCGUUCAUACUUAGCACAUUCAAUAACUAAAACAAACUUCCUAAGCUACUGGUCACGCCCCCUUCUUAAUAUUAAUGGAUAAUUAACAAGGUAUUCUAAAGAAUUAACACACCACGCAAGGAGAUUACUAACCAAAUUAUUUGCAGCUGCUGGCCAAGAGUUGCAGGGUUGGUUUCUCAAUUUCCAUGGCUGCCUAAGCCAAGUGGUGAAGAAGAUGAUAUGCAGCAAUGCAUUUCACCACUUUAUUUAGUAUGGAGUGGAUUUCUCCACCUCAUUUAAAAUAUGAAGUGGAGGCAGCCCCCCCCUCUACACGUGUCCACUAAGGCCAGCUCCAAAUCUGAUCCCUUUUUAAUUUUUGCCUUGAGUGGUGGGGCCCACUGGAUUAAAUUAAUCCUAAUCAGCCACUAAUUAAUCCCUCACUUAAAGUUAAUGGCACUUACAUUAGCUGAAUCAUACUUAAUAUCACAUUUGGAAUUAACAUCCUUGCCUAAUAUUUCUUUAAUCACUUGGAACUUAAAAUAAAAUCUCAUUCCCCAGACUUACGUCUACUAGAUCAUGACGCGCAUGACUUAUAAAAAAAUACGAGGCAUAACAUCCUUCCCCCCUUAGGAACAUUCGUCCUCGAAUGUUAAGUUAGUGUCUUACAAAAACAAAUUCCAACGAGGUCUCUCUAACAGUUAUACCUAUCAACCUGCAUUCCGUAACUUACAGAUGCCUCAUAGAGUCACAACUUACUACAUAAUCUCGUUUAUCAAUCAAUAUAGUCAAGCUAGGAGUUGAAUUACCUGCAGGUACGGGGAACAAGUAAGGAUACUUAUUCUUCAUUUCGUGUUCCGCUUCCCAAGUCAUCUCCUCCCUAUUAUUAUUUUGCCACAACACUUUCACGGAAGCCACAUCCUUAGUACGUAACCUUCUAACCUGGCGAUCAAGUAUAGCUUGGGGUUUCUCCUCAUAUGACAACUCCUCUCUGACCUGAACAUCAUCUAUGGGGAAUACUCUAGAAGGAUCACCAAUACAUUUACGUAGCAUCGAUACAUCGAUACUCUAGAGGGUGAAAUGAUGUGCUAAGGUUCACCUGUGUCCCCAAUCCCUUCUGAAAUGAUCUCCAAAAGUUGGCUGUAAAUUGAGCUCCUCUGUCUGAUAUAAUGGACAUGGGAACCCCAUGAAGUCUCAUUAUCUCCCUGACAUAUAACCUCGCAUAAUCUUUAGCCGAAUAAGUAGUCCUGACUGGAAGAAAAUUGGCCGAUUUCAUCAGCCUAUCUACAAUGACCUAUAUAGAGUCAUACUUCCGUUGAGUGCGAGGUAAGCCUGUAAUGAAGUCCAUAUUAAUCAUCUCCCAUUUCCAAGUCGGGAUCUCUAUCUCCUAUAAUAAUCCACCAGGCUUUUGAUGUUCGAUCUUGACUUGUUGACAAUUCGGGCACUGAGCAACAAACUCCACUAUGUCCUUUUUCAUGUCAUCCCACCAAUAUAAGCAUCUGAGGUCAUGAUACAUUUUUGUUGACCCUGGGUGAAUGGAAUAAUGGGCAGAGAGUGCCUCUCCCAUAACCUGCCGUCGUAGCCCCGCAAUAUCGGCUACACACAAUCUGCCUUCAUAUUGUAACACUCCGUCAGGUGUAACCUUAAAUGGGGUCUUUUUCUUUUGAAGAGCUGCAUCUCUAUGUUGUGCCAGAAUAGGGUCUUUGUAUUGGUGACUCUUUACCUCAUCUAUGAUUGAGGACUCAGCAAACUCUCUAAUAGAAACUCCACUAUCUUCUGAAUUAUCCAGACGGACUCCAAGGCUGGAUAGCCGCUGAAUCUCCCGAACCAUAUCCCUCCUUUCUGGUUGUACAUCUGCCAAGCUACCCAUGGACUUUCGGCUAAGAGCAUCUGCUACAACAUUCGCUUUCCCUGUAUGAUAUAAAAUAUCAACAUCAUAAUCCUUUAGCAACUCUAACCACCGCCUCUGUCGUAAGUUCAGCCCCUUCUGUUUAAAGAUAUAUUGGAGACUCUUAUGAUCUGUAUAGAUGUCCACAUGGACAACAUAUAAAUAAUGUCUCCAUAUCUUCAAGGCAUGAACCACGACCACUAACUCCAGAUCGUGAAUAGGAUAGUUCUUUCAUAGACUAUCGGGAGGCAUAGGCUAUAACUUUGCCAUGCUGCAUCAAUACACAUCCUAUCCAAACACCCGAAGCAUCACAAUAAAUAACAUAGCCGUCUGGUCCAUCCGGAAGAGUUAGGACUAGAGCUGUAGUCAAUUUGUCUUUCAAUAGCUGGAAGCUUCGCUCACAAGCACCAGUCCACUGGAACUUGGUUGCCUUUUGAGUUAUCCUUCUCAAAGGUGCUGAAAAUGAGGGAAACUUUUCUAUGAAUCUCCUGUAAUAUCCUGCUAACCCCAGAAAGCGGCGUACCUCAGUAGGUGUCGUAGAUCUGGGCCAAGUCUUUACCGCCUCAAUCUUCUGCGUGUCUACCCGAAUACCAUCAGCUCCAAUAAUAUGUCCCAAGAAUGCCACUAAAGUCAACCAUAACUCACACUUAGAAAAUUUAGCAUACAACUUCUGGUGCUGAAGCACCUUAAGUACCGUCCUUAAAUGGUCUGCAUGCUCCAGUUCUAAACGUGAAUAGAGCAGAAUAUCGUCUAUAAAUAUAAUAACAAACAUAUCAAGGAAUGGUUUAAAUACUCGAUUCAUUAAAUCCAUAAACACCGCUAGAGCAUUAGUAAGCCCAAAAGACAGCACUCUAAACUCAUAAUGCCCGUAUCGGGUCCGGAAUGCCGUCUUUGGAAUAUCUGCCUUCCUUACCCGCACCUGAUGAUAACCUGACCGCAAGUCUAUCUUUGAAAAACACUUUGCACCCUACAACUUGUCAAAUAGAUCGUCAAUCCUUGGGAGGGGAUACCUAUUCUUUAUUGUUACUUUGUUCAGCUGCCUAUAAUCAAUACACAUCCGCAGCGACCCACCUUCUUCCUCACAAAUAGUACCGGUGCUCCCCAAGGUGACAUACUAGGCGUGAUGAAGCCCUUUUCUAGCAAAUCCCUCAAUUGCUCUUUCAAUUCUUUCAACUCAGCAGGUGCCAUUCUAUAAGGAGGUAUAGAUAUAGGCUGGGUAUCUGGCAGUACAUCUAUAGUAAACUCUAUCUCUCGUUCUGGAGGAAGGCCUGGAAGUUCCUCGGGGAAUACAUCGGGAAAUUCAUUAACUACCGGGACUGAUUGAAGAGUCGUUGCAUCUGCCUUUAUGUCAUGCACCCGAAUCAGAUGGUAAAUAUAGCCUUUUCUAACCAUCUUCCUAGCCUUAAUGUAUGAAAUGAACUUACCUUUCGGCGAUAUUGUACUCCCCUUCCACUCUAUAAUCGGUUCCCCUGGAAAUUGAAAUUGAACUAUCUUUCCUCUGCAACCAACAUUAACAUAACAAGAAGCCAACCAAUCCAUGCCCAUGAUAAUAUCAAACUCAAUCAUAUUUAACUCUAUUAGAUCUGCUACGGUACGAUGACUAUAUAUAACUACUAAACAAUUCUUAUAUACUGGCGUAGCUAUGACAAAAUCUCCUACAGGUGUAGCUACCUCAAAUGGUUCUAUCAACUUAGACUCUAUUCUGAUCCUACUAGCAACAAAGGGAGAUAUAAAUGAUGAGGUUGAACCAGGGUCUAUCAAUGCGUACACACUUCGGGAGAAUAGUGAUAAUAUACAUGUGAUCACAUUAGGUGAAGCCUCCUGAUCCUACCUAUUAGUCAAAGCAUAUAUACGGUUCAAGAGACCGCUAGAAUUGGAAGCUCCAUCACGUCUUCUACCACGGCCUACUGGCACCUGAAUACCCUGCCCCGUAGAGCGCAUAGCCACAGAAGAAGAUGAACCAACAACGGACCCAGUAGGCUGUGUCAUACCACCUGCACUACCACUAAGGUGACACUCCCUCAUAGUUUGUCCCUGACGGCCGCAAGAACAACACGCACCUAUAGCCCAACGACAUUCCCCAUGAUUGGACUUACCACAACGAGAACACUGAGGCAAAGGUGGCCUCGACUGGCUCAAACCCCUGCCCAUCUGUGACCCUGACUCCCUAGAGCUCUGACCAGCUUCCGAAUAUCCCAUAUGAUCGAACCCCCUACCCAUGAAACGAGGGGUGCACUCUGUGCUGGCUGGGAAGAAAAUCUAACAUGCUGCUGAGACUGCCCGCUUCGAAACUCGUCAGGAUAAACUGCUGAUCUAGCCCUCUUAUGCUGGCCUCUAUUAUAAUCUCUAUCUGUCUGACGGGACCGGUGUCGAUCCUCUACCCCCUGUGCAUUCUGCACCCGAGCAAUGUCCAUACCUGGCUGAAGAGUCACUGGCAUACAACCGUCAAUCAGAUAACGAUCCAAUCCCAUCACAUAACGAUGUACCCUGUCUGCCAUAUCAGCCACAAUAGUAGACGCAUGCCUAGCUAAUGAAUCAAACUCGAAGCUAUACUCUCGAACGCUCCUGCCAUUUUGCUUUAAAUGCAAGAAUAUAUCGACUCUAGUUCGCUUUAUCUCAGGAGGCAGAAAGUGGCCCUGGAAAGCCUCCAAAAAUUCAUCCCAUGCCGCUGGAGGAGCAACCUCACCCCUAGAUAACUCCCAAGACUCAUACCAAUUAAUAGCUACAUCCGCAAACAAUACGUAUCCAACUCAACAGACUCGGUCUCCGAAGCCUUGAUUAUCCUCAAUGUACGCUGCAUCUAACGAAUAAACUCUUGCGGAUCAUCCUGGGGCCUUGACCCAAAGAAAUCUAGAGGAUUACAACUUAAGAAGUCACGAGCCCUUAAGCUAUCAGAUUGUCCGCAUGAUCAACUCCUAGUCCAUGCCUGCGAUCCUGACCUGCCACUAAUCUAGUCAGCAACUACACAGCAUCUCUCAUGGCCCUAUCCUCCGCCCCUGACGAGGAGCUGGAGGUUCGGGUGCUGGGGCCUCGGGGGCUGGUGGUGUCCCCCGAAAUGGAGCUGCUGUCACGACCCAACCCGAUGGGCCGUGACUAGUGCCCGUUUUGGACACCCACAUACAAACCUGCUAAGUAUAACCAACUGAAACUAAGACAAUAUGGAAUUUAAUCAAAUCAAGCAAACCCCAACGUCAUAUAUAUAUAAGAGGACCUGUCUCAUAAGGAGUCAUAACCAUUCGACCAUAACAGCAUACGCGAGCCGACAAGGCCACCACUACACAAUACACGAUGAUGUACGCAGCCGACAAGGCUGCCCCUGUACAAGCGGACAUCCCAAACAAACCAUGUCCAGACCAUUAUCCAAAACAUAUAUAUACAACCCACAUAAUGUCCACAGACCUCUAAGAGUACAUUAGUGAAACUCGACGGGAAAGGGCCCCACCAUACCCAUAGACGAGCAAAAGACUACACAAAAGUUAUGUACCAAAACGACUGGACUCCGGAACAGUGGAGCUCUCCCAAUCAGCAGAGUAGAUAUCCUAGGCGGGAGGAUCACCGAACUGUGCGUCUACACCUGCGGGCAUGAAAUGCAGCCCCCCAAGGAAAAGGGGGUCAGUACGGACAAUGUACUGAGUAUGUAAAGCAUAAGGUAAAGAUGACAGGAUACCAAUAUGGCAAGUCGAAACAAAAUAUCGCUACACAUAUACCCUUUUAAGUGAAAAUCAUGCAUAUGUUUAACAUUUAAGGUGCCCAGCUUCCCUAGUAAGGAGCUCGGCAAAAUAAUCAUCACGUCAUCUCCUUCAUCAUCAUCAUCAUAACCAUCCUCAUCACCAAUCAUAUAUAUAAUAUACAUACCCGGCCCUCUAGUGAGGAACUCGGUGACAUAUGCAAGAAACUCCGCACGAACAUUACCCGGCCCGGGACUCGGUGAAAUGAUAAAUGACUCUAUGCAUGAGCAGAAUAUUAUGAGCAACCAUAUGCAAUUAAAAUCAUUUCUUAUAACUCAAUAGAACAAUCAACGUGAACCAGCAAGGAGUAUUACCAAAGAUUAAUGUUUUAUUAUGAUUAUGAACCUUUAAUACGAUAUGGAAACGUAAAAUCUCAAUGACUCUAAGAAGCAUUACCAUAGAUAUUAGAGAUCAUCAUAGCCUUAGACAUAGCCGAUAUAUAGGGGAACAAUUGUGGAAGCAAGAAUAUACGUCACCUAGACGCUCUAGAGGUAAGUAUCAAAUCUGUCCGUUAUUCGCUUAUUUUUAAAAGUUAUGCCAAGCAAAGAAAGAAGGGACAGCGUUACAUACCGCAUAAUCGAGCCGCACGUCCAAUAUUUACUGCUCAAGCUAUUAAUCUAUAACAAGCAACAAUCGGGCCGCAAUUAGAUAAACAUCGUGCUUUACUUUCUUGUAAGCUAGCUAAUAAUCUAACGAAAAUUCGGCAGCACCUCCCCUAUUUUCCUUACUUCGUCCCAAUCCGACAACAAUCCAAAUUUUCCACAGCAAUACCAAUAACACAUAUAACCCAAAGAAUCAUAUUAAACAGCCCCCUCCCCAAAACAGUUCCGUCUCGGCAAACAUAGCAGCGAAGCAACGACACACCGAGCGAUAACUCGUUUUAUAAUUUGCUACACAUCUACCUUAUCGUAUUCAUCCUUUGGAGUAUAUACUCAUAAUCACAUUCAACAUAUACAUAAUGCCAAAACAGAAUUUUCCUGCAGUUUGCUUUAAUCAAAACAGCCCAAGCACCAACAUGACCACUAAUAAUCCGAUUAUGGUUUCCGUUCAUACCGAGCACAUUCAAUAACUAAAACAAACUUCCUAAGCUACUGGUCACGCCCCCUUCUUAAAAUUAAUGGAUAAUUAACAAGGGUAUUCUAAAGAAUUAACACACCAAACAAGGAGAUUACUAACCAAAUUAUUUGCAGCUGCUGGCCAAGAGUUGCAGCAAUGCAUUUCACCACUUUAUUUAGCAUGGAGUGGAUUUCUCCACCUCAUUUAAUAGUAUGAAGUGGAGGCAGCCCCCCUCUACACAUGUCCACUAAGGCCAGCCCACAAUCUGAUCCCUUUUUAAUUUUUGCCUUGAGUGGUGGGGCCCAGUGGAUUAAAUUAAUCCUAAUCAGCCACCAAUUAUGAGUGGUGGGGCCCAUUGGAUUAAAUCAAUCCAAAUUAGCCACUAAUUAAUCCCUCACUUAAAGUUAAUGGCACUUACAUUAGCCAACUCAUACUUAAUAUCACAUUUGGAAAUAACAUCCUUGCCUAAUAUUUCUUUACGUCUUCUAGAUCACGAUGCGCACUACGUAUAAAAAAAUAUGAGGCAUAACAUCCUUCCCCCUUAGGAACAUUCGUCCUUGAAUGUUAAGUUAGUGUCUUGCAAAAACAAUAUCCAGCGAGGUCUCUCUAAAAGUUAUACCUAUCAACCUGCAUUCCGUAACUUACAGAUGCCUCACAGCUACAUAAUCUCAUUAUCUAUCAAUAUAGUCAAGCUAGCAAUUGAAUUACCUGCAGGUACGGGGAACAAGUAAGGAUACUUAUUCUUCAUUUCGUCUUCCGCUUCCCAAGUCAUCUCCUCCCUAUUGUUAUUUUGCCACAACACUUUGACGGAAGCCACAUCCUUAGUACGUAACCUUCUAACCUGACGAUCAAGUAUAGCCACGGGUUUCUCCUCAUAUGACAACUACUCUGUUACCUGAAUAUCAUAUACAGGGAAUACUCUAGAAUGAUCACCAAUACAUUUAGGUAGCAUCGAUACAUGGAAGACUGGAUGUACCGCCUCCAAAUCAGAUGGUAGAUCCAAUUCAUAGGCAACCUUACCUAUCCUACGAAUAAUCUGAUAAGGCCCAAUGUAUCUCGGACUGAGCUUCCCCUUCCUGCCGAAUCUCAUCACACCCCUUAUGGGUGAUACCUUCAGAAAUACCUAGUCACCAAUCUGAAACUCCAAAUCUCGAUGCCGAUUAUCUGCAUAUGACUUCUGUCGACUCUAGGCUGCUAAUAAUCUUUCUUGAAUAAGCUUCACCUUGUCAACAGCUUGCUGAUUCACAUCCGGGCCUAUUAACUUAGUCUCGCCAACAUCAAACCAACCAAUAGGUGAUCUGCACUUCCUCCCAUAUAAGGCCUCGUACGGUGCCAUCUGGAUACUAGAAUGGUAGCUAUUAUUAUAGGCAAACUCAAUGAGCGGCAAGUGGUCAUCCCAGCUGCCUUUGAAGUCAAUAAUACAGGCCCACAACAUAUCUUCUAGUGUCUGAAUAGUACGCUCAGCCUGCCCAUCAGUCUGAGGGUGAAAUGCUGUGCUAAGGUUCACCUGUGUCCCCAAUCCCUUCUGAAACGAUCUCCAAAAGUUGGUUGUAAAUUGAGCUCCUCUGUCUGAUAUAAUGGACGUGGGAACCCCAUGAAGUCUCACUAUCUCCCUGACAUAUAACCUCGCAUAAUCUUCAGCCAAAUAAGUAGUCCUGAAUGGAAGAAAAUGGGUCGAUUUCGUCAGCCUAUCUACAAUAACCCAUAUAGAGUCAUACUUCCGUUGAGUGCGAGGUAAGCCUGUAAUGAAGUCCAUUAAUCAUCUCCCAUUUCCAAGUCGGGAUCUCUAUCUCCUGUAAUAAUCCACCAGGUUUUUGAUGUUCGAUCUUGACUUGUUGACAAUUUGGGCACUGAUCAACAAACUCCGCUAUGUCCUUUUUCAUGCCAUCCCACCAAUAUAAGCAUCUGAGGUCAUGAUACAUUUUUGUUGACCCUGGGUGAAUAGAAUAACGGGCAGAGUGUGCCUCUCCCAUAACCUGCCGUCGUAGCCCCGCAGUAUCGGGUACACACAAUCUGCCUUCAUAUCGUAACACUCCUUCAGGUGUAACCUUAAAUGGGGCCUUUUCCUUUUGUAGAGCUGCAUCUCUAUACUGUGUCAGAAUAGGGUCCUUGUAUUUGUGUCUCUUUACCUCAUCUAUGAUUGAGGACUCAGCAAUCUCUCGAAUAGAAACUCCACUAUCUUCCGAAUUAGCUAGACGGACUCCAAGGCUGGAUAGCCGCUGAAUCUCCCGAACCAUAUCCCUCCCUUCUGUUUGUACAUCUGUCAAGCUACCCAUGGACUUACGGCUAAGAGCAUCUACUACAACAUUCGCUUUCCCUGGAUGAUAUAAAAUAUCAACAUCAUAAUCCUUUAGCAACUCUAACCACCGCAUCUGUCGUAAGUUCAGCUCCUUCUUUUUAAAGAUAUAUUGGAGACUCUUAUGAUCUGUAUAGAUGUCCACAUGGACACCAUAUAAAUAAUGUCUCCAUAUCUUCAAGGCAUGAACCACGACCGCUAACUCUAGAUCGUGAGUAGGAUAGUUCUUUUCAUGCUUCCUAAGUUGUCGGGAGGCAUAGGCUAUAAACUUUGCCAUGCUGCAUCAAUACACAUCCUAGCCCAACACCCGAAGCAUCACAAUAAAUAACAUAGCCGUCUGGUCCCUCCGGAAGAGUUAGGACUGGAGCUGUAGUCAAUUUGUCUUUCAAUAGCUGGAAGCUUCACUCACAAGCAUCUGUCCACUAGAACUUGGCUGCCUUUUGAGUUAGCCUUGUCAAAGGCGCUGAAAUUGAGGCAAACUUUUCUACGAAUCUCCUGUAAUAUCCUGCUAACCCCAAAAAGCUGCGUACCUCAGUAGGUGUCGUAGGUAUGGGCCAAGUCUUUACUUCCUCAAUCUUCUGCGUGUCUACCCGAAUACCAUCAGCUCCAAUAAUAUGCCACAAGAAUGCCACUGAAGUCAACCAGAACUCGCACUUAGAAAAUUUAGCAUACAACUUUUGGUGCUGAAGCACCCUAAGUACCGUCCUUAAAUGAUCUGCAUGCUCCUCUUUUGAACGUGAAUAGACCAGAAUAUCAUCUAUAAAUACAAUAACAAACAUAUCAAGGAAUGACUUAAAUACUCGAUUCAUUAAAUCCAUGAACACCGCUGGAGCAUUAGUCAGCCCAAAAGACAGCACUCUAAACUCAUAAUGCCCAUAUCGGGUCCGGAAUGUCGUCUUUGGAAUAUCUGCCACCCUUACCCGCACCUGAUGAUAACCUGACCGCAAGUCUAUCUUUGAAAGACACUUUGCACCCUGCAACUGGUCAAAUAGAUCGUCAAUCCUUGGGAGGGGAUACCUGUUCUUUAUUGUUACUUUGUUCAACUGCCUAUAAUCAAUGCACAUCCGCAGCGACCCAUCCUUCUUCCUCACAAACAGUAUCGGUGCUCCCCAAGGUGACGUACUAGGCCUGAUGAAGCCCUUUUCUAGCAAAUCCCUCAAUUGCUCUUUCAAUUCUUUCAACUCAACAGGUGCCAUUCUAUAAGGAGGUAUAGAUAUAGGCUGGGUAUCUGGCAGAACAUCUACAGUAAACUCUAUCUCUCGUUCUGGAGGAAGGCCUGGAAGUUCCUCGGAGAAUACAUCGGGAAAUUCAUUAAUUACCGGGACUGAUUGAAGAGUCGGUGCCUCUGUCUUUAUGUCAUGCACCCGAAUCAGAUGGUAAAUAUAGCCUUUUCUAACCAUCUUCCCGGCCUUGAGGUAUGAAAUGAACUUACCUUUCGGUGAUACUAUACUUCCCUUCCACUCUAUAAUCGGUUCCCCUGGAAAUUGAAAUCGAACUAUCUUUCCUCUGCAAUCAACAUUAGCAUAACAAGCAGCCAACCAAUCCAUGCCCAUGAUAAUAUCAAACUCAAUCAUAUUUAACUCUAUUAGAUCUGCUACGGUACGACGACUAUAUAUAACUACUGAACAAUUCCUAUAUACUCGCGUAGCUAUGACAAAAUCUCCUACAAGUGUAGCUACCUCAAAUGGUUCUAUCAACUCAGACUCUAUUCCGAUCCUACUAGCAACAAAGGGAGAUAUAUAUAAUAAGGUGGAACUUGGUCUAUCAAUGCAUACACACUUCGGGAGAAUAGUGAUAAUAUACAUGUGAUCACAUUAGGUGACGCCUCCUAAUCUUGCCUAUUAGUCAAAGCAUAUAUAAGGUUUGAGGGACCGCUAGAACUGGAAGCUCCACCAUGUCCUCUAUCACGGCCUGCUGGCGCCUGAAUACCCUACCCCGUAGGGCGCAUAGCCACAGAAGAAGAUGAACAAGCAACGGACCCUGUAGGCUGUGCCAUACCACCUGCACUACCUCUAAGGUGACACUCCCUCAUAGUAUGGCCCUGACGGCCGCAAGAAAAACACGCACCUGUAGCCCAACGACAUUCCCCAGGAUGGGACUUACCACAAUGAGAACACCGAGGCAAAGGUGGCCUCGACUGGCUCAAACCCUUGCCCAUCUGUGACCCUGACACCCUAGAGCUCUGACCAGCUCCCGAAUAUCCCAUACGAUCAAACCCCCUACCCAUGAAACGUGGGGGUGCACUCUGUGCUGGCUGGGAAGAAAAUCUAACAUGCUGCUGAGACUGCCCGCUUUGAAACUCGUCAGGAUAACCUGCUGAUCUAGCCCUCUUAUGUUGGCCUCUAUUAUAAUCUCUAUCUGGCUGACGUCCCCAGUGCCGAUCCUCUACCCCCUGUGCACAUGCCUGCACCCGAGCAAUGUCCACACCUGGCUGAAGAGUCACUGCCAUACAACCGUCAAUCAGAUAACGAUCCAAUCCUAUCACAUAACGAUGUACCCUGUCUGCCAUAUCAGCCACAAUAGUAGGCGCAUGCCUAGCCAAUAAAUCAAACUCGAGGCAGGAAGUGGCCCUGAAAAGCCUCCACAAAUUCAUCCCAUACCGCUGGAGGAGCACCCUCACCCCUAGAUAACUCCCAAGACUCAUACCAAUUAAUAGCUACAUCUCGCAAACGAUACGUAGCCAACUCAACAGACUCGGUCUCCGAAGCCGUGAUUAUCCUCAAUGUACGCGGCAUCUGAUGAAUAAACUCUUGCGGAUCAUCCUGGGGCCUUGACCCAAAGAACUCUGGAGGAUUACAACUUAAGAAGUUACGAGCCCUUAAGCUAUCAGAUCUGUCCGCAUGAUCAACUCCUAGUCCAUGCCUGCGAGCCUGAUCUGCCACUAAUCUAGUCAGCAAUUGAACCGCAUCUCUCAUGGCCCUAUCCUCCGCCCCUGACUGAGGAGCUGGAGGUUCAGAUGUUGGGGCCUUGGGGGCUGGUGGUAUCCCCUGAACUGGAGCUGCUGCUGCUCUUAGCUCUUCUGGCGGUGGGGGUGAAGCAGAGCUCUCCGACUGGAGCUUAAUACCAGGCAUAGACUGGGCACGGGCCCUACUAACUCUCCGGGUCUCAGUAGUACCUUCUGCUACCAAUUUUCCCUUCUGGGCGGCUGUCGCUUUCUUUGGAGGCAUAGCUGAAAACACAUGGAUUCGUUAGAAAGGGAUUAUCCUGUUAAUAUAGCUCUAUCGCACGAUCUAGAAUAAGAAGAAAGAAUGACAUCCUAAAUGUCCUGUAGCUUCCUGUUUAUAGAUGUGGUGCACAACACACCGAUAAACAAGACUCUACUAGACACGGUCUGUAGACACUUCCGAGGAAGAACCGCUCUGAUACCACUCUUUGUCACGACCCAACCCGAUGGGCCGUGACUAGUGCCCGUUUUGGACACCCACAUAUAAACCUGCUAAGUAUAACAACUGAAACUAAGACAAUAUGGAAUUUAAUCAAAUCAAGCCAACCCCAACGUCAUAUAUAUAUAAGAGGACCUGUCUCAUAAGGAGUCAUAACCAUUCAACCAUAACAGCAUACGCGAGCCGACAAGGCCACCACUACACAAUACACGAUGAUGUACGCAGCCGACAAGGCUGCCCCUGUACAAGCGGACAUCCCAAACAAACCAUGUCCAGACCAUUAUCUAAAACAUAUAUAUAUAACCCACAUAAUGUCCACAGACCUCUAAGAGUACAUUAGUGAAACUCGACGGGACAGGGCCCCGCCAUACCCAUAGACGAGCUAAAGACUACACAAAAGUUAUGUACCAAAACGACUGGGCUCCGGAACAGUGGAGCUCUCCCAAUCAGCAGAGUAGAUAUCCUAGGUGGGAGGAUCACCGAACUGUGCGUCUACACCUGCGGGCAUGAAACGCAGCCCCCCGAGGAAAGGGUGGUCAGUACGGACAAUGUACAGAGUAUGUAAAGCAUAAGGUAAAGAUGAAAGGAUACUAAUAUGGCAAGUCGAAACAAAAUAUUGCUACACAUAUACCCUUUAAGUGAAAAUCAUGCAUAUGUUUAACAUUUAAGGUGCCCAGCUUCCCUAGUAAGGGGCUCGGCAAAAUAAUCAUCACGUCAUCUCCGUCAUCAUCAUCAUCAUAACCAUCCUCAUCACCAAUCAUAUAUAUAAUAUACAUACCCAGCCCUCUAGUGAGGAACUCGGUGACAUAUGCAAGAAACUCCGCACGAAUAUUACCCGGCCCGGGACUCGGUGAAAUGAUAAAUGACUCUAUGCACGAGCAGAAUAUUAUGAGCAACCAUAUGCAAUUAAAAUCAUUUCUUAUAACUCAAUAGAACAAUCAACGUGAACCAGCAAGGAGUAUUACCAAAGAUUAAUGUUUUAUCAAGAUUAUGAACCUUUAAUACGAUAUGGAAACGUAAAAUCUCAAUGACUCUAAGAAGCAUUACCAUAGAUAUUAGAGAUCAUCAUAGCCUUAGACAUAGCCGAUAUAUAGAGGAAUAAUUGUGGAAGCAAGAAUAUACGUCACCUAGAUGCUCUAGAGGUAAGUAUCAAAUCUGUCCGUUAUUCGCUUAUUUUUAAAAGUCAUGCCAAGCAAAGAAAGAAGGGACAGCGUUACAUACCGUAUAAUCGAGCAGCACGUCCAAUAUUUACUACUCAAGCUAUUAAUCUAUAACAAGCAACAAUCGUGCCGCAAUUAGAUAAACAUCGUGCUUUACUUUCUUGUAAGCUAGCUAAUAAUCUAACGAAAAUUCGGCAGCACCUCCCCUAUUUUCCUUACUUUGUCCCAAUCCGACAACAAUCCAAAUUAUCCACAGCAAUACCAAUAACACAUAUAACCCAAAGAAUCAUAUUAAACAGCCCCCUCCCCAAAACAAUUCUAUCUCGGCAACCAUAACAGCGAAGCAACGACACACCGAGCGAUAACUCGUUUUAUAAUUUGCUACACAUCUACCUUAUUGUAUUCAUCCUUUGGAGUAUAUACUCAUAAUCACAUUCAACAUAUACAUAAUGCCAAAACAGAAUUUUCCUGCAGUUUGCUUUAAUCAAAACAGCCCAAGCACCAACAUGACACCACUAAUAAUCCGAUUAUGGUUUCCGUUCAUACUUAGCACAUUCAAUAACUAAAACAAACUUCCUAAGCUACUGGUCACGCCCCCUUCUUAAAAUUAAUGGAUAAUUAACAAGGGUAUUCUAAAGAAUUAACACACCAAACAAGGAGAUUACUAACCAAAUUAUUUGCAGCUGCUGGCCAAGAGUUGCAGGGUUGGUUUCUCCAUUUCCAUGGCUGCCUAAGACAAGUGGUGAAGAAGAAGAUGAUAUGCAGCAAUGCAUUUCACCACUUUAUUUAGCAUGGAGUGGAUUUAUCCACCUCAUUUAAUAGUAUGAAGUGGAGGCAGCCCCCCUCUACACCUGUCCACUAAGGCCAGCCCACAAUCUGAUCCCUUUUUAAUUUUUGCCUUGAGUGGUGGGGCCCACUGGAUUAAAUUAAUCCUAAUCAGCCACCAAUUAUGAGUGGUGGGGCCCAUUGGAUUAAAUCAAUCCAAAUUAGCCACUAAUUAAUCCCUCACUUAAAGUUAAUGGCACUUACAUUAGCCAACUCAUACUUAAUAUCACAUUUGGAAAUAACAUCCUUGCCUAAUAUUUCUUUACAUCUUCUAGAUCACGAUGCGCUCUAUGUAUAAAAAAAAUACGAGGCAUAACAGCUGCUGCUGCUCUAAGCUCCUCUGGUGGAAGCGGUGUAGCAAAGCUCUCCGACUGGAGCAUACUACAAGGCAUAGACUGGGCACGGGUCCUAGUAACUCUUUGGGUCUGGCUAGUACCUUCUACUACCGAUUUUCUGGGCGGCUGUCGCUUUCUUUUGAGGCAUAGCUGAAAACACACGGAUUCGUUAGAGAGGGAAUAUCCUGUUAAUAUAGCUCUAUAGCACGAUCUAGAAUAAGAAGAAAGGAUGACAUCCUAAAUGUCCUGUAGCUUUCUGUUUAUAGAUGUGGUGCGCAACACACCGAUAAACAAGACUCUACUAGACACGGUCUUUAAACACUUCCGAGGAAGAACCGCUCUGAUACCACUCUUUAUCACGACCCAACCCGAUGGGCCGUGACUAGUGCCCGUUUUGGACACCCACAUACAAACCAGCUUAGUAUAACCAACUGAAACUAAGACAAUAUGGAAUUUAAUCAAAUCAAGCCAACCCCAACGUCAUAUAUAUAUAUAAAGAGGACCUGUCUCAUAAGGAGUCAUAAUCAUUCAACCAUAACAACAUACGGGAGCCGACAAGGCCGCCACUAUCCAAAGCACAAUAACAUACGUAAGCCGACAACGCUGCCACUACACAAUACACAAUGAUGUACGCAGCCGACAAGGCCGCCCCUAUACAAGCGGACAUCCCAAACAAACCAUGUCUAGACCAUUAUCCAAAACAUAUAUAUACACCCCACAUAAUGUCCACAGACCUCUAAGAGUACAGUAGUUAAACUCGACGGGACGGGGCCCCGCCAUACGCAUAAACGAGCAAAAGACUACACAAAAAGUUAUGUACCAAAACGACUGGGCUCCAGAACAGUGGAGCUCUCCCAAUCAGCAGAGUAGAUAUCCUAGGCGGGAGGAUCACCGAACUGUGCAUCUACACCUGCGGGCAUGAAACACAGCCCCCCCGAGGAAAGGGGGGUCAGUAUGGACAAUGUACUGAGUAUGUAAAGCAUAAGGUAAAGAUGACAGGAUACCAAUAUGGCACGUCGAAACAAAAUAUCGCUACACAUGUACCCUUUUAAGUGAAAAUCAUGCAUAUCUUUAACAUAUAAGUUGCCCAGCUUCCCUAGUAAGGGGCUCGGCAAAAUAAUCAUCACGUCAUCUCCGUCAUCAUCAUCAUCAUAACCAUCCUCAUCACCAAACAUAUAUAUAAUAUACAUACCCGACCCUCUAGUGAGGGACUCGGUGACAUAUGCAAGAAACUCCGCACGAACAUUACCCGGCCCGGGACUCGGUGAAAUGAUAAAUGACUCUAAGCACGAGCAUAAUAUUAUGAGCAACCAUAUGCAAUUAAAAUCAUUUCUAUUAACUCAAUAGAACAAUCCACGUGAACCAGCAAGGAGUAUUACCAAAGAUUAACGUUUUAUCAAGAUUAUGAACCUUUAAUACGAUAUGGAAACGUAAAAUCUCAAUGACUCUAAGAAGCACUACCAUAGAUAUGAGAAAUCAUCAUAGCCUUAGACAUACCCGAUACAUAGAGGAAUAAUUGUGGAAGCAAGAAUAUACGUCACCUAGACGCCCUAGAGGUAAGUAUCAAACCUGUUCGUUAUUCGCUUAUUUUUAAAUUUCAUGCCAAAAAAAGAAAGAAGGGACAGCGUUACAUACCAUAUAGUCGAGCCGCACGUCCAAUAUUUACUGCUCAAGCUAUUAAUCUAUAACAAGUAACAAUCAUGCCGCAAUUCGAUAAACGUUGCGCUUUACUAUCUUGUAAGCUAGCUAAUAAUCUAACGAAAAUCCGGCAGCACUUCCCCUAUUUUCCUUACAUCGUCCCAUUCCUAAAAAAACCCAAAUUAUCCACAGCAAUACCAAUAACACAUAUAAUCCAACCAAUCAAAUUAAACAGCCCCCUCCCAAAAACAAUUCCGUCUCGGCAACCAUAGCAGCGAAGAAACGACACACCGAGCGAUAACUCAUUUUAUAAUUCGCAACACAUCUACCUUAUCGUACUCAUCCUUUGGAGUAUAUACUCAUAAUCACAUUUAACAUAUACAUAACGCCAAAAUAGAAUUUUCCCGCAGUUUGCUUUAAUCAAAACAGCCCAAGCACCAACACGACACCACUAAUAAUCCGAUUAUGGUUUUCGUUCAUACUUAGCACAUUCAAUAACUAAAACAAACUUCCUAAGCUACUGGUCACGCCCCCUUCUUAAUAUUAAUGGAUAAUUAACAAGGUAUUCUAAAGAAUUAACACACCAAGCAAGGAGAUUACUAACCAAAUUAUUUGCAGCUGCUGGCCAAGAGUUGCAGGGUUGGUUUCUCCAUUUCCAUGGUUUCCUAAGCCAAGUGGUGAAGAAGAUGAUAUGCAGCAACGCAAUUCACCACUUUAUUUAGUAUGGAGUGGAUUUAUCCACCUCAUUUAUAAUAUGAAGUGGAGGCAGCCCCCCCUCUACACGUGUCCACUAAGGCCAGCUCCCAAUCUGGUCCCUUUUUAAUUUUUGCCUUGAGAGGUGGGGCCCACUGGAUUAAAUUAAUCCUAAUCAGCCACUAAUUAAUCUCUCACUUAAAGUUAAUGGCACUUACAUUAGCCAAAUCAUACUUAAUAUCACAUUUGGAAUUAACAUCCUUGCCUAAUAUUUCUUUAAUCACUUGAAACUUAAAAUAAAAUCUCAUUCCCCGGACUUACGUCUACUAGAUCCUGACGCGCACUACGUAUAAAAAAAUACGAGGCAUAAUAGAAUGGAUUCUUUAAGUCCAAAUAUUUCCUAAGUUUUAUGUUACUGUAAAGUUUAGCAAUAAUGUACUUAUGUAAUAUGUUAUAAGGGUCGUGUCCCUAAUGUACUCUAAUGAUGUUGAGUCUAAGAUGGAAAUGAGACUUAGAGUUUUAAACUAUGUAUAUAUAUAUAUAUAUAUAUAUAUAUAUAUAUAUAUAUAUAUAUAUAUAUAUAUAUUGGAAGUGAUCUUCUAGCAUAUGAUGUGCUACGAAAUUUAUAAAUUUUUCACUAAAUUUCCCAUGACAAUGUGAUGAAUGAUAACUAUGGGCUUGUAUAAGACCUCCAAGAGGUCAAGUACGCCAUGUUACUUUUAGAUGGUGCUCCCCAGUCGUGACAAUCUAGUCUAGGAAUUCAAAUCCUUCCUUUAACGGUGAGCACACCCUUGCAUCUAAACUCGCAUCUUGUGGCUUACCAGACAUUGUUUUCUAUCUAAUCUCAUUAAUAUUCUCAUCCUCAAACUGUUUGGCCUUGAUCUCCUCAUUUAAUGUAGCCGUACUCUCAAUGCUAGCUAACAGCCACCGAUUUAUGAAAUGCCAAAAUGCAUGAACUUAAACUCCAAUGUUUGAAUAUCCGUAGACAAAGUAUGCUUGGAUACACUCAAGCAAUCUAGACGUCACGACCGGAGUCUAGAUCCUAGCCGAAAUCGGUGUUGUUGACCUCUCAGAGGUCGUAGACAAGCCUACAUACGUCAUCAUUACAUCAUCUAGAUAAAUUUUAGCGGAAAAUUUUAAUUUUUUGUUUAAUUGAAGUAUACCUAGACUUAAUAAUAGGAAAAAUUGUAUUUGAAUAAGAUCAUCUACAUAAUAUCUUAAUCGUUCACAACAACCAUCUAAUAACAAGAUACUCAAAUGAAUGAAAUAGUUCAUAACUGCAUUGAAUGUAGACUUGCCAAAAUGGAACCAAUACAAUGUUUGAAACAAAUGAGAAAGAAACGCUAGUGGAACAUCCUCCACUAGAUAAUGUCUACAUCUAAUCUAGAAUAUAAAAGAUAGGCAUCCUCGAAAGCAAGAGGGCCUACAAAGUCCGGAUGAAUGCUCCAUGUCAGGAUAACUUCAGCAUAGUCUCGUAAUGCUCUAGCAUUCACCUGCACCUGCACCUAAAAGUAGAGAGUUGUAUGGGAUUAUUACACACUUGUACUAAGUAUGGGUAUAUUCAAGCACACACCCAAGUACAUGCAUGAUUAAGAAGAGCUCUCUCCUAACGAUAUGAGUUAUGGAAAGUCAAGUUAGUGAACUUGCCAAGUCGGAUUAAGAAAGUGAUGCUAUGAGAGUAACAUGCAUCAUCAUACAUAUCAUUUUGCAAACAGAACAUAGCAUAUUGCACAUAUCAUAUCACAUAGUUCAUAUCAUUCUUUCAUAUGCCAUGAGACCUUGGAAUCAUGGACUUAACAUUAAGACUUCCCAAAAUGAGGGCUCAACAUAUGGGACCUCAAUAAGAGAGCCUCCUUUAGCAAACACAGAGUCUGCUUCAUUCAUUCAUAUUUACUUCAUUUUCAUUCAUUCAUAUACUAGUAUAAACACCAACUAAACCUAAGAUGUAGUUUAAGACAUUCAUCGGGUUCCCUGUGCAAUGACCAAGAAUAACCUAGUGUCAUUACUUAAGUCUAGCUCACCUCUUGAUUAUCCUAUCCUAACACCUUUGGUAUUGUUUAUUUCAUUAUGUGCAUUAUUUUAUUAGGUGGAGACUUUGUCAAACUAGGACUCCCCAUUAUUUAUUAUUAUUAUUAUUGUGAUUAUGAUUAUUUUAUUAAAUAUCUGAUUUUGCUGUAAUUAAAUCAGUAAAUUAAUAUUAAUUACUUUAACUAGUUCACUAAAUACAAUAAAUCAAUUAAAUCAUUGCUUCCACGAAGGCUCAAACCCGGGUGGAGCAUGAUUUUGCUUAAAGGGUCAAUUUCGGCCACCUCUACCCAAAUUGCCCCUUAACUAUAUUAAUUAAUUAAUUAAUUAGGAUAAUUACAAUACUAUCCUUAGCCUGGAAAAGACCAUUUUUCUUCUAGACCCUCCAAACUUAAGAUUACCCCUUUUUAAGUUUGGUUAAGACUCAUCCGGGUAAAUCUUAAUAUUCGCUGCCCUACAUGGUUGGACCCAACCUUUCCUAGAUCAAAUAACUCACCAAGUUAGUUGGCUUGGUUGUUGCAGAGGUUCACAGGUCGGGUUCUACGCGCACAAUCUGUGUGAACCCGGUCUAAUCUAGGCAUUCUAGAUACGUUAGAAAUUACUUAGCACAGUCAUUUUGAGGGUUGUUACAUUACCCCCCCCCCCUCCUAGAAACAUUUAUCCACGAAUGACACUACACAUUAUUUUAAAAUAAAGAGGGUGAUUUUCGAAAAUAUGUUAACAUACUUGAGACUUUACUCUUUGUGAAUUUCUGUUCACACUUACUCUGGAUAGUGCAUAUUACUCAAGCUUAUUUGAAGCUUCAUAUUUGAGAUUGAGGAACUUCCUUCUCAAUCGCACUUAACUUGAUGCACCUCACCACUCAUAAAACACACAAAAGAAAUCAUGACCACACUAUACAAAAACAGCAACAUGACAUGCAAACAUUAAUUCAUUUUAACUCACAUAGUGCAAUUAUUAUAUAUACAAUUUUGGACUUACAACAUCUUGUUGGCCUUAAGAUUUGAAAUUAUAUGGCUUUGUUUGAUUGAUCCACGCCCUGCCCAUUUAUACUCUAUCUCAUUUUGAAACUGAGACCUCACUCCCAUGGUUGAUAGUCUAUGGUAGCAUAACACUUAUGGAGAAAAUCCAUACCUAAACUAUUAAAUGCUUUUUUUAUUAUAGAAUAUCUGAUUUACAUAUUAGUAGGUUGGUGCACAUCCUUGAAACUUACUAGCAGCUUCGCAUUAAUAUCUAAUUUCUCCUUCCCUUUUUCUCGACCUCUCAUAUAAGGACAGUCCUCUAUCAUAUGACCCAGUUUUCUAGAAUUGUAACAAGCGUUCGAGCCCCUCCUACACUCUCCUCCAUGAAGUUUGUCACACUUCCUACAAGGUGGCCUCUCUUGAGGUGUAUCUACUUUACUGUUUCUCUUAACUCUAGGCUCAGAAUCCCUCUCAAAGCGAUCCUUGGACGAACUUGACUCCCUUUGGUGGGAGAGUCCCUUCUUAGACCUGGGCUUAUCCCUGAUUUAAGUACUACUCUUCCUUGAAAAAUUAUUCUCAACUUGCGUUGACCUGUUCCUUGCCCUAGUAUGCUUCCUCUUCCUACUUUCCUCCACUUGUUGGACAUGGACCAUAAGACUGGAAAGACCUAUGCUAGCAUGCAACAUAGCUACCCUACACUCCUCCUCGAGAUUCUCAGCAAUCUUAGAUCCAGUGUAAAUGGGAGGAUUUAUCCUCGUGAAGUCCUUUAACCUACUAGCCAUGGUGCUAGCAGGUGGGUUCUUUCUGGGAACACCUUGUUGCUCUGCUUGGGCUGUCAUAGCCUGAGCUUGUAAGGUGAUGGAUUGGGCCAUCUGUACCAGGGCUAUCCUUACUUCUCCAUCUGUCAACCUAACUAUGUUAACAAGCAUCUCCAUUUCAGCAGUUGGGGCCUAGGGAGGAACUUGGUUACCCCCAACAGCUGCUUCUCCUCUUCCCUGACCAGUGUUCCUCCUUGUGUUCAUUUUCUAAAAAAAUAGAAUUGAUGCUAGAAAUGCUCAUAACACCAAGGAAUCAGACAUUAGAAAAGCACGUAAGAUCAGGAGAAGGGAAAAUUUCCUACGCGUCAUGUAGUCUCUAAUUCAGGAUAGUGGUGCACUUCACUACCAUGACUUAGAAUCUACUUGAUGUGGUUGAUGUGAACUUAUUAUCCUCAGAAUUUAACCUAGUGCUCUAAUACAAACUUUGUCACAACCUUAGUCUAUACCCUAGCCGAAACCGACAUCGUUGACCUCUCAGAGGUCGCAGACAAGCCUACAUAUGUCAUCGUUACAUCAUCUAGAUCAAUUUUAGCGGAAAAUUUUAACUUUUUAUUUUGUUAAAAUAUACUUGGACUUCAUAAGAGGAAACAUUGUAUUCGAAUAAGAUCAUCUACACAACUUCAUAAUCAUUCACAACAACUAUCUCAUCAUACCAAGAUACUCAAAUGAAUGAAGUAGUUCAUAACUGCAUUAAAUGUAUACUUGCCAAAAUGGAACCGAUACAAUGUCUGAAACAAGUGAGAAAGAAAUGCUAGUGGAACAUCCUCCACUAACUCAUGCCUACAUCUAAGCUAGAAUAUAAAAGAUAGGCAUCCUCGAAAGCAAGAGGGUCUACCAAGUCCGGAUGAAUGCUCCACGUCCAGAUAAAUUCUGGUAGUCUCAUAAUGCUUUAGCGUUCACCUUCACCUGCACCUAAAAGUAGAGAGUUGUAUGGGAUCAGUACACACUUGUACUAAGUGUGGGUAUAUGCAAGCACACACAAAGGACAUGCAUGAUUAAGAAGAGCUCUCUCCUAACGAUAUGAGUUAUGGUAAGUCAAGUCAGUGGAAUUUCCAAAUCGAAUUAGGAAAGUGAUGCUAUGAGAGUAACAUGCAUCAUCAUACAUAUCAUUUUGCAAACAGUACAUAACAUAUUGCACAUAUCAUAUCACAUAGUUGAUAUUAUUCCUUCAUAUGCCAUGAGACCUUAGAAUCAUGGACUUGACAUUAAGACUUCCCAAAAUGAGGGCUCAACAUAUGGGACCUCAACUAGGGAUCCUCCUUUAGAAAACACAGGGUCUGCUUCAUUCAUUCAUAUGUACUUCAUUUUAAUUCAUUAUACACUAGUGUAAACACCAUCUAAACCUAAGAUGUAGUUUAAGACUUUCAUCAGGUUCCCUGUGCAAUGACCAAGAAUAACCUACUGUCAUUUCUAGCUCACCUAUUGAUUAUCCUAUCCUAACACCUUUGGUAUUGUUUAUUUCAUUAUGUGCAUUAUUUUAGGCUGGCCAUAUUCUUCUUUGGGAACUUUAACCUUAACUGACAUAGAUCAUGUGAGCAUCAUGAAAUCCACCAUUUAACCGCACACCUAAAAGAGGUGGAAUCACCGGAUAAAGUGAACCAAAACAUGCUAGCGUAUAUAGGAAAUCGAUCUCUGCUAGAACUCUAUAUUGUCAGUAUAGUUUCUACGACUAGGAGAUAUAAGGAGACCCAUACCCGUAUGGACGGACAGUCUCAUAUCAUGAGAAUUACACGAACCUCUGCCUUCCUGAAAGAAGGAGUCGUGACUCAUAGCUAGGCUGUCGGUGCUCAGUAUAAAGUUCCAUUACAUUCAUCUCAUAUAUCAUAGAAGUUGGCUUCUAGCAUGAGGAAUCAUAGCUCAUUAGAUGAUUUCUCAUCACAUCAUUAUGUAUUAAGUGUGAAUUGUCCUUACACUUACAUAUAGAGUGUGACUGAAACCUGUCUCUUAAUAUUCAUCACUCUCUAAGGUGAGUACUUUUAGUGAACUUAUAUAGGUGUAGGUACAACUUGUCCCACUUGCACCAACCUCAUAUUAUUGUUCCACCUUGUUCUCUCUUAACAUCUUUUCGUUUCAUCUUUACUCACCUAUUAUAAUUUGUUCAUCAUAUAACAUACAUAUGAUCUCUUGAAGUUUACAUUGAGGGACAUUGAUUCUAGGCGUAGUUACAACUUGUCUCCCUUGUACUAGCCUAUCCUCAUGUAGCCACUCUUUCUUUUCUUAUUAAUCGUUUAGUAUAUAUAUACUCUCUUAGAAAUUUCAUUUAGUGACACUGAUUUUUAGGCGUAUGUGCAACUUAUCUCACUUGCACUAGCCUAUAGUCAUGUAGUCACUCUUUUAUUUACAUAUUAACUAUGAAUUCAUUCUUAACACCUUCUUUUGGUGUGUUGACACUCAAUUUUGACCGACCUUUAACUAUUUUUAGGAAUGCUAUUCGAUGUAGUGCGUAUUUUAAAAAAAUAUUUUAAGUUUAGAGUUUUAGUCGAUUUUGCAUGAAAUUAUAUAUUUUAGUAUGUUUACUUUAUAAAAUUAUUGUUAAAAUAUUUUAAAAUUAUUGAUGAAUUUUGAAUGUUUUAAAAUUUAAGCAAUUUUCGAUUAUGUAAAAAUAUUUAUAAAAUUUGUAUUAUUUUAAUUGGAUGAUAUUUCCUCAAUUUUUCUCAAAAAAAAAUUAAAUUCUAGCCUAUUUUAUUUGAAUUUCUUUCAAUUUCAGCAUAUUCAAUUGCAAUCUUAUUUCAAUCAUAGACAUCUUUUCAUUUUAAUUCUAGCCAAUAGUUAUUUCAAUUUUGGCCAUACAAUCUAAUUUUAAAAUAUUACCUUUAAUGGUACUUGCAUUUUUCAGAUUUGGGGGACCCUAGGUCGAUCCCCAUCACCCCCAUAAUAUUUUCUUUCUUUUCCCUCCUCUCUUUCUUGUUUAAGGCAAAGAGAUUGGGGAUCAAUCCCCCACAAACUCAUUCUUUUUCUCUUAAAUUUUUUCUCUUAACUUUAUCCAAGAGGUUGUGAGUCAAUUCCCACUCACCUAAUUUUAUUUUUCUCUUUUAUAUUUCUCCUAACUAUCUCAUAUAUUCAAGAGGUUGUGGGUUCAAUCUCCACUCACCUCAUUUAUUUUCUUUCAUUUUUCUCUCCUAAUUCUCUCCUCUAUUCAAGAGGUUGUGGGUUCAAUCCCCACUCACCACAUUUUAUUUUUCUCCUUUAUUUUUCUCCUAACUCUCUCAUCUAUUCAAGAGGUGGUGGGUUCAAUCCCCACUCACCACAUUUUAUUUUAUUUUCAUUUUUCUCAUUAACUUUUUAUGUAAUUUGCAUUUGGUGAGGUCUUGGGUUCAAUUCCAAUGACCUCACAAUUUUUAAAAAUUUUAAAGCAUAGCUCACUUUUCAAAGUUUUGCUCGAAAUUUUGUCUCUUUCAAUGCAUCUUUAUCUCAAGUUUUAAUGUUGAUGAUUCUUGGAGUAAUUCGGGUGACAUUUUUCCAGCAACAUUACCCUCAUAUGAACAUCGAACUUUUAACAUAUACAUAUACGAAAACACAACAUUUACAGCACACAAAUUUUAGGCAGCAACAUAGUUAAUUUACAGCGCACCCAUUCUCAAAUAAUUAACGUAAACCACUUUUCUGGAAUACAUCUUUCAUUCCUUACAUAAUUUCCAAAUACACAUUCAAUACAUAAUAACAACCAGACCUAAAAUUAUCUACCAGAAGAUUUACUAACGCAUACUUUGAAUCUUUUAAAUGAUCUAAUGACAGGGGCAUGCAACGGGGACAACCUUAGUUUUUCAAUUGCGAUUAAACUGAACCUUAAGGGUCUCUUGGGAAAGGGUCCAAGAGAGAAGAAAACCCAUACCUUAAUGUCAUUCAACACUUGUUUCAAUGCUUCCUUUUCCCAUGACACCACUGCCUCACCACCGAAAUGGAAAACCCAAUCCGUCCAGAAGAAUGUUGUUGAUUUUUGUGUUUAGCUUAGAUUUUCGUUUGAGUUUUUGUGUGUAAGUUCUUCAAGAGUGAAGAACUAUUAUUUUCAGUUCUUUUUCUGAUGAAAAAAGUGAGAAUGAGAGUGAGAAACGUGUGAUUAGGAUUAGGAGAGUUAGGUGGAGACUUGGUCAAACUUGGACUCCCCAUUAUUUUUAUUUAUUUAUUAUUAUUAUUAUUAUUAUUAUUAUUAUUUUAUUAAAAAUCUGAUUUUACAAUAAAUUAAUUAAAUCAUUGCUUCCACCAAGGCUCGAACCCGGGUGGAGCAAGAUUUUGCUUGAAGGGUCAAUUUCAGCCACCUCUACCCAAAUUUCCCCUUAACCAUAUUAAUUAAUUAAUUAAUUAGGAUAAUUACAAUACUACCCUUAGCUUGGAAAAGAUCAUUUUACCCCUAGACCCUCCAAACUUAAUAUUACCCCUUUUUAAGUUUUGUUAAGACUCAUCCGGGUAAAUCUUCAUAUUCGGGUGUCCUACAUUGCUGGACCCAACUUUUCCUAGCUCAACUAACUCACCAAGUUAGUUGGCUUGGCUGUUGCAGAGGUUCAAAAGUCUGGUUCUACGCGCAUCAAUCCAUAUGAAACCAGUCUAAUCUAGGCAUUCUUGAUACAUUUGACAUCACUUGGCGUAGUCAUUUUUAGGGUUGUUACACUAGUCUACCCAUUCUCACUAUCUUCUAACUUAGUGCAUCUGCAACUACAUUAGCCUUACGUAGAUGAAAUAUGAUUGUCACGUCAUAAUCAUUGUGUAACUCCAUCAUCCUUCAUUGUCUAAAAGAUCCCUUAAGUGAAAACAUGUUGGAGAUUGUGAUGAGAAGUAAAAACAUUACACUUGACACCAUAAACGUAAUGCUGCAAGAUCUUAAAAAGAAAACAAUACUACACUUGACACAAUAGAGGUAUUAAUGCCAACAAGUCUUCAGAGCACACACUAGUGUUGCCACUUAAAUCAUGUGUUGGGUAUUUUCUCUCAUUCACCUUAAAGUACCUCGACGCAUAAUCUGUAAAAUUCUUAUCCUUCACUAAACACAACACCCAAACCCAAAGGGAAAGCAUAAGAAUAAACAUUAAAAUCCUUACAUUUUACUCAUAGUGCUAGAAUAUGUGUUGUGGUAAAAUGAAACUUGAGCUUUUAAAAGGUCUCAUCAAAUUUUUUGGUUCAUUUGAAAGGUACUUCCUUUUUGGUCAACCUUGUAUGAUGUGUGUCAAUAGAAGCAAAGUCAUUGAUGAAUUUUCAAGAGUAGUUAGAGAGCCUAAAAGGAUACUCAAUUCAAGCACAACUUUUGUUUCCCAAGAAAACGUAGAAAAAUACAAAGAUGGUCAACAUGCACCUUGUUACUUGUCAAAUGAACUAAAAUCUCAACAAUAAAUACUAUGAUAAUCGAAUCAAGAAAUGGUUUGAACACACCAUUAGUCAAACUCAUGAAAACUACAGAAGCAUUUGUCAACUCAAACGAUAUAACUAAAAACUCGUAGUCCCCAUAGUUGGUCCUAAAUGUCAUCUUCAGUACAUAUUAAGGCCUAAUCUUUAACUGAUGAUAGCCAAAACUUAUAUCAGUAUUAGCGAAAACCGAUGUACCUUGUAACUGGUUGACAAGAUUAUCCAUCCGAGGCAAUUAGUACUUGUUUCAAAUUUUCACCCUAUUCAAUUGCCGGUAAUCUAUGUAUAUCCUCAUAAUACAAUCCUUUUUCAUAACAAACAAAAUAGGAGCACCUCAGGCAGAUGCACUAGGAAAGAUGAAACUCUUAUCAAUAAGUUCUAUGGUUUGAGUCUUAAUCACUCUCAGCUCUACCGAGGACAUGCAAUACAAAGGGAUGAAAAUGGAGUGAGUAACAAGUUCCUAAUCAAUGCAAAAAUAUAUAACCCAUUCGGAGGCAUACAAGGAAAAUUGGUAAGGAACAUUUUUCUAAAUUAUGACAUCAGAAUAAUGGACUCUUAGAGGUAGACUCAACCUUCACAUCUCAAAUAUGAGCCAAAUAUGCAAAAAAAAUCGUACAAGUUUCCUAGACCGAAUGGGGGAUAUGACCUUAUCUAGUUUAGGCUUGUACACCCCUUCGCACUCUAACUUUUUCCUAAUGGGGAUCUCUAGAGUUACAUACUGUUACAAUUCACUACUAAUUAAUAGGGGGAAAACCAAGUCAUGCUAUCAAAGACAGUCAUAUCCGAAAUAACCAUAUCAUCCCAAGUCUUAAAACACAUAAACAAGAUUGGAAAAGCAUGAUAGACAUUGGUGACGAGAGACUCUCCAACUUGGGUAGAAACAUGGAUGGAGGCAUUAAGCCUAUAAGAUAUCAUAUGAAAUCCCAAGGAAAUCUAAACAGACACAUAAAAAUAAGUAGAACCAGGAUAAAAUAACACAUUAGCCAUCCGUCACUGACAAGAAUAGUACAUGUGAUGAAUGCAUCAGACGACUCCACCACGGUCUUGCCUAAAAAGGCAUAAUGCUGAGCCUUGUCAUCAUGAAAGGCAACUUCCAUGCAUGGCUGCAUUGUACUUGAGUAUGUGUUACCAUUUCCCCAACCUCCACGGCCUCGCUGAUUUCCUCCUUGCCCAUCUUGCGAAUGUCCUCGACCAUUAUUAACAUUUACCACGGGCACCACUAGUAUAGUUUGUUGUUGCACGAAAUCCACACGCACGAUUGGGGAAAAAUCUCUUCUCAUGUGCCCAAGCUCCCCACAAUUGUUGAAAGAACAAUCAAAGAUGGCCUUCCUCUAGCAAAAGACGCGACUCCUUGGUUAUCCUUUAUAAUACUUUAAGGUGGGGUUCCCGAGUAAUUAGUUGUAGAAGCCAGCAUAGCAGACUAAUUUUGUCGGGCUUCAUGUAUUGUCCCCCUAGAACCUCAGCAGUGGAAACCUUGGAAGUUAUUUAUUCUCUUAGAUUUAUUAGACAACUCCUUAGCCUUCCCAUCGCGCCUCACCCCUUCAACUUUCUUCACAAAAUUUGCUGACUCAUUAAAAAAUUUAUGCAGAAGUCACGUGCACAGACAAUACAUGUAACUCAGAGUUUAGUCCCUUAGUAAGUAGACAGAUCCUCUAUUCAUCAGUAGUCACCAACAUAAAACAUGAAACCUAACCUCAUAAGAAUCCUUAAAAUAUCACCUUGAUUCAAAGCCAUGAACUCAUCUUUUUUAUGAUAUCACAAGAUUUGUGGCACAUAGUUCUCCAAAAGUGAAGCAUGAAACUAGGUCCAAGUGAGUGGGGGUAAAGCUGAUGGACAAUACCCAAAUUAUGCAGCCACUCAUAAUAAUUUAAAAUGAACUCAUAAGCGUCCUUAACCAGACCCAACAAAGGACAGAAGAAAGCAUUAGUACAUACAUUUCAGCACUUCUUGCGGACAAUGAUAGCAAUAGGGGGAUUGGCGGGAGCUUGAGUUGCUUAAAUUGUGGGAAGAACUUAAGGACCAACAAUUUUUUUAAGGAACGACAUAAUCUAUUUAGCUAACACUGGGUCUAAGGGAGGAAUACUUCUAGUCUCAACCUACACAUCUUCCCCUUUCUAAAAUGUCCUCAUCAUUCUUAACCAAUUGGAAUCAAGUCAUAGCAAAAAAGGAGACAAGAGAAAAACAGAGAGAUUUCCUUAAGUCUUAUAGCCUCUCGAAGAAAAGUACAUAUGUCUUUGUACCAUUCCACAAUAUUUUGCUAGAAUCGUUAUGGUACACCGAGAUGAAUGAACGUAGGACUUUGAUAUCAACUUUGUCGUGACCCAUUUUGUCAUGAUUGGUACCAACACUAAACCUUUGGUGGGAUAACCAUUAAUACUAAUUAGCUAAACCAAUAACUAAACACUUCAAGAUACGAAUGUAGGUUUAAAUGAAAGUAUCAAAUAGAGCUCCCAUAAAGUUUAAACGUUCAAAUAAAAUAUACCAACUAAUGUGGAGGAAUAAACCCUAGAACUUGAAAGUCAAUGAACCAAAACAUCUAAAGUUCAACAAGUCAAAAUUAAUAGGUGCAACAAAAUUAAACAUACAUAUAUCUAACUAGAAAGUCCGAGUCCAAAAGAAUGGACUAAACCAUAGAGAACUCAUGGGAGACUAGAAGAUUUGGCUCACCCUUGAAUUUGAUUGAUUAGUGAUCUCUUAGAUGAGGUAUGUCAAUAACCUUCUGAAGAUGCCUUGUACUCAACAAGGAAAGAGAAAGUCCAGUAUCAAUACAAACCACAAUGUACUAGUAGGAUCACACAGCUAUCCUAGUAAGUGAAAGAUAUACAAGCAGUCACAACAUAGUAAAUACACAAAUACCGAACCUAUACAAUAUCAAUUAUCAUUCAGGACCUAUGCACCAUUCGACAUUUUCGAUGUCAAGUAAUUACACAUAUACGAAAAGGGAACGGUCCUCCCAUGGAACCCACAACCAAAUUGAUAGUAUACCAGAAUGUGCCACCCCAUCCCAAUUAGUGUGUCGGACGUGACACUUUGUCCCAUACGUGCACUGAUACAUGACAAUUGAUACAAGUUAGCAUGCUGGAACGUAACAUCUGAUUCAUUCAACAAGCAACAAUCACAAUGUACAUUCUCGUAGUCAUACAAUAAAGUGUUCAUUCAUGGCAUACAAUAAUAUUUUUAUACUCAUUCAUAUUUGAUGAUCAAAAGUGGAAAAUUUGCAUGUAUACAUGCAUUAUAAUGAAGCAAAUACUCACAUACAUUACACAAACAUGAAAUCAAACCAUCACCUACCUUGAAAUCAAGCUUGAAUCCUCCUAAGAUGUUUGAUUUUUCCCUUUCCGGAUUCUUUCAACUCGUUCUAGGUUUACAAACAAAUAAUUCAAUACCGGGAUCAAUACUUGAGGCCUAAUUACCCGGAUUAUGACAAACCCAAUAACUUAAGAUCGAAAUUAUGAUCCUAAGGUGCAGUUAGAGCUUUUUCCACCAUCAAAAUUAGUUCAAAACCCUCACUAACAAUAUAUGAUCAAGAUUCAAAAAAUUUAUUAGGAGAGUAGAAUCCUUACCUUCCUCCCCCCCCCCCCCCAAAAAAAAGUAGUGGAAAAGAUUAAAAAAUCACUUUAAGUCAUCUCCUAGCUCAUAAUAAGGAGAAAUGCAGAAUAAUGGCAUUUUUGGGGUUUAUUUCCAAGGAAGUUACAACAAGCCCGCUAUGGCAUCCCACAAACCAUCACAGCGGCCUCGCCAUGAUGGGAAUAUUCCCGCAGUAGUAUCUUGCACAGAAAUGCCUUCCAUUACAAAUAUACAUUUAGAUUUUUUAUGUUUAUAUUCUGAGUUAGAAUUUGUAUUUCUUGCUAAAUAUGACAAUUAUUUUUUGAUAUAUGUGUCAUCCCUAUUUGAUUAUGUGUAUUUUUGUUCUUCUUGUAAGAAUUGCAGUUGUAGGCAUUGAAAAUUUGUUAGACUCUCAAAGACAUGUUCAAUUCUAGUGAGGAUUCUGCAAGAUGAAUUUUAUCCUAACUAGGAUUAUUGUAGGCUAACCAACCCUAACCACUAGCUCAAAGGGUACUAUAUUCCCAUUAAAAGGGAUCUCAAAUAUUUCAUAAAAUUAAUGGAAUAUUCAUAUAGAGGUCCAACCAUAAUUGUUCUAGUUCGAUCAAUAUGCCACUAAUGGUCCUCGAAUUAUGGAAAGGGUCUAGAAUUUAAGGGAGGAAAAAAAUGUGCCUACAAUAUUUAUAAAAAAAAAUCAAUUCUUCUUAUAUUAUUGUGAUUGAAAUUUAUUUUUUGUCACUUAAAAAUUUAUUCCUAACAAAUUGACAUGCCCAGUGGGAACAAAUGUACUCUUUAUCUCUUCUCUAAUAAAUCAAAUCUACUAUAAAAAUUCCCAUCGAGAAAAUAAUAAUAAAGAACGAAAAACUAUGCAACAAUCCUUUUAAUUAUUUAAAGUGCAAAUUUUACAAUCUCUAUGAUUCCUAUGAAUUUUCCAUUACAAAUACAUAUGGCCUCUUGAGCUUGAUCUCUAAUUUUCUUGAACGUGAACUUUAUGGUUGAUCUUGGAUUCAAGGAUUUUGGAGAUUGUCCUUGAAUAUUUGACUUUAACUUAUCGUGAUCUUGAACUUUAUCUUGAUCUUGAUUUCUAGUUGAAUACAAGAGCUUUGAGCUUGGUAUUAAAUCCGGUGAUCUUUAUCUUGAUCGUUCUUGAUCCUGGUCUUCUUUAACUUGAACCCUUGAGUCCUUGAAUUUUCAGUUCUUGAAUUUGAAUUCUUGAACUAUUAAACUUUUAGAUUGUAUAGAAAUUUGUUGCUUUUGAUCAACGAGUUAUCUCUAACUUUAUGUUAGAAUUAAUUGUUCCUUUUCUGAACUAUGAGGACACUUAGUCAUAUUUAUAGAAUAGAGGAUUGGUGAUAGAAAUAGAAUUCCCUUCGGCUAAUCAAAUUUAAGUGACAUGGCAUAUCGAGUUUAUGAAGAAGACUUGAACUGAAUCCAUAUUUUUUGGAUUUAAGUAAUUAACUCAAUUAUAUUAAUCCGUAAUAUUUAUUUGAACUAAUAAACUCAUAUUUAAGAUAAUCUUAAUCUAUUUAUAAAUUUAUAUAUAAUAAAUUUUAAUUGAUUACAAAUGUCACAUGCUUCAUGUCUUUUCGAGAUAUUGUAUAUUUCAAAGACUAGGCUUGAAGAAUUUGAAGAUUUAAAGUUGCACACAUAAAUAAUUUUGAAGACUUCGUCUUGCAGACUUGUUGAAUUUGAAGAUAUCAACUUGUAGGCUUGAAGAAUUUGAAGACUUUAAAACUUGUAUAUUGAAGAAUUUGAAGACUUCAACUUGAAGUCUUUAUAAAUUUGUAGACUUUAACUUGCAAACUUGAAGAAUUAUAAGACUUCAACUUGGGACCUUGGAGAAGUUGAAGACUUCAACUUGUAGGCUUGAAGAGUUUGAUGACUUCAACUAGCAAAUUUAUAGAUCUGCACAGUUCAAAUUUUGAAACAACUCAUAUUCACAUGAGUUUUCCCCCAUUGAAUUACCACUAUUUGGUGCAUGUCUGAAGUUUAAUGAAAGAUUACUCACAUUUUUUAAUUUUCACUAGACAGAUCAAGUGAGAACAUUUCAUUUUUUACACUCAUGCAACCAAACAUAAAAUAUAGUUCUAAGGGAGUACAUACCUCUGUAAAGAGGAUAAAACCACAAUGUAGUUCUGGAGAGUAUUUUGUGUGUCGUAUAAAUUUUAUACUCUUGUCGGCCAUGAAUGACAUUCCAUUUAUGUCGUACCGUAAGGAGUAUUUUUUUAUUGAAGCUUUACUCGUUUGAAGAGCUUUAUGAUAUAAAGUUUAGGCAAACACUUGAAGAAAUAUUUCAACUCAAAGAUUUAACUCAAAUUUGAAAAACUUUGUGAUAUACAUCUUAAAAUCAUGUUUAUAGGAGUACUAAAACUAUAAAUUUAACUCAAAUUUUAAGAGCUUUAUGAUUUACAGUUUAAGCUCGUGUUACAAGGAGCAUUUCUAAUUGUAGAUUUAACUCAAAUUUGAAGAACUUCGAGGCAUUCAGUCUAAGCCCAUGUUUCAAGGAGCACUUAAACUUGAACAUUUCACUCAAAUUUGAAGAUCUUUCAAGAACUUAAUGAUUUACCUCAAAUUUGAAGAGCUUUGUGAUAUAAAGUUUACGCUCGUGUGUCUAAGAGCAUUAUAAGUUUCAGUUUAGGCUCAUGUGAUGAGAAACAUAAUUACUUGAAAUUUAAGCUCUUGUGAUAAGGAGCAUUAUUACUUGUACUUUAAGAUCAUACGAUAGGGAGCAUUGUAACUUGCAGUUUAAGGUCAUGCAUUAAGGAGCGUUUUAACUUGAAGUUUAAUCUCAUGCAUUAAGAACGUUGUAACUUGCAGUUUAUCUCAUGUGAUGAGAAGCAUUGUAACUUGCAGUAUAAGCUAAUGCGUUACUGAGCAUCAUAACUGGCAAUUUAAGCACAUGCAUCAAAGAGCGUCAUAACAUUCCGUUUAAGCUCAUGCAUUAUGGAACGUCUAGAUAUAUAUACUCUUCAAAGUUAUCUUUAGAUGCAGACUUGUCCCCACUUUAAAUUUCUUCUAUAUCUUCAUCUUUAUGAGUUUCAUAGACAAGAGAUUGUUGAUAUUCUUUUAAAGUCAUUCUUAAUUCUAUGUCAUGUGCACGACCAUUCAACUCUUCAAAUGUAUUGAGAUUUAAUCCUGGAAAAAUAUAGUGAAGACCCCAAUUAAUUUCUUGGAUGCGCAAGUCAAUGCUAGACACGUAGUCAAUCUUUCCAGUUCAGGCUCGGACUGCUCCAGCGGUUAAUAGAGUCAACAAAUACAUUACUUUAACCGUGAAUAUCUUUAAUAAGUGUAAUUACAUGUUCCCAUAAAUAUAGAAAAGUCAACAUGAAAAAAUUUUGGGCCAAAAAACCUUUUCGUACUACUUAGAAUUUUCCAACCUAGUGAAGAUUUGAAGAAAAUUGGACUGUGUAAGGUUAAGGGGAAUAUGGUAAAUGUUGGGUGAUGUAAUUAUGAUUCUGAUCACAUGAUAGAUAUCUAAGGCAUUAAGGAAUCGUUACGAUUUUACGUAAUUGAAUUCGGGCGAGUAGAACUCUCAAAAUUGAUCUUAACGUGAACGGGUAGUUUCUGAGUGUAAUUGGUUGAAGUUGUAUUGUUAAAUGAGGGUUUUAAAAUUAUAUAUUUACCUCAUCGUUUCUGUGCAAUAUGCUAAUGCGAGAUUUUCCUGCCAAGGCUUGGAUGGUGUAAAAUGGUGAGGGCCUCCAUAGUGGGACAGUCACUACAUAAGUCGGAAAUAAACUGCAAAAAUAUUUUAUUCUGCACUUUUAAACUUUGAGUGCUAAGAGAUGACCUCAGGUGCUUUCUUGAUAGUUUUCACCAUUCAUAAGGCUAAAGGUAAGGUUUUAACACAUUGAAUCCAUUAUUUUUAUUCGUAAAAGUAAUCUAAUGGGUAAUUAUCAAUUGAGAAGGGUUUUGAUUUGAGAUCUGUGGUGGAAAAGCCCUAAUUGAAAUGUUGGUAUACUGGGUUUGAUCUAGAAUUGAAAGAAUUGUAGGUAGUCUGGAUAAUUAGUUAUUGCUUAUUAAUUCAUUUGUUGUACUAAUAGUUUGUAGACCAAGAAUAAGAGGAACGAAUUCGGAAAAGGGAAGAAUCAAGUUACUAAGGGGAUUCAAGCUUUGUUUGAGAUAGCUGAUUGUUGUGAUUUCAUGUCUUGAUAUGAACGUUUGUUAAUACAUGUAUGUAUGCGAAUUUUGGAUUAUUUAUCACACUAGUUGUAAAUGAGAUAGUUUAAUGAUUGAAUUCCAUGAAUCACAACUUGGUGGUAUGACUUUGAGAAUAUACAUAUGAUUGUGAGUAUGGCUUGUUAAAUGUAUCAGGUGUAGCAUUCCGACACAUGAACAAGGAUCGGUUACCAACAUUUCGGCAUAAACAUGGGAUUUAUUGCCACAUUUUGGCAUAAACAUUGGAUUGGGUACCAUGUAUUGGUAUCCUAAUAGUUUGGGUUUAGGUUCUUGGAGAUGACCAAUGACUUGACAUUAUUGUAUAUCUUGAGAUUGGGAAAAUGUACGAUGUUUCACAAAUGAUUUUGAUAUUUAAUAUGUUCGAUGUGUGUAUGUUAUACUGUGUUGUAAGGGCUUAUAUAUAUCGGACUAAGUGGAUAAGCGCGUGAUCUUACCAGUUCAUUGUGGUUGUGUAAUGAUACUGCACUUUCCCAUUCGUUGUUGAGUACAGGGCAUGUUCAAGAAGCUAUUUACCUACAUCGCUUAGAAGAUUUAUGAUCGUAAUCAAAUUUAAGGGUGAACAAGUUCUUCCGGGCUGCCAUGAGUUCUCUUUUCUGUCUAUGUCUACAUUUCAGACUUAGACUAGCCUUUAGGUUAGCUCUAUGUUAGUUUGGGGUUGUACCCCUUCUAUUUUAGACUUAUGAUUUAACUUUAGAUGUUUUGGUAAGAUUACUUUCAAGUGCUAGUCGUUUUUUAAACAUUUAUUUUGUUAGACUUUUAGAGUUUAUGGAAAUUGUAUUUGUUUCCUUGGCAUAUAACUUUCUUCUAUACUUAAAUGCCUUAGUAUGUUGGGAGAAUUUUUAGUUUAGGUUGUAGUAAUGGUUUCCCCACUAGCGGGUUAGUGCGAGUGACACUAAUGAUGGUCUAGGUCAUGACAAAGUUGGUAUAAGAGUAAUAGGUUUGUUGAUCUCGAUGUACCAAAAUGAGUCUACUAGAGUGUUAGGGAACGAUACGAAGAUGUCUGCACUUUUCUUCUAGAGACUAUUGGACAUUAAGAAAUCUCUCUAUUUCUCUCUUGUCUCCUUUCGUGUUAUUACUUAGUUUCAAUUGGUAUCUAGGGAUUUAAAUUUGUAUCUAACCUCUUUCACUUUUCUGUCCGCAGAUAGUUAACACUAAAUUCAACGGCGUCAGGCUUGUAGCUCCCUUCAAUGCUCCCGUUGAGGAAUUUGUAGUGAGAGGUCACGGUUGAGACAGGGUGUAAGAGGCUAAGAAAGCAUAACUCCUACUAGAGAUUGAGCACCAGUUGAAAAUGUUCCUCCGAAUGAGGCUCCCCAUUCCAUUAUAAAGAGAUAUAAGAGAAUAUUGAGGUUGAGAAUGAUGAGGAUGUUGGACAAGUGUAAGAGGUGAAGGUUGAGACUACAAGUAUUCUUCCCUUUGACCCAGUGUUAGAUCAACAGAUCAUGUCAUUUUUGAAAGGAUUGGUUGGUCCAGGAGUGCUUCCACCUGUUCAAGCAACUCAAUCUCCCGCCAAUCCCUUUAUUACUAUCAGUACUCCCAUGGUGGGUGAAACUGUUCGUAUGGAUGUCUUCUUUCAUUCUUAGUUGGGUCCUGUUAUGACAAGUAAUGAGCAUGAGGUAUUGACUAUGUUCUUGAAGUUGAAACAUCAUGUGUUUCAUUGUUCCGAGAGUGCGGAUGCAUAUGACUUCAUCCUAGAUUAUUAUGAGAGGCUUCAUAAAAUUGGGAUUGUCGGUUAGUGUGGGGUAGAGUUUGUGACUUUUCAGCCUCAAGCUAAGGCUAACAGUGGAGGAGAACAUAUGUAAUGCACAUCUUCAGUUUUACCACCACUUACUUGGACUCAGUUUCAUGCCCUAUUUUUAGAGAAAUAUACGUGUCUCGGACUUUGGUUGAUCAUAAGAAGGAAAGGUUGUAUGUUUGUGGAGCAAAGUUGUAUGUCUGUGGCUGCUUAUCAUCCUACAUUUCAUUCUUUAUUGAGAUAUGCUACGCAAUCGGUGACUACUGAGGAAGAGAGGAUUUGUUUAUUUACUAAGGAACUAAAUGAUGAGUUACAAGUAUUGUCUGUUCAUAUGAACUCUGUAGGUAGAACUUUAAAGGUAAUAAACUUUGUGAAGAAAGUGAAGGGGUUAAGGAGAGUCGGUUAGGCUAAGGAAUUGGCUAAGAGGGCCAAAAACUCGGGUAAAUUACAAGGUUCUUACUCGGGUAAAUUACAAGGUUCUUACACUAGAGGAACAUGGAGGCCAACACUUGCAGCCCGGUCAAUUCAGUUCACUAUGCCCACUUAUGCAGAUAAUUACUGAGGAACUCCACCUUAUAACAUGAUUCAAUAUAGCUACGGAGUUGCACUUUCGGUGGAUAGCAGUCCAUCUAUUGAUCAUACUUGCUAUAACUAGGGAGAAACUUGGAAAAUUAGAAGAGAUGAUCUCCACCCAUGCGUGAUGGAUUCCGCACAGCAGUAGACUAGAGUAGUGGUACCCGUGGAAAAUUGUAAUACUUGUUGAGGGUGUCCAUAAGGUGGGAAAGGAGGAAAUCAGCGAUGUCGCGAAAGUAACAGAAACGGUAACAGAGGCUGAGGUACAGUGUAGCAAGGCAGGAAAGUCGCUCAACACGAUGAUAGGGAUCAUGUUACGACUUUCAUGCAAGAAUGAGGCAGAAGAGUUUGAGGGAGUGAUCACAUGUACUAUUCUUUUAAAUUUUUUUCUGUAACUGGAUGGACAAUAUGUUAUUUGACCUAGUAUCUACUUAUUAUUAUGUAUCUAUCUGUGUUAUUUUCCUCAGAGUUUGAUAUGACUUGUGACUUGAUGCCCCUAUCCAUGUUUCUACCACAAUUGGAGAGUCUGUCACAGCCACACAUGUGUAUCGUGCUUGUCUUAUUUUGUUUAUGGGUUAUUAGACUUAAGCUCAUUUGGUGGUUUUUGGUAUGACUGACUUUGACAUAAUCUUAGGCAUGACUUGGUUGUCGCCCUAUUAUGUUGUGCUUACUUGUAAUAAAUACUAAGUAUGUGACUCUAGAACUCCGGGAAAGGGAAAAGUAAGAGUGGGAAGGCGUGUACAAGUCUAAGAAAGCUAAAAUCAGAACCUCCAUUAAAGCUAGAAAGCUGGUAGGGCAUGGUUUUUUGACUUAUUUGGCUCAUAUCCGAGAUGUUUAAUGUGAGUCUACAUAUAUUGAGUCAGUUCCUAUGGUUACAUAAUUCAAAGAAGUGUUUCGUAAUGAUUAGCCUAGUAUGCCUACAGAUAGAGAUAUAGAUUUAUGCAUUGAUUUAGAACCUAGUGUGCGUCCCAUUUCUGCCACUCCAAAUUGCAUGGUUCCAGUAGAAUUGAGAAAGUAAAGGCUCAAAUCCAAAAACUUUUUGAUAAAUGAUUCAUCCGCCCUAGUGCUUCCCUCUGGGGUGCUCCAAUCUUGUUUGUUAAGAAAAAUGAGGGUAGUAUUAGGAUGUGUAUGAAUAUCGGCAAUUGAGUAGGGUCACCAUUCGGAAUAAGUAUCCAUUCCCUCUAAUGAAUUAUUCUUUUACAAAUUACAAGGUGCAUCCUUGUUCUCUAAGAUUUAUCUAAGAUCUGAUUACUAUUGGUUGAAGAUUAGGCAUGAGGAUGUGAUAAAUACAGCAUUUAAAACUCGUUAUGGGCAAUACAAUUUUUUGGUGAUGUCAUUUGGGUUGACUAAUCUGCCCCCAACUUAUAUGAUUUUGAUGAAAGGUGUGUUCAAACCAUUUCUUGAUUUAUUUGAUUAGUCUUUAUUGAUGACAUUUUGUUCUAUUCAAUAAGUGAAGAAAAACAUGUCGACCAUCUUCGUAUUAUUUUGGUUGUUCUUGGGAAUCAAACAUUGUAUGCUAAAUUUUCUAAGUGUUAAUUUUUGUUAACUUGAGUUGAAUUUUUGGGGCAUGUACUUUCAAUAUAAUGGGUAAUGGUAGAUCCCGAAAAGAUAGAGCGAUCAAGAAUGGGACACGCUAGCUACUAUCAUAGAUCUAUGAAUGUGACACACCGAAAGUAUAAUGCUUAACUAGAGCCUCACAUGAUAAACUAGACCUUGUACUAUUUUUUAUGACCUAAAAUAAUAUUUAAAAAUCAUUUAAGAAGUUUUAGAGUCAAGACGUCAAGGAACAUCCAUGACGUCUAGUAAAUUGUGAAAUAUAAAUUAGUGUGCCUUAGCCUAUUUCACGGGGUUUUAGGAGUUGAAAAUUGAUGAAAUAUGGUAGAAAGGUGUGAAACAUGUGUUAAAGUGUAUUUAGGAUCGAAACUUCCGCGUAUGACUCACCAAGGACCACCCUAAGGGUCCUUGGAGAGAACCCUUGCAUUUGACCCCAAUCUGCAAAAAAAGGCAGUAGCCACCUACGAUUGCAGGCGACGAGGCGUGGGUGGGACGAUGGGGCGCCGAUGCCUCCGUCGUUCAACACAUAGACAUUACCAAAAAUGGACAAAAAAAAUCAUAGUUUCUGACACAAACGAUGGUUGAGAAAACGGUUGGUGCAGUGGGUGUUGACUGACCUAUAGACUGUAGGUCGAGGUCUCGUAGGUCAAUCCUAGCUUUGCUGUGAUGUUUCAAACUUGGCUUCACCAGAAAUAUGCAUCUCUUUGGUAUUUAUUAGCUUUGUGCAAAACUCUACUCCGUCUUGAAUUUCACGAAGCUAUAAAGGUGCUUGACUCGAUAUUCUCUCAAUGAAGUCAUCCAUCUUAUUUGUUCAUGUGUGCAUCUUCUCAAGCCUUCAAUCACUUUUGUCAAGCUUUCUAGUUGGUAGAAAUCAUUUUGAUAUUAUUUGAUGCUUGAAAAGUUGAGAUAAGAGGUAGAGUUUGUCCACUGGGCGUGCCAGAAUUUUUCAACAAUAAAAUUCGCGUGGAGAAAUUAAUUUUCAAGAAUGGAAAAUUAUGCAACAAUCGUUUUAUUGAUUUAAAGUGAGAGUGUUAAAAUCUUUAUGAUUUCUAUGAAUCCACCUUUUCAAAUGUAAAUUCAAGGGAUCUUAAUCUUGAUCUUUAAUUUUUCUUAAACUUGAACUUUAUAUUGAUCUUAGAUUAAGGGCUUUGCAGUUUGUUCUUGAAUUUUUGAUGAACUUGGACUUUAACUUUAUCUUAAUCUUGACAUUAAUUUUAUCUUGAUCUUGACUUAUAGUUGAAUGAAUACAAGGUUCGAGCUUGAUCUUGAAUUCGUUGGUCUUGAUCUUGAUCGUUCUUGAACUUCAACCCUUGAAUCCUUGAAUUCUUUAAUUCUUAAACUUGUAGCUUGUUGAGAAAUUUGUAGUUUUUGAUCCACACGCUUUCUCUAGAUUCUUGUUAAAAUUUUUGUUCCUUUUCUGAAUUAUGAGGACUCCUAUUUAUACUUUUAGAAUAUAGGAACUGUGAUAGGAAUAUGACUCCCUUCGACCUAUAAGAUUUAAAUGACAUGACAUAUGAGCUUUGUGGAGUGAGCUUUAGUUAAAUCCAUUUUUUUAAGAUCCAAACAAUCAACUCAAUUAUAUUAAUCCAUAAUAUUUAUUUGAACUUAUAUAUUCAUGCAUUUAGGAUAAUCCGAAUUAGUUUAUAAAUUUAUUUUUAAUAAAUUUUACACUAUUAAGAUUGUAAUGUGUUAACUAAAAUUUGAGGGAAAGCUUUUUAAAAGGUUUCUAAAUUAUUUUUAGACAUAUAAUUUACAUUUGUUGAUAAAUAUUUAGUACACUUAUUAAAAUACCUUAUAUUUAGUUGUUUUAUUCAAGAGAUGGUAGCAUAGAUCUUUAAUGAAUUUUUUUAUUGUACCUUCAAUAAUUUGAGUAGAGAAAUCUUAUGUGAAUACUCAAUUAUCGUGUGUUUUCUAAUUUGUACUUAUAGAAACUUGUGAGAAUAACUUUGUAGAAACAUAAGCCACAAAGUUUAAAACAUGUACUAUAUCAUAAACAUAAAUUAAUGACUAUAAAAUACAUAUCAGGAUCAGUAACAAUAGAAUGAAACAUGACGGAAAAAAUUGAGUCCAUUAAAUGUACAGUGUCACCUUAAGAUAAUUAUUCUCCUCUUGUACCCAAGGAUUAAUGGAAUAGAUCCUCUCGGGAUGGAACUAUUCUAUUCAUAAGUGUAAUGAUAUAAAAAUAAUGAUGUUAUUGAGCCACUCAACAUGAGCAAAGUACACGAAUAAUUAACUGUGCAAAAGAAGAACAAGAAGUUCAGAAUUUAUAUUGUUUUAAAAUUUAAAAAAUGAGAAGAAAUCUGGCUAUUUACAUAGAAUAAAUAAAUGGUAGUGUAAACAAAUGUUUAUUGUGACGUAUCGGAAAAGUCACUACUCUUUGAAAAAGUUACAACCAAAGGUCAUAAAAUUUCGUAAAAAUCACAACUCUUCAUAAAUGUCACUAUUUUUUACAUGAAAGAGGAAUACUAAUUUUUAAAAUAACUAAAUUAACAGUUAAUACUUAUUUGUGGUGGCGUCACAUAGUUGCAAAUAAAUAAAUUAAAAGGGAUCUUAUAAUUUAUUUAUGAAUAACAUAAACAUAACUUAAUGAUUGUAGAAAUACAUAGAUGGAUCUGUGACAUAAGAAAUGGUGUUGGUAAGCCACUCAACAUGAGGAAAGUGCACAAACAUUUUAUUGUGAAGAAGAAGAGGUUCAAAAUUUUCGUUGUUGUAAAAUGAGAGGAAAUUCCUCUAUUUGUAGACAACAAAAGAUAAUGUGAACAAAUAUUUACUGUGCCUUAUCAGAAAAGUUAUAAUUAUUUGGAAAAGUUGCAAACCUUCGCGAAGGUCUCAACUUUCCAUAAAAGUCGUAACUUUUAGUUAAAGUCACAAUUUUUAAUAGAAGUCAGAAUUUUUCAUAAAAGUCGCAACAGUUCAUUAAAGUCAUAUUUUUCAUAAAAAAUUUAACUUUUCAUAAAAGUUCCAAAUUUUCAUGAAAUGAAAAGAUCAGUUUUGAAAAUAAAAUAAAUUUAAAGAGAAUCCUGACUUGUAAUGGCACCACAUAGGCGAGCCUAGGGUUCUCCUUUAAAGAUAUACUAGGUAAUUGACCCGCGUGAAAGAAAAUUGACUAUUAUAAUUUUUUUUAAAAUAAGUACAUUUUUCUUGAUUUUUAAAACAUAUCUUGAGAAAUUAAAUGAUUUGACAUUAUGACAUAUCUCAAAAAUUAUAAAUAUACAAUUAAUGAUUAAUAAUAUCUUGAUAUAUAAUAAGUUUAAUCUUUUAUAGGAUUUAUCAUAUUAUAUGUUUGAUUAUAUAAUUGUGUUGUUAAAAUUGAUUCAUGUUUUUGUGUAGCAAUUGGACAUCAAAAUUUUCUUUUUUAUAUACAAUAUAGAGUCUGAUAAAUUUAUGAUUAUCGUAACUCCUUGUAUAAAAAAUAUGAAAGUUUUUGAUAAUCAAUAUUAGUUAUAAAUAAGCAAAGACAGUUAAAAAAUGUACACUACAACAACAUAAAUAAUUUUUAUAGAGACAGUCUACUUGUCUGAGGUCAAAUGUUCUCCAUAUUUUGUUAUUAUUACUUUGUUAUUCUAACAAAAAUUUAUAGAAGGAGAAAAAUAUAUAUGGACAACAGCAAAAUAAUAUUGUUGACCCUUAUAGAAAUUCAUUCUUCGUUAAUAUGCGGAAAGCCCUUGCAGAUGCUUUGUCAAUGCAACUUUACUAAUUUUCCAGGAAUAUGUAUGUAUGAUUGUUGCAUUAUGAAAGAACACAUAGAUUAAAAUAUUCUAUUAUAGACUCAUGUUAAAGAAACAAUCUCAAACAUUAAAAAAUUAAAAAUGAGUCUAAUAUAUAUAAUUCAAACGCUCAACAAUGGCUUGGACAUGAAGGAAAAUGAAUUUAUGCUAAUAGAUAAAUCUUUUGUAGCUUAAGAUAUUACUUUUAUUUAGAGUAGGUUUUGUUUCAUUUUCUUCAAAUUAAUCUUGACAAAAAUAGUCAUAACUUAGGCAAAAAAAUAUUUAGAAGAGUCGAACGAUAAAGGGAAAAAAACUUUAAAAUAACGAAGUUCAUUGUCAAGUGAAGUUAUAUUCGUACAAAAUAAAAAACAAUAAAUUCAGUUGUAAGGGGACAACAAAAGAGCGAGAAAAACACAUUAAAGGGAGUAAAUUGUCACGAUCCAACCUGAUGGGCCGUGACUAGUGCCCGUUUUGGACACUCACAUACAAACCUGUUAAGUAUAACCAACUGAAACUAAGACAAUAUGAAAUUUAAUCAAAUCAAGCCAACCCCAACGCCAUAUAUGUAUAAAAAUGUAUUUGUCUCAUAAGGAGUCAUAACCAUUCAACCGUAACAACAUACGCGAGCCGACAAGGCCACCACUAUCCAAAGCAUAAUAGCAUACGCAAGCCGACAAGGCUGCCACUACACAAUACACAAUGAUGUACGCAGCCGACAAGGCUGCCCCUGUACAAGCGAACAUCCCAAACAAACCAUGUCCGGACCAUUAUUCAAAACAUAUAUAUGCAACCCACAUAAUGUCUACAGACCUCUAAGAGUAUAGUAGUGAAACUCGACAGGACAGGGCCCCGCCGUAUCCAUACACAAGCAAAAGACUACACAGAAAGUUAUUUACCAAAACGACUGGGCUCCAGAGCACUGGAGCUCUCCCAAUCAGCAGAGUAGAUAUCCUAGGCGGGAGGAUCACCAAACGGUGCGUCUACACCAGCGGUCAUGAAACACAGCCCCCCAAGAAAAAGGGGUCAGUACGGACAAUGUACUGAGUAUGUAAAGCAUAAGGUAAAGAUGACAGGAUACCAACAUGAUAAGUCAAAACAAGAUAUCGCUACACGUGUAACUUUUAAGUGAAAAUCAAGCAUAUCUUUAACACAUAAGGUGCCCAGCUUCCCUAGCAAGGGACUCGGCAAAAUAAUCAUCAUAUAUAUACAUCAUACGAACCCGGCCCUCUAGUGAGGGACUCGGUGAAAUAGUUAUCACAUCAUCUCCGUCAUCAUCAUCAUCAUAACCAUCCUCAUCACCAAUCAUAUAUAUAAUAUACAUACCCGGCCCUCUAGUGAGGGACUCAGUGACAUAUGCAAGAAACUCCGCACGAACAUUACCCGGCCUGCAACUCGGUGAAAUGAUAAAUGACUCUAUGCACGAGCAGAAUAUUAUGAGCAACCAUAUGCAAUUAAAAUCAUUUUUUAUAACUCAAUAGAACAAUCAACGUGAACCGGCAAGGGGUAUUACCAAAGAUUAACGUUUUAUCAAGAUUAUGAACCUUUAAUACGAUAUGGAAACGUAAAAUCUCAGUGACUCUAAGAAGCACUACCAUAGAUAUGAGAAAUCACCAUAGACUUAGACAUAGCCGAUAUAUAGAGGAAUAGUUGUGGAAGCAAGAAUAUACGUCACCUAGACGCUCUAGAAGUAAGUAUGAAACUGGUCCGUCAUUCGCUCAUUUUUAAAAGUCAUGCCAAACAAAGAAAGAAAGGAUAGCGUUACAUACCGUAUAGUCGAGCCGCACGUCCAAUAUUUACUGCUCAAGCUAUUAAUCUAUAACAAGCAACAAUCAUGCCGCAAUUAGAUAGACGUCCCGCUUUACUACUUAUUGUAAGCUAGCUAAUAAUCUAACGGAAAUCCGGCAGCACUUCCCCUAUUUUCCUUACUUAGUCCCAAUCCGAUAACAACCCAAAUUAUCCACAGCAAUACCAAUAAAACAUAUAACCCAACGAAUCAUAUUAAACAGCCCCCCCCCUCCCCCAAAACAGUUCCGUCUCGGAAACCAUAGUAAUGAAACAAUGACACACCGAGCGAUAACUCGUUAUAUAAUUUGCAACACAUCUACCUUAUCGUAUUCAUCCUUUUGAGUAUAUACAUGGAAUCACAUUAACAUAUACAUAACUUCAAAAACAAAUUUCCAGCAUUUUGCUUUAAUCAAAACAGCCCAAACACUAACACGACAGCACUAAUAAUCUGACUAUGGUUUCCGUUCAUACUUAGCACAUUCAAUAACUAAAAAAAAUUUCCUUAGCUACUGGUCACGCCCCCUUCUUAACAUUAAUGGCUAAUUAACAAUGGCAUUCUAAGGAAUUAACACACCAAGCAAAGAGAUUACUAACCAAAUUCUUUUGUAGCUGCUAGCCAAGAGUUGCAUGGUUGGUUUUCUCCAUUUCCAUGGCUGUCUAUGAUAAGUGGUGAGGAAGAUGAUAUGUUUGCAAUGCAUUUCACCACCUCAUUCAUAAUAUGAAGUGGAGGCAGCCCCCCUCUACACGUGCCCCACUAAGGGCCAGCUCCCAAUCUGAUUUCUUUGAAUUUGCCUUGAGUGGUGGGGCCCACUUGAUUAAUUUAAUCCUAAUCAGCCACUAAUUAAUCCCUCACAUAGUUAAUGAAACUUAGAUUAGCCAAAUCAUACUUAGUAUCACAUGUGGAAUUAAAAUUCUUGCCUAAUAUUUCUUUAAUCACUUGAAACUUAAAAUAAAAUUUCAUUCCCCGGACUUACAUCUACUAGUUCAUGACGCGCACUACGUAUAAAUAUACGAGGCGUAACAUCCUUCCCCCCUUAGAAGCAUUCGUCCUCGAAUAUUAAGUUAGCGUCUUACAAAAAAAAUUCCAGCAAGGUCUCUCUAACAUUUAUACCUAUCAACCUGCAUUCCGUAACUUAUAGAUGCCUCACAGAGUCAACUUACUACAUAAUAUCGUUUAUUAAUCAAUAUAGUCAAGCUAGGAAUUGAAUUACAUGAAGGUACGGGGAACAAGUAAGGAUACUUAUUCUUCGUUUCGUCUCCGCUUCCCAAGUCAUCUCCUCCCUAUUAUUAUUUCGCCACAACACUUUGAUGGAAGCCACAUCCUUAGUACGUAACCUUCUAACCUGGCGAUCAAGUAUAGCUUCGGGUUUCUCCUCAUAUGACAACUCCAAGUCGGGAUCUUUAUCUCCUGUAACAAUCCACCAGCCUUUUGAUAUUCGAUCUUGACUUUUGACAAUUCGGGCACUGAGCAACAAACUCCGCUAUGUCCUUUUUCAUGCCAUCCCACCAGUAUAAGCAUCUGAGGUCAUGAUACAUUUUCGUCGACCCUGGGUGAAUAGAAUAACGGGCAGAGUUUACCUCUCCCAUAACCUGUCGUCGUAGCCCUGCAAUAUCGGGUACACACAAUCUGCCUUCAUAUCAUAACACUCCGUCAGGUGUAACCUUAAAUGGGGUCUUUUCCUUUUGAAGAGCUGCAUCUCUAUACUGUGCCAGAAAUAGGGUCCUCGUACUGGUGUCUUUUUACCUCAUCUAUGAUUGAGGACUCAGCAACCUCUAGAACAGAAACUCCACUAUUUCUGAAUUAGCCAGACGGACUCCAAGGUUGGAUAGCCGCUGAAUCUCCCGAACCAUCUCCCUCCUUUCUGGUUGUACAUCUGUCAAGCUACCCAUGGACUUACAGCUAAGAGCAUCUACUCAACAUUUGCUUUCCCUGGAUGAUAUAAAAUAUCAACAUCAUAAUCCUUUAGCAACUCUAAACACCGUCUUUGUCGUAAGUUUAGCUCCUUCUGUUUAAAGAUAUAUUGGAGACUCGUAUGAUCUGUAUAGAUGUCCACAUGGACACUAUACAAAUAAUGCCUCCAUAUCUUCAAGGCAUGAACCAUGACUGCUAACUCCAAAUCGUGAGUAGGAUAAUUAUUUCCAUGCUUCCUAAGCUGUCGGGAGGCAUAUGCUAUAACUUUGCCAUGCUGCAUCAAUACACAUCCUAGCUUAACACCCGAAGCAUCACAAUAAAUAACAUAGCCGUCUGGUCCCUCCGGAAGAGUUAGGACUAGAGUUAUAUUCAAUUUGUCUUUCAAUAGCUAGAAGCUUCGCUCACAAGCAUCAGUCCACCGGAACUUGGCUGCCUUUUGAGUUAGCCUUGUCAAAGGCACUGAAAUUGAGGCAAACUUUUCCACGAAUCUCCUAUAGUAUCCUGCUAACUCCAGAAACCUGCGUACCUCAGCAGGUGUCGUAGGUCUGGGUCAAGUCUUUACCGCCUCAAUCUUCUGCAUGUCUACCCGAAUACCAUCAGCUCCAAUAAUAUGCCCCAAGAAUGCCACUGAAGUCAACCAGAACUCGCACUUGGAGAACUUAGCAUACAACUUCUGGUGCGAAAGCACCCUAAGUACCGUCCUUAAAUGGUCUGCAUGCUCCUCUUCUGAACGUGAAUAGACCAGAAUAUCGUCUAUAAAUACAAUAACAAACAUAUCAAGAAAUGGUUUAAACACUCGAUUCAUUAAAUCCAUAAACACCGCUGGAGCAUUAGUUAGCCCAAAAGACACCACUCUAAACUCAUAAUGCCGGUAUCUGGUCCGGAAUGCCGUCUUUGGAAUAUCUGCCUCCCUUACCCGUACCUGAUGAUAACCUGACCGCAAGUCUAUCUUUGAAAAACACUUAGCACCCUGCAACUGGUCAAAUAGAUCGUCAAUCCUUUGGAGGGGAUACAUGUUCUUUACUGUUACUUUGUUCAGCUGCCUAUAAUCAAUACACAUCCGUAGCGACUCAUCCUUCUUCCUCACAAACAGUACCGGUGCUCCCCAAGGUGACGUACUAGGCGUGAUGAAGCCCUUUUCUAGCAAAUCUCUUAAUUGCUCUUUCAACUCAGCAGGUGCCGUUCUAUAAGGAGGUAUAGAUAUAGGUUGGGUAUAUGGCAGUACAUCUAUAUAAACUCUAUCUCUCAUUUUGGAGGAAGGCCUGGAAAUUCCUCUGGGAAUACAUCGGGAAAUUCAUUAACUACCAGGACUGAUUGAAGAGUCGGUGCCUCUGCCUUUAUGUCAUACACCCGAACCAGAUGAUAAAUAUAGCCUUUUCUAACCAUCUUCCUGGCCUUGAGGUAUGAAAUAAACUUACCUUUCAGCGAUACUGUAAUCCUCUUCCACUCUAUAAUCGGUUCCCCUGGAAAUUGAAAUCGAACUAUCUUUCCUCUGCAAUCAACAUUAGCAUAACAAGCAGCCAACCAAUCCAUGCCCAUGAUAAUAUCAAACUCAAUCAUAUUUAACUCUAUUAUAUCUGCUAUGGUACGACGGCUAUCUAUAACCACUGAACAAUUCUUAUAUACUCGCGUAGCUAUGACAGAAUCUCCUACAGGUGUAGCUACCUCAAAUGGUUCUAUCAACUCAGACUCUAUUCCGAUCCUACUAGCAACGAAGGGGGAUAUAAAUGAUAAGGUGGAACCUGGGUCUACCAAUGCAUACACGCUUCGGGAGAAUAGUGAUAAUAUACCUGUGAUCACAUUAGGUGACGCCUCCUGAUCCUGCCUACUAGUCAAAGCAUAUAUGUUGUUCGAGGGACCGCUAGAACUGGAAGCUCCACCACGGCCUACUGGCGCUUGAAUACCCUACCCCGUAGGGCGCAUAUCCACAGAAGAAGAUGAACCAGCAACGGACCCAGUAGGUUGUGCCAUACCACCCUCACUACCUCUAAGGUGACACUCCCUCAUAGUAUGAACCUGACGGCCGCAAGAAAAACAUGCACCUGUAGCCCAAUGACAUUCCCUAGGAUGGGACCUACCACAACGAGAACACCGAGGCAAAGGUGGCCUCGACUGGCUCAAACCCCUGCCCAUCUGUGACCUUGACGCCCUAGAGCUCUUACCAGCUUCCGAAUAUCCCGUACGAUCAAACCCCUUACCCAUGGAACAUAGGGGUGCACUCUGUGCUGGCUGGGAAGAAAAUCUAACAUGUUGCUGAGACUGCCCGCCUCGAAAGUCGUUAGGAUAACCUGCUGAGCCCUCUUAUGCUGGCCUCUAUUAUAAUCUCUAUCUGGCUGACGUCCCCGGUGCCGAUCCUCUAUCCCCUGUGCAUAUGCCUGCACCCGAGCAAUGUCCAUACCUGGCUGAAGAGUCAGUGCCAUACAACCGUCAAUCAGAUAACGAUCCAAUCCCAUCACAUAACGAUGUACCCUGUCUGCCAUAUCAUCCACAAUAGUAGGCGCAUGCCUAGCCCAUGAAUCAACUCGAGGCUUUACUCUCGAACGCUCGUACCAUUCUGCUUCUAACGCAAGAAUCUAUCGACUCUAGUCGCUUCAUCUCUGGAGGCAGGAAGUGGCCCUGGAAAGCCUCCACAAAUCCAUCCCAUACCGCUGGAGGAGCACCCUCACCCCUAGAUAACUCCCAAGACUCCUACCAAUUAAUAGCUACAUCCCGCAAACGAUACGUAGCCAACUCAACAGACUCGGUCUCCGAAGCCUUGAUUAUCCUCAAUGUACGCUGCAUCUGAAGAAUAAACUCUUGCGGAUCAUCCUGGGGCCUUGACCCAAAGAACUUUUGAGGAUUACAACUUAAGAAGUCACGAGCCCUUAAGCUAUCAGAUCUGUCCGCAUGAUCAACUCCUAGUCCAUGCCUGCGAGCCUGACCUGCCACUAAUGUAGUCAGCAACUGAACCGCAACUCUCAUGGCCCUAUCCUCCGCCCCUGGCUGAGGAGCUGGAGGUUCAGGUGCUAGGGCCUCGGGGCUGGUGGUGGGGUCCCCCGAACUGGAGCUGCUGCUGCUCUAAGCUCCUCUUGCAAUGGCGGUGUAGUAGAGCUCUCCGACUGGAGCACAAUACCAGGCAUAGACUGGGCACGGGCCCUAGUAACUCUCAGGGUCUGACUCGUUCCUUCUGCUAUUGAUUUGCCCUUCUGGGCGGCUGUCGCUUUCUUUGGAGGCAUAGCUGAAAACACAGGGGUUCGUUAGAGAGGGAUUAUCCUAUUAAUAUAGCUCUAUCGCACGAUCCAGAAUAAGAAGAAAGGAUGACAUCCUAAAUGUCCUGUAGCUCCCUGUUUAUAGAUGUGGUGCACAACACACCGAUAAAUAUGACUCUACUAGACACGGUCUCUAGACACUUCUGAGAAAGAACCGCUCUGAUACCACUUUUGUCAUGACCCAACCCGAUGGUCCGUGACUAGUGCCCGUUUUGGACACUCACAUACAAAUCUGUUAAGUAUAACCAACUGAAACUAAGACAAUAUAAAAUUUAAUCAAAUCAAGCCAAUCCCAGCGCCAUAUAUAUAUAAAGUGGAUCUGUCUCAUAAGGAGUCAUAACCGUUCAACCGUAACAACAUACGCGAGCCAACAAGGCUGCCACUAUCCAAAGCAUAAUAGCAUACGCAAGCCGGCAAGGCUGCCACUACACAAUACACAAUGAUGUACGCAGCCGACAAGGCUGCCUCUGUACAAGAGAACAUCCCAAACAAACCAUGUCCAUACCAUUAUCCAAAACAAAUAUAUGCAACCCACAUAAUGUCUACAGACCUCUAAGAGUAUAGUAGUGAAACUCGACGGGACAGGGCCCCACCGUACCCAUACACAAUCAAAACACUACACAGAAAGUUAUGUACCAAAACGACUGGGCUCCGAAGCAGUGGAGCUCUCCUAAUUAGCAGAGUAGAUAUCCUAGGCGGGAGGAUCACCGAACGGUGCGUCUACACCUGCGGGCAUGAAACGCAGCCCCCCGAGGAAAGGGGGUCAAUACGGAUAAUGUACUGAGUAUGUAAAGCAUAAGGUAAAGAUGACAGGGUACCAACAUGAUAAGUCGAAACAAUAUAUCGCUACACAUGUACCUUUUAAGUGAAAAUCAAGCAUAUCUUUAACAUAUAAGGUGCCCAGCUUCCCUAAUAAGGGACUCGGCAAAAUAAUCAUCAUAUAUAUACAUCAUACGUACCCGGCCCUCUAGUGAGGGACUCGGUGAAAUAGUCAUCACAUCAUCUCCGUCAUCAUCAUCAUCAUAACCAUCCUCAUCACCAAUCAUAUAUAUAAUAUACAUACCCGGCCCUCUAGUGAGGGACUCGGUGACAUAUGCAAGAAACUCCGCACGAACAUUACCCGGCCCGGGACUCGGUGAAAUGAUAAAUGACUCUAUGCAGGAGCAGAAUAUUAUGAGCAACCAUAUGCAAUUAAAAUCAUUUUUUAUAACUCAAU
rnacentral:lncRNA from 1 species